UUUUUUUUUUUUUUUUUUAUAUAGCAAACGAACUUUUGGAGUGGAUUAUGAGUUAAUUAGCAAUUUCUCCUCCUGCAUAUAUUUCAAUUUAGGAUUUGAUUGUAGGUUAUUUAGAAUAUGAUGUUGUUGUAUGAAAUUUUGUUAUGAUUGUAUACGGUCCAUUUUUCAUUGUUUUCGUUAUCCCAUUUCUUAGUCCAACAUUGAUCAAAUGCUUUAUCAAGUUAGUCCAGCUUAGUCUAUUCUAAGUCAGUCCAGCUUAGUCCCAGAAGUUAAUCCAGUCCGAGAUAGUCCGGUACAACAAAUGCACCCUAAGUGUGACGCAUCGUGCUAUAAUGAAUAGGGAAAUCGAAUGACUAUUUUGCCUUGUUAUUAAGGUUUUGGAGGCAAUCUCCUUGGUUGAUGUUAGAAGGCGCUUUAUCGAGGCAUUAGCUCUGCAGUUUGGGAGACCAGUGGAAGCUGAUUCGGUAGGCAUCCUAGGCAUGUAAUGCUCUCUGCAAAGUUCUAGAAACGUUAAGACUAAUUGUUCAUAUCUAAUUCAUAAAACUUAUUAAGUCUUGCAUGUUUAUGUUUAAUCUAAACAUCACUGAUGGAUUACAUGUUAAGUGUACGUAAUUACUUGAACAUCACGAGGAGAUUAUGCAUUAAGAAAACUUAACCUUUAAAGUUGCAUGUUUUAACUCAUAAGUAAUUUGUAGAACUGCGUAUGAUUGUUAAUGGUAACGGCUAAACCCUAAUACUUUUCACAUUUGAUUUCUCUCCAAAACUUUAUUUUAUUUUAUCUCUCAUUGCCCAUUUUUGUUAGUCAAAUUUAAUUAUUUAUUUUCUGUUCUUUUACUUUAAUUCACAAUUUCAAAUCUUUUCCAAAACUUAUGUUGUAUACUUAACUAAGAAUUGGUUUCAAAUACAAAUUAUUCAUAUUGAUCCGAUAGAGAACGACCUUACUUGAGCUGUUUAUACUAUAAUAACCUUGUUCUCUUAUAAGUAUUUUUAUGUAUUUUAAUUCCUACUUUUGCAAGUGGUAAAAAUCCUACCAUUCUCAACAUCAGCAUGUUUGAAUCUGAAUUAGUUUGCUAGCCAGAAUUAGUUGGCCAGCCAGUCCAAUCCAGUUCACUAGCCUAGUCUAAUCCAUUCUUGUCUAGUCUAGUCUAGUUCGCUAUAAUUGCUCUUUUGCUUGAAAGCUCGCUUGAAUUGUCUUGCCUUAUCGGCCUAAUAGAGCUUGCAUCCGCAUCUACUUGUUGGCAACUCAUGUCGUGUACCGUCAUGAAUUUGACAUGGGGUGUUGGAAUAUUAGUUAUUAUUUGAUUGUCUAGGUUUGGGUCACACCUAUCUGAUUAGGAUUCUUUAGAUUCUGCAUUCUAUAAAUAUAGCUUGUAGUUUAGUAUGAGAAUUAAGUCAAUCAAGAUGUAAGCCUUAGUUUAUAGCCAUCUCUGCAUUCUUAUUAUUGUUUUCCUGUUAAUAAUAUUCAUAAUUUAUAAAUUGUUUGUUCUUACGUUUGAUGCUCUGAUUUUUAACCGCAUGCACAUUCUUUAACUGCAUGCACAUAAGGCCUUUUAUGGCUUAAAGCAGGCCUCUCGUGCCUCGUUUCAGAGGUUUAGUUCUAUUGAUGCACAAAACCGGAGGUCUUGGAACAACGUAAAUCCGACCAUGAAUUUGCAAGAAAGUAAAUAACACAAGAUGUAUUGUGGUUCACCCCAAUGUUUGGGCUACGACCAUACUGAUAUUGUAUUUCUUUGUUUGUGAGAGGAUGAGAGGGUGAGAGCUUCUGAGGGUGAGAGAGCUUUUCCCAUGGCCUAACAAUUGGCCUCUCUCAAUGAGGAGAGUGAGAGGUCCUUUUAUAGAAUAAGGGCUCCUCACUUAUUAUAUAUUUGCCCCUUCAUUUAUUACAUAAUUACAUUUGAGUCCUUCGAGUAUUUAUACGAGAUCUAAAUACGGAGGCCUUAAGUAUGGUAUAAACAGUAGUCCCCCAAGUCUUCAGUCAAGAGAGUCUUUUGGCUGGAGACUUGAAAUUCAGUCCAUGUGUGGGCCGAAAUAACUAGAUGUCGUCUAGAACUGAAUACUCGAUAUGAGGCGGUGCUCAAUGUGAAAUGAUGCUCAAUUAGAAGUAGCAUAUGUUGCGAGACUGCUCUACUUGUGGCUUAUGUUGCCUUGGUUGGCUCGGUUUGUGGCGUUGAAGGUGAGGGAGUCCCUUUUAUAGAAUAAGGGCUCGUUCCUCAAUACAUAAGUGAUGGGCUAAGAGUUGAUGCUCGCGGCGAGACGGUUGCUCGGCAGGUGGCGAUGCUCUCUAAUGAUGGUGAGGGAGUCCCUUUUAUAGAAUAAGGGCUCGCUCUUCAAUACAUAAGUGAUGGGUUAUGAGUGAUGCUCGCGGCGAGGCGGUUGCUCAGUAGGCGGCGAUGCUCUCUAAUGAUGAUGAGGGAGUCCCUUUUAUAAAAUAAGGGCUUGCUCCUUAGUACAUGAAUAAUGGGUUAGGAGUGAUGCUUGCGGUGAGUCGGUUGCUCAGUAGGCAGCAAUGCUCUCUAAUGAUGGUGAGGGAGUCCCUUUUAUAAAAUAAGGGCUCGCUCCUCAGUACAUGAAUAAUGGGUUAGAAGUGAUGCUCGUGGCGAAGCGGUUGCUUAGUUGGCGGCGAUGCUCUCUAAUGAAGGUGAGGGAGUCCCUUUUAUAAAAUAAGGGCUCGCUCCUCAGUACAUGAAUAAUGGGUGCUCUCUAAUGAAAGUGAGGGAGUCCCUUUUAUAGAAUAAGGGCUCGUUCCUCAAUACAUAAAUAAUGGGCUAGAGUUGAUGCUCGCGGUGAUGCGGUUGCUCAGUAGGUGGCGAUGCUCUCUAAUGAUGGUGAGGGAGUCCCUUUUAUAAAAUAAGGGUUCGCUCCUCAGUACAUGAAUAAUGGGUUAUGAGUGAUGCUUGCGGCGAUGCGGUUGCUCAGCUGGCAGUAAUGCUCUCUAAUGAAGGUGAGGAAGUCCCUUUUAUAAAAUAAGGGCUCGCUCCUCAGUACAUGAAUAAUGGGUGCUCUCUAAUGAAAGUGAAGGAGUCCCUUUUAUAGAAUAAGGGCUCGCUCCUCAAUACAUAAAUAAUGGGCUAAGUCCUCUAAGUAUUUUUCAUGAGGCCCAGUUGUGGAAGCCUAAUAUAUGGUACAUAGUGUAGUCCCCCAAGUCUUUAGUCAAUAGGGUUUGUUGGCUGGAGACUUCAAAUUGAAUCCAUGUAUGGGCCGAAGUGGCGGUUGUUCGAAGGCGGUAUUUGUAUACCCUGCACUGAAGCUUUGUAGGUGAAGCUUUGCAAGUGAAGCUUUUGAAGCUGGUUGACAUGAGUGAUGCUCAUGAAUGUUUAUAUGAGUGAUGCUCAUGAAUGUUGACAUGAGUGAUGCUCAUGAAUGUUGACAUGAAUGAUGUUCAUGGAUGUUUAUGUAUGAUUGACAUGAGUGAUGCUCAUGUAUAAUUUUGGAGUAUUGGAUGUACUUUUGAUCACCUAGUGGGUGAUAAUAGCGGCAGGCUGCCGAAUAAUUUUUGAGUACUGGGCGUACUUUUGAUCACCUGGUUGGUGAUAAUAGCGGCAGGCUGCCGAAUAAUUUUGGGAGUACUGGAUGUACUUUUGAUCACUUAGUUGGUGAUAAUAGCGGCAGGGUGCCGAAUAAAUUUGGAGCCAUAGGGCCUGGCUCUUUUGGGCAUAUGGGCCUUCGCCCUCCACAUAACAUUCCAGCCCAUUAUUUUGGGCUUGCCGUUUUUAUUUUUUAUUUUUUUAUUUUUAUUUUUUAUUAUUAUUACCCUCUGAUAGGGUUAUACAGAUAUCUACGAAAGAUAAGAAAAAUAAAUUACAUCAUUCAAAAAUAAAUCCGAUCCUCUACUCAAUGGGUCACGCCCAUAAUGCCAUCACCACCGCAAUUAUGUCUGCUUUUUAUUUAUUUAUUUAUUUUCAUCUUCUUUUGCUUUCUGCUUUUCUUUUCUGCUUUGCUUUUGCUUUUUCGACAUGUGAGCACAUGAUUGCACCACUUGCAAAUGCUCAAUAAUUUCUCAUUAUUCCAAACUGCUGCAGCAACGUGACUCUUAAAGCUAUUUAGCAAUGAUGUAUCUGUUGGCCCUCAUGGAAAAGGCUCUGUCUCUUCAGCAUCAUCUUCACAAAUCAGGUUGUCAGAUGAAGACUCUAGUAGCCCAAACUGACUAGCCCAUCCUUCACGAGCGCAUCCACACCAACUCCUGAAAUGGAAGAAUUCUCUUCAUUUGCUAUAAAGACUGCGACCACAGUUGACUUUAAUUUUGGAUUUGUCUCAGCCAGCCUUCUCAUGAGCUCAGUUAGAAGUGCAACAUGACCCAAACAAUCAGUGGUUCCAAGGCCACGAAGUUUAUCUCAUUCGAUGCUCAAUGAGAAUGGAUCAAAUUCCCAGUCUUUGGGAUUAGCAGUGACGGCGUCCAUGUGAUAGCCAAUAAAGGACAAGAUCUUCCCUGGAACAGUUCCUGGGUUGGUACCGAUGAGUACGAGCUUAGAGAAGAGUUCGGAGCGACGGAUGGAGGCGACGACGUCCAUGUGAUAGCCAACAAAGGACAAGAUCUUCCCCGACGGCUGGAGAUGGAAUGGGGUCGGGUUCUUGGAUCGAACCUGGGAGCGGACUGGAAUCAAUUGGGGAGACUCGACCCGGGGACAAGAUCCGACGAGGGUCUAUCUGACCCACCAAGCCCAAUCCGGAUUUUGGGCUCUGAGGCGAGUUGGGGACGGAGAUGCAGGUGUUUUGAGGUCGACACCAGAAGGAACAACAGAGGAAAAAGCUCUGAUUCGCAAUUGGCGGGGACGAUGAAAGUCGGAGGAGGAAGAGGAGGAGGCUACCAAUAAACUGGAAGCAGAAGCAGCCUUUGCAGCCAUGUCCAAGCAGCAUAUCGCCAUGCCUCCCUCUCGCUCUCACUCUUUCUCUUUGGGAGUCUGUGUCGGUCUCUGUUGGACUUGUUGCAACUGCUGAAGCGCUGAUGGUUUUUUGAUUUGCCUGAGGUGGUAUUCUCAGUGUUGCAGAGAGAGCAGGGAGAACUCUGUGUUUGUGUCUCUGUGUGGGUUUUGCAGAUCCACGACGGAGGUGAAAAAAUGAAAAAGAACCGACAUAACUUUUUUGUGUCGAUUCCCACAGACGGCGCCAAAUGUUGAUGCACAAAACCGGAGGUCUUGGAACAACGUAAAUCCGAUCGUGAAUCUGCAAGAAAGUAAAUAACACAAGAUGUAUCAUGGUUCACCCCAAUGCUUGGGCUACGUGCACACUAAUAUUGUAUUUCUCUGUUUGUGAGAGGAUGAGAGGGUGAGAGCUUUUGAGGGUGAGAGAGCUCUUCCCAUGGCCUAACAAUUGGCCUCUCUCAAUGAGGAGAGUGAGGGGUCCUUUUAUAGAAUAAGGGCUCCUCACUUAUUACAUAUUUGCCUCUUCAUUUAUUACAUAAUUACAUUUGAGUCCUCCGAGUAUUUAUACGAGAUCUAAAUACGGAGGCCCCAAGUAUCGUACAAACAAGUUCUUUUAUUAUCAAUUUUGGUUUCCUUCAAAGCCGGGCUGAUAAUUCUGUGGUCGUUGUUGUGGGUAGUGAUCCCUCUGCUUUUCUUCCUAAUUAAAAAAAAUAGGUGUUGAAUUUGAUUUAAAAGACUUGGGCAAGCUGCUAUUUUCUUCGGAUAAAAGUCUUUUUUAUGUGGCCGGAUAUUCAUCUUACCCAGACAAGGUACACAUUGAACAUUCCCAAGAAGGGAGACAUGCUUGAUUGUUUUGACACGUACAUGUGGUACUGAGUUGGCUGGUCCAUGUUUCUAUCGCUAUUGUGGUGGAGGUCUUCAAUAUCUCCGACGUCUCCUUUGCCGUUCAUAACGUUGCUCAAAUCAUGGGUCGUCCUACUUCUUCGCAUUUGGAGGCAGCUAAACAUAUUUUGUGUUACUUAAAAGGUACUUACGGUCAUGGUUUGCCAAUAUGAUGUGGUGAUGCUUCUUCUUCUCUUUCAGUUUACUCUAACGCAGAUUGGGCAGCUUGUUCGGACACCUGUCAUUUUGUCACAGGUUUUUGUAUCUUCCUGGGUUCUAACUUGAUCACAUGGUGUUACUAGAAACAACGAACAGCCUCUUGGUUAAGUACUGAAGCAAAGUAUCGUGCCCUAGUUUAUGGAUGUGCAGAUUCGAUUUGGAUAUUUGGUCUUUAAAGUGAGCUGUGGGUUCCUAUUCCUCGUCCAAUUUUUCUCUAAUGUGACAACUGGAAGCGAUAUAUAUUCACUGUCGCACUUAACAUAUUGCUCUUGAUUAUCACUUUGUGCGAGAACAUAUUGUUGCUCACACGCAUUAGGUUCAGUUUGCUUCUUCCGAGGUGCAGUAGUCAGACGUGUUCACCAAAAGUCUUUCACAAUCGCACUUCUUGCUGUUGACUUUCAAAAUCCUCACUUCACAUGUGCCUCGUUUGCGGGGGGAGUGCUAUAGAUAUGGUUGUUUGAAUUGUACUCCAUUCAUGAUUUGAAUUGUACUAUCGUGAUAUAUUCUUAUUAAUGUUGCACUAUCAGAAACUUCACAUGAUGCACUUUUUUGGAAGAGAUUUUGUAACAACAAUUGUGGUAGUUUUCACGUAUUCUACAUCUUUUAAUUGGUCGAGUUUGGUGAAUCAAGUAUGGUUCAUAUGGAAUCAAAGCGGAGCAUGUCUACUAAGGUACAAGCAAAAGGAAUGUAUGUCAUCUAUUCUCAUGACAAAGUGGGCAAAUUAUAUAACUAACCAAAAUGUUACUUCAUUAAAGUUUGGUAAUUUAUAUUGCAUAAUAAAGGUUGCAAGAGGAAACCAAAUUUCAUUAAAGCAGUUACAAGAGCAGUAAUAUAUUACUAUAUUUAUAUAAUAUAUAGUAUUGUAUAGGUAAUCGAUCAUAUUAGAAGCUGUUGACAACUAAGUUUCGACAACUCUUAUUUCAAGGAAUUAUCUAGCUCAUAUUGACUCAAUUUUGACGGAUAAUUGGUGGGGGUGGUCGCGUAUUGUUCAAACUUGGUGGUGGUGGUGGAGGAAGAUUGUUUCGACCUGGGGAUGGUGGUGGGGGAGGAUUGUUUCAACUUACUAAAGGUGGUGGUGGAUGGAUGUUCUAAGGUAGUGGAACUUGGGGAUUGUUCCAACCACGUGAUGUGGUGGUGGAGGGCUGUUUUGACCAGGCAAAGGUGGUGGCGGUCGAUUGUUUGGCUGGGGUGGCGGUUGUAUUUUUCCGACCUGGUGAUGUUGGUGGCGGUGUAUUUUUCCGACCUGGUGAUGGUGGUGGCGGUGGAUUAUUCUGAGGUGGUGGUGCUCGUUGAGGAUUGUUUCGACCUGGUGAAGGUGCUGGAGCAGGGUUGCUCUGACUUGGUGAUGGUGAUGGUGGUCGAUUGUUCAAGGGUGGUGGUGCUCGUGAAGGAUUAUUUCGUCCUGGUGAUGGGGCUAAUGAUGGAUUGUUCUGAGGUGGUGGUGCUCGUGGAGGACUGUUCUGUCUUGGUGGUGGGGCUAGUGGUGGAGGAUUCUUGUGAGGUGGGGGUGGUGGCGGAUUCUUCGGAGGUGGAGGUGGUGGUAUAAACAUUGAUUGUUUGGCUGGGGUGGCAAUGGAUUGUUCUGACUUGGUGAUGUUGGUGGCGGUGGAUUUUUCCGACCUGGUGAUGGUGGUGGCGGUGGAUUAUUCUGAGGUGGUGGUGCUCGUUGAGGAUUGUUUCGACCUGGCGAAGGUGCUGGAGCAGGGUUGCUCUGACUUGGUGAUGGUGAUGGUGGUAGAUUGUUCAAAGGUGGUGGUGCUCGUGAAGGAUUAUUUCGUCCUGGAGGACUGUUCUGUCUUGGCGGUGGGGCUAGUGGUGGAGGAUUCUUGUGAGGUGGGGGUGGUGGCGGAUUCUUCGGAGGUGGAGGUGGUGGUCGUCUCACUACAAUAGGAGGAAGAAAUGGUGGCUUGUAAAAUGAUGGUAGCCAUGGCUUGGGAAAUGGUUGUAUAAAUAUUGAUGGCUUGUAAAUUUCAUGUCUUAUGGGAGUGACUUGUAGCUUGUCAUCCUCAUCGUAUUGGGCAUUGGAUGAAGUUGUGAUAAGAAUAACCACUACAAGAAAUAGCACAAACAACUUUUAGUAAGUCAUCUCUGCUCUUCUUGUGUUACAAAAUGAGAAGGGGCGUCAUUUUAUAGGGGUAGGAAUGAUGGGUUUUGUGUUAAUAAUUUUGGUCAAUAGGCAAUUGGUAAUUCAUAGGCUCCAAUUGGGGUAGUAUCUGCCCAACUGGUCUAAUAACAUUGCUUUUAUGGUAGGGGAGGCUCAAAAUUUUCAGCAUGCUUUAUAAAUUGUAUUCCUUAUUCCUAAAUUGUUCAACAAAUAUAUAUAUAUAUAUAUAUAUAUAUAUAUAUAUAUAUAUAUAUAUAUAUUUGUUUAAAAAUUUAGUAAAAAAGGUGUAGUCUAGCAAUCUUGUUCAAGUGUUUGGAAAUUGUUGGAAGUUUUGAGACUCUUGUCCCACAUUGGUGAAAACAAGAUUCCAAAGUACCUUUAUAUAUGUUUUGUCUUUUACAAUAUUAGUUAUGUGUUGGACCACUUGGAAUGGGAAUUGAGGCUUGAGCCACCAUUUCCGUGGAUUGGGCUUGAUGAUUAUACUAUAAUAUUAAUAUAUAUUAAUAUAAAUUAAUAUUAAUUAAUCAAGACAAGGGUCAUUAAUAUGAUCAAUUAGUUUUAAUUUCAAAUUAAGUUUUUAAUUAAAUUAAUUAAAAAUGUUUUGAUUAAAGAUACAACCUUUUGUAGAGAGUUGUAAAGCUUCAGAUACAUCCAAAAUGUAUUUGAAGAUGUAUGAAAGAGCCUAUAUAACUGGAGUCCUCAGUUCAUCAUCUUUCAUCUUUUUUUCUUCAUUUUCUUCCGUACAAACUUUCUAGAGAGAGUAAACACACAAAGCAAUUCGCUAGAAUUCUAUAAUCCAGUGCGGGUUGUAGGAUUAGGUAGUUGUAUCCUGAUCGAGCAGACGUUAUAGAACCACAAGCACAAGAGUGGGACGAAAUUACUGUUCGAAGGACAUAGUUUUUACGCUAGCCUCUACCUUCUGUAAUUAAGUUAGUACUGUUGAUAUUCUUAUAUUAAUUUCUAUAUUUAUUGUAUACUUUUCAUUCUGUAUAGCAAGUACUUUUUGUGAAAUAAAAUUGUGAAUUUCAAGUUCUGUUUAUUUCUGUUAUAUUGUUUAUUUCUGAAUUGUUCUCCAACAGGAAAAACACUAGAAAAGAUUGAAAAAUGAAUGAGUUUUUAAUUGUCUUUAUUAUUUAAUACCAAGGUUAUCUAACUUAUAUUGACAUUCGAUACUCCAUCAUUCCAUUCUUAAGCGGAUCCGACUUACAAAAACGGCAUUCCAUCAUGAUCCAUACCGCGUGCGAGUGAAGCAUAAGCUCUGUUUGUUUGGAAAGUCUAUGAAUGUUAAUUAAAAAAAAAAAAAACUUCUGUUAUAAUUCGAGCAGCAUUUUGUUUGAAUCGGAUUUCCAACAUUUGCCUUUUGUAUUUGAAUCCAAUCAAUUUUCUUUUCUUCUUAAAUGUUUGGCCUUAAACUGUCAUUUUCCUCUUAAUCGGUCGUCCCUUUCUGUUCAACCCUUCUCUUUAUGUAAAUGGCAAGAGUUUGGCCACUGGGUAAUUGGGGUAUAGCCAUUGACGAUUGGACAUUUAAACUCUAAGCUUAGCAUACAUGGAUGGGGUUAAGCAUCCUAUUCCCCAUCCCCUUGCUAAAUAUGUUGGUAGGAUACAGGCCCGGUCUAGAGAUUUUUGAGGUCCGGGGCGACGCUAAAAAAUAUGCCUUAACUUCACAUAAGAAAAUUAUUUAUUUUCACAUAAAAGACAUCGAUAAAAUUAUACUUAGAAAAACAUUUCGAACUCAAUAAUUUUGAAACACAGAAAGACUAAUUUAUUUUGUAUCAAGAGAAGGAAACCAAAAAAAUUCCUGGCUUCCAAGUAGAUAAAUGAGUUUUGUCUACCAUCUGAACUUUUAAAGUGUUUUUGUAUAAAUCGUGAGAUGUUUUUUCUUAUUUACUAACCUUGUCAAUAUGGGACUAAAAAAAUAAUAAUGUUUUCGAGUCUUUAAUUGAUAUGUAUAAGUAAUGAAUGGGCACUAACUUAAACCUUAUGAUGAUACGUCAUAUGAUUUGUAAAUUUGCUCUAAAAAUUUGGUCUACGCAUUACUUUUUGUUGAAUAUUAGACUUGGAUUUGAACGAAUAUUUAAAAAUAGCAACCCAUAUAGCUACUAGCUAGUAACUAAAAAUAAAUUAACAACCAAACAAAAAUUUGUUAAAAUUGAAAAGAAUAAACACGCACAUAUCAUUUCAAACUUAGGAGCUCUCAUUAAUUUUAAACAACAAAAUCAUUGCUUUUAAUUAAACUUCUUGAGUAUUUAACCAAAUUUUAUAAAUUUAUACUCUUAUGAAAAAAAAAUUGUAAAACUUGGAAAGUAAAUAAGCACACAUGGUGUCUUGAACCCAAGACCUUCUUAUUAAUUUCAAAUUACAAAACCACCACUUCUAGCUAACUUCCUUUGUCAUUAAACCAACUUUUUAAAAUUUAUACUCUUAUAAAAACAUAUAUAAAUAUACCACCCGAAUAAUUUUGAUGCCCCAAAUUUUUUUGGGCCUUGGACGGUCGCCCUGCCUGCCUUGGGCCUGGGCCGACCCUGGCAGGAUAUGUAAAGACUAAGAAGCGUUUGGUGCUGAGGAUUGGAUUGAAAUGCAUAAAACAUUUCAAGGUAUGUUGAAAGAAAAAUCGAAAACAUUGUGGCCAACUUGGAAGUAGGAAUCAAUAAGAAAUUUAGAGCUGAUUUGGGAUUAUGGUGCUUAAAAAAAAAGCAACAUAUUAAAAAAUUUGGAACAUCAAAUGUGUUUGGUAAAACAAUUUUUUUUUUUUAAAUUUGAUGUCAAUAAUAGUAGAAAAGCAGAAGUAGAGCCUACCAUGCUUAUAAAAAAACUGUUUUUUUUUAAACAUAGUGAUCAGUGCCAAUUUAAUGAAAUUUUCAAAUGGCAAGUAUACCCCCCAAAUUUUACAAAAUUACAAUCUUUACCCUUACAAUAUUCUCUUUGGUAAUUAUUAUAUCACACUAAAUACCGUAUCUUUUUUUAGUCAUUUAACAUAUUCACAACAAUUUUAUAUAAAAGUUUACCAAACACUUAGACUUUUUUUUUUUUUUUUUGCUAUAAGCAAUUUUACAAAAAAAAAAGGUUACCAAACACUCAACAAUUUUAUAUUAUAGCUGUUUAUUCUCACAUCACAGUAGAAGAAUAUUUUUUUUAAAGCACAACAAUACCAAAUUAGCCAUUAUUCACUACAAUCAUUCCUAAAACGGUAGGAUGAAAGGAGAAAUUAAUUCAUGUUUAGCCCCUUUAAUCCGAUCCUCUAUAUGAAAUGAGACCUAAAUUUGUGGUGUCACUUAGUAUUACGAUUUAGAGGUAUUUUUCUUCACUUAUAAGUGAGAGAUGUUUUUUUUUAACCAACGAUAUUAUCUACACUAAGGAGGUGGGGGAAUGCACCAAGCCUCACAAUGGGCUAGCAAUAAUGUAGUUCAAAUUCGCCUUUGGCAAGAGUUGCAUGCAUAUAUGGAGACGACCUAUUCGACCUUCAAUGCCACUAAUAUUGUCCUACAACAACAAUAUAGGGUACCAAAUUUCACCAAAUUUUCAAAUUUGAUCUCUGUUUUACUUCUUUCUGAAAAGCAAAACCAACUUUUGAUGAAAAAUCAUCAAGCUCAACCCAUUGGCUUGAAUGCUACGCUUGAAGCGCAUGCGACUAAUUUUAACAGCCACAAACAACAGAAGAACCAUCGUAGCCAUGGAAAUGGGCGGCAACUCCAGCCACGGGUGCAAGGUCAACAAAGCAAAGGCCUUGCCAAGGGAGGCCCCUAACUUCAAGAACAAGGGAAAAGCUACCAUUUAAUCGAAUUCCACUACAUUGGACAUGUGCUACCGUUGUGGAUCAAUGGACCAUUGGGCAUGCGUAUGUUGAGCUACCCCUGAGACUAUUGCCAAGUAUCAUUCCUGUCAUGAGUCUAAUUUUGCACAUGUGGAACAUCCCGAUGAUACUACCACAACUAUAGAGGUUUCAAAUUUUCAGGUGGCUAGCAUUAUGUCUCUCAGGCAUCGAAUUUACUACAUCUCUCUCCAUUUUAUUGUUCUUUUGUUUCUCUCAGACAUCGAAUCUGUCAUCUCUUUCCAGCCCAAUACUUAUCAUUUAUAUGUAUUCACAAACUUAUGAUUCAAUCGUAUGACAUGUUCUGGCAAUUUCUGUAUUUGUAAUGCAGGUCUCACAGCCAUAGGCUUCAUUUUUCAGUGAUGAGAAUCUGGAAACCAUGGCUAUCAAGAAAGAAUUCUCAUUGGAGGAGGUUAAGAAUGAUGAGGUGGAUAACUAUGCAUGUUCAUACAAUUUUGGGGGUGCCGACCCGGCGGAGGGAGAGGAGAACGAUUAUGGAGACGGGGGUAUGGACAUGGAUGACAGAGGCAAUGGCGAUGACUAAGUAUCAAUAUGAUAAUGUUGCUUUGGUCACAUGGAGCCGUGUGAGAUGAAAGUCUCAUGCACCGUUUUGAAUGAGAAAGGAGUGAGGAAUCCUCUUUUUGACUAUGACCCCCACUCCAGUUGUUGCUUUUCUUUCUAUUACUUCAAAAGUAGCUGCUUUAGCUUUAACCACCCAAUUUUUUUAUAUUCGUUUGGGUGGGAGACUUCUUGUGUAAGUUAAACUACCGUCAGCUAUUUAGAUGCGUCAAGUCCCACCCCCACCCCCACAUAUACCGAUUACUAUUACAAUGGAAAACAUAGUUUUGUCUUAACUUUUGUGCCGAUUAUACUGACUACUAUUCUUGUCUCGUCUUCACUUGUAUGUGAUACGUAUAAAGUUCGACUUAUAUGGAUGUGUGGUUGCUCAAGCCUUCAUUCCUUUAGAUAUAAAAUAAAUAGUAUCAAAAAAAUUUGUACUGGUUGUCACUAACAUUGCUGUUUAGUAGUAAUUAUUUUAUCACUUACAAGCUGAAAGCCUUGAGAGGACUCUUAACACUUGUUGCUGUUUAGUAGAAAACUUUUGUAGGAGUUGUAUUUUGUCUUAUACGUAGAAUUAACGUUUCUGAUCAGAAACGAUAAGUUUUCUACUAAAGUUUGGUGACAACCGCUACUGUUUCUUAUAAGAAUAGAAAAUUAAGGGUGUUUGUACCAUACUUGACCAAUCCCGAAACUACUGAGUACUGGUCAAUGUUAUACCGUCAAGGACCCAUAAGAGUUUCCCUCCAACCAUGAGGCCAAUCACAGCGCAACAUGUGUUGACAUUAGAAGCCAAUCAUAGCGCGACACGUGUCAACAUCAGAAGCCAAUCACAACACGACACGUUCAAUGUCAAAACAAAGCUAGAAACUCUCUUCUAUAAAAGGAGAUCAUUCUCCCACAAUAUUUCCUAAUAUCAUUUGUACUAAAUCAUUCACUAGUACUCACUAAAGGAGAGCUUCAACCUAUGUACUUGUGUAAACCCUUCACAAUUAAUGAGAACUCCUCUACUCCGUGGACGUAGCCAAUCUGGGUGAACCACGUACAUCUUGUGUUUGCUUCCCUGUCUCUAUCCAUUUGUAUACUUAUCCACACAAGUGACCGGAGCAAUCUAGCGAAGGUCACAAACUUGACACUUUCUGUUGUACCAAAGUCCCCACUGAUUUUGUGCAUCAACAAAAGGUGUGUUUGUUUGCCUUCACUAAAUCUCCUUGGACUGGAAUGGACUAGCUAUUAGUCCAAUAUCAUAUUUGUUACACAAGGAAUAGAUUUAAUGAGAUUAGAGCCGACUCGUCCCGACUAAGUCCUUUGUUAAAAGGUCUUAGCAAGAUCCCCCAAUAAGCACUGGAUUACUAAGACCAUUCGUGUCCUCGUCCAGUCGUUCUCCUCGCUUCUUUGUUCUGGUCUGGUCAGCCGACCUCGCCAGACCACCCCACCGACAGCGAUGGCGACGAUCGUCGACGAGAUGUAUUUGUUUUUGGCUCCGCACUUCUUUGACUUCAUAAAGGACGAGAGCGAAGCCGAGUCUACCAUAGAAAGCUCUUCAUUGCCCGCGGCAUGGCCAUUCACGUUAAUUGGAGGAGGGGAUGAGGAUGGGUCAUCGGAGAAGAGAGGUUGGAUGAGGAGACGAUGGUGGGCUCGCGGCUAGAGGAUUGAUUCAGAGAUGAAGGAUCUCAAUUACGCAGAGAUCUGAUAGACUGAUUCGCUUAUUUCCAUUUUUUCCCCAAUUUUUAAUCUUUUCCCCAUUUUUUAUUUAUUUAUUUUUUUAUCUUUUUGAUUUAGGGGAAAUUUAUCGACAGUGUGGAUUUAUUGUUUGGUUUGAUUUGAAUUGGGCAAGUAAAUCUUUGGUUUUUUUUUUUUAUAUAGAAAACGAACUUUUGGAGUGGAUUAUGAGUUAAUUUGUAAUUUCUCCUCCUGCGUAUUUUUCAAUUUAGGAUUUGAUUGUAGGUUGUUAGAAUUUGUAUGAAAUUUUGUUGUUAUGAUUGUAUACGGUCCAUUUUUCACUGGUUUUGUUAUCCCAUUUCUUAGUUCGACACUUCAUUAAACGUUUCACUAAGUUAGUCUAGCUUAGUCUAUUUUAAGUCAGUCCAGCUUAGUCCCAGAAGUUAAUCCAAUUCGAGAUAAUCCGGUACAACAAAUGCACCCUAAGUAUGACGCAUCGUGCUACAAUGAAUAGGGAAAUCGAAUGACUAUUUUGCUUUGUUAUUAAGGUUUUGGAGGCAAUCUCCUUGGUCGAUGUUACAAGGCGCUUUAUCGAGGCAUUAGCUCUGCAGUUUGGAAGACCAGUGGAAGCUGAUUCGGUAGGCAUCCUGGGCAUGUAAUGCUCUCUGCAAAGUUCUUGAAACGUUAAGACUAAUUGUUCAUGUCUAAUUCAUAAAGCUUAUUAAGUCUUGCAUGUUUAUGUUUAAUCUAAACAUCAUUGGUGGAUUACAUGUUAGGUGUACGUAAUUACUUGAACAUCACGAAGAGAAUACGCAUUAAUAAAACUUAACCUUUAAAGUUGCAUAUUUUAACUCAUAAGUAAUUUGUAGAACUGCAUAGGAUUGUUAAUGGUGGGUGCUAAACCUUAGUGCUUUUUCACAUUUGAUUUCUGUCCAUAACUUUAUUUUAUUUUAUCUCUCAUUGCCAAUUUUCGUUAGUCAAAUUUAAUUAUUUUAUUUUCUGUUCUUUUACUUUAAUUCACAAUUUCAAAAUUUUUCCAAAACUUAUGUUGUAUACUUAACUAAGAAUUAGUUUCAAAUACAAAUUAUUCAUAUUGAUCCGAUAGAGAACGAUCUUACUUGAGCUGUUUAUACUAUAAUAACCUUGUUCUCUUGUAAGUAUUUUUAUGUGUUUUAAUUCCUAUUUUUGCAAGUGGUAAAAAUCCAACCACUCUCAACAUCAACAUGUUUGAAUCUGAAUUAGUUUGCCAGCCAGAAUUAGUUGGCCAACUAGUCCAAUCCAAUUCACUAGUCUAGUCUAAUCCAUUCUUGUCCGGUCUAGUCCAGUUCGCUAUAAUAGCUCUUUUGCUUGAAAGCUCGCUUGAAUUGUCUUGCCAUAUUGGCCUAAUAGAGCUUGCAUCCGCAUCUACUUGUUGGCAAUUCAUGUCGUGUACCGCCAUGAAUUUGAUACGGGGUGUUGGAAUAUUAGUUAUUAUUUGAUUGUCUAGGUUUGGGUCUCACCUAUCUGAUUAGGAUUCUUUAGAUUUUGCAUUCCAUAAAUAUAGCUUGUAGUUUAGUAUGAGAAUUAAGUUAGUCAAGAUGUAGGCCUUAGUUUGUAGCCGUCUCUGCAUUCUUAUUAUUGUUUUCCUGUUAAUAAUAUUCAUAAUUUAUAAAUUGUUUGUGUUAAGUUUUAGUAAACUGAUAUAUACAGGAAUUGGAUUUUUAGAGGAAGCUGAAAAGACAGAGAGUGAGAGGCAAAGUUUCUUCAACUGCAACUCUGUUACAUUGCAGAGAGCAACAUUUCAUUCAUCUACAUUCCUUUCUUUUACAUCAGAAAUCAUAUCCGUUCAAUUACAUGAGCCAAUGUGAUUUUGACACAUGGCAGAACAAAGCAUAUGAGCCAUUGAAAAGAUACCUGAUCUAAAAUCACACACUUGGCAUAUGAGCACAAGUUAUCACAACAUAAAACAGCUACACAAUAGAACAAAGAUAAAAUAGAUAAGUAAAUCAUUUACUAACUUGAAAUUAGUAAGCAAUUUACUUUUCAACACUCCCUUCUAAAUUGUUAAUUGAUUUCACACCCAGUAAACUUCUCAAGUUGUUGAAUCUGUCUUUGGGAAGAGCCUUGGUAAAGAUGUCUGCAAUUUGUUCUUCACUCUUGCAGUAAAUCAGAUCAAUGGUACCUUCUUGAAUUGCAUCCCGAAUAAAGUGAAACUUCCUGCCAAUAUGCUUGGUUCUUUGAUGAAACACAGGAUUCUUAGACAUAGCUAUAGCUGAAGUGUUGUCACGGAAUAGCGUUGUUGCUGCAGCUUGCUCUUCUCCAAAGUCCUUGAGCACAAACCUAAGCCAAAUGGCCUGAGAUGUUGCUUCAGCUGCACUAACAUACUCUGCUUCUGCAGUUGAAAGAGCUACACUAUGCUGCUUGACUGAAGCCCAUGAGAAUGCCCCACUUCCAAAUGAAAAAGCAUACCCUGAGGUGCUUUUCAUAUCCUCCUCAGAUCCACUCCAGUCACUAUCGCAAUAUCCAAUCAGCAAAGCAGAUUUUCCAUUCAAAUAUUCAAUUCCAAAGUCAAUUGUUCCUUGAAUGUACCUUAAGACUCGUUUAGCAGCUCCAUAAUGUUUCUUGGUAGGCUUGUGCAUAAAUCGUGCAAGUACACUAGCAGAGAACAUAAUAUCUGGUCUAGUUGCUGUUAAAUACAAAAGACUUCCAACUAUUUUCCUGUACUCACACUCAUCUGCAGGUUCACUUCCAUCUUCUCUUCUCAGUUUAUCAGUUGCAACCAAUGGAGUGCUCACUGGUUUGCAAUCUUUGAGCCCAAAUUUAUCCAAAAGAGUUAGAAUAUAUUUUUUCUGAUGUAUAAAUAUACUCCCUUCAGUUUGAGUUACCCUCAUUCCAAGAAAAUGAUGAAGUAAACCCAAAUCUGACAUCUCAUAUUUGCACAUCAUUUCAGCUUUGAAUUCUUCCAUCAUUUCUGCAUUGCUCCCUGUGUACACAAUGUCAUCAACAUAGAUUGACACGAUCAAGGUACCAACACCUUCCUUGCUUCUCACAUAUAAAGUUGCUUCACUUGAGCUUUUGUGAAAUCCACAGUGAAUUGAAUAAAUAUGUGUCUAUUUCACUGUACCAGGCCCUUGGUGCUUGUUUUAGACCAUAGAGAGCCUUUCUCAGCCUAUAAACCUUGUCUUCAGCCCCUUUAAUCACAAAACCAUCAGGUUGAUCAACAUAUACUUCCUCCUCAAGAACACCAUUCAGAAAGGCUGAUUUAACAUCUAAUUGCCACAGUUUCCAACCUUUCUGUGCAGCUAGUGCAAUGAGUGUUCUAAUAGUAUCUAACCUUGCCACUGGAGCAAAGGUUUCAUUAAAAUCAAUCCCUGGUUUCUGUGUGUAACCUUUGGCUACAAGCCUUGCCUUGUGUUUUUGAAUGGAGCCAUCAAGAUUCAGCUUUGUUUUGUAUACCCAUUUCACACCCACAACAGGUUUACUACUAGGUCUGUCAACUAAUUCCCACGUGGAAUUCUUUUCAAUCAUCAAUAUUUCUUCUGUCAUAGCCUUUUUCCAAGCAUCAUCUUUGACUGCCUCAUUGAAAUCUUCAGGUUCAAUGAUGCUCAUGUUGCAUUGAGCAUAUACUUCACUCAAACUCUUCCAUUUCUGUGGAGUAUGGUCAUAACUUUCAGAUAUUGGAACUGGAGAACCAAGUGAACCAGGUUCUUGAGAUGCUUGCAGAUCUCCAGUUGAUUGUGAUCUCAGAGGAGGCUGCAUUGACUGAGGUGAAUAACUUGAAUAUGGCUCAAAUUCAGAUAUCCUUGAGUUUCUUUCAUCAUUCAAAGAACUAGGAACUUGAACUGAUUCAUUAGUUUUCCAGUCCCAUAUCACUUUCUUAUCAAAGAUUACACUUCUUGAUAAUUCAACCUUUUGAGUUCUCAAGUUGAAGAUUCUAUAUCCUUUUUCACAAUUUCCAUAUCCAACGAAUACUCCUUUCUCACCAGUUUCCUCCAGUUUGUGUCUUUUCUGUGAAGGAAUGUGAAUAUAACACAUGGAACCAAAUAUCUUCAAAUGUUUGACACCUGGCUUCCUCCCACUAAAUGCCUCAAAUGGAGUUAUGUUGUUAAGAGCACUUGUUGGACAUCGGUUUUGCAGAUACACAGCUGUGUUGACAGCUUCAGCCCAAAACUUCAAGGGAAUCUUCUUUUCAAUCAUCAUAGUUCUUGCCAUUUCAAUUAUUGUCCUAUUCUUUCUCUCUGCAACACCAUUUUGUUGCGGAGAGUAGGCAACAGUCAAUUGCCUUUCUAAUCCCAUAUCUUCACAGAACCUUGAAAACUCUAGAGAUGUAUAUUCUCCACCCCUAUCACUUCUGAGUUUCUUGAUUUGAUAGCCACUUUGUAGCUCAACCAUGGAUUUAAACCUUUUGAAAAUGUUGAAGACUUGAGACUUGUGUUGCAAGAAAAAUACCCAACACAUCCUAGUGUGGUCAUCAAUAAAUGUGAGAAAGAAUUUGUUGCCUCCUAGAAUAGUUAUCUGCAUUGGGCCGUAUAUAUCAGAAUGAAUAAGUUCUAGAGGUUGUGAUGCCCUCCAAACUUUUCCCUUGUCAAAUGAUUCCCUAUGACCCUUUCCUGUAGCACAUCCGGAGCAAACAUGCUCAGAAACUUGUAGUCUAGGUAAGCCCUGCACCAUUUCCUUCUCUUGCAGAAGCAUUAAACUAAUGUAGUUUAGAUGUCCAUAUCUUCUAUGCCACAACUGAGAUGACUCUUCAACAGUUGCUCUAUUAGCCAUGUGAGGAUUAACAUAUUCCAAACUUAAUGGAAAGCAUCUGUUCCCUUUCAUUGGAACACUUGCAAUCAGAUCUUCCAUCUGUCUAUCUCCAUAAAUAUCAACCAUGUAAUCACCAAACACAAGCCAAUGUCCAUGUUCUACCAUCUGCCCUACACUCAAUAAGUUUUCAUCCAAUCCAGGUACAAUUAUAACUUCUUUAAUAUACCUAGUCACACCUUUCAUCUCAAUCACCAAUGUGCCUUUGCCUAUUGACUGCACUAAAUCUCCAGUGCCCAUUUUAACUCUACACUUCACAUUCUUAUCAACAUCAAUAAGCAAGGAUUCAUGGGAGGUCAUAUGAUUGCUACAUGCACUAUCUACAUACCAUAUAUUCAUACUUCUUCCAAUAGUAGCAGAAUGGCAGGCAUAAAACAUGGUUGCAGAUUCUGUUACCUGAUUCGCAUAGUUUACAAGUUUUCCAGACUUGUUUGGUUGAUCACAAUCCUUGAUGAAAUGACGGAAACGAUUGCAUCCAUGACAUUUCGGCUUCCCUUUAAACCAGCACUCACCAUAGUGUAGUUUAUCACAAUGCUUGCAUUUUCCCUUAGACUGAUCAGAUUUUCCUCCUUGAUCAUAUUUGCCACCUCGAUUAGCAAGAUUCAGAGGUUUAGGAUCCCAUUUCUUCCCUUUUGAUUUCCAAUCCUUCUUUGGUUUAGAAUUACCAAACGAGAGAUUUGGUUGACUUCCUUUCGAAUUCAGAUUCAGAGUACUGAAAGCUCUUUCAAUGGUACUCUCAGCAUGUCUAUCAAGGCGUUGUGCAAACCCUCUUAAUGCUGCAAUCACCUCUUGUACCUCAAUAGUUUCAAUAUCCUUGGUUUGUUCAAUUACAUAACAAACAGGAUCAAACUCCUUAGUUAAGCUUAUGAGCAAUUUCUGAACUAAUCGUUCUCUGGGUAAAUCUUCCCCAUAACCCUUCAUCUGAUUUACCAACUCGAGAAGACGAGUGAGAUACAUAGACAGAGUUUCAUCAUCCCUCAUCCUUGUGUACUCGAAAUCACGGCGUAGACCCUGCAACUUGAUGGAUCUCACUUGCUUAUCACUAUGAAAUUCCUGAUGUAGGAUAUCCCAAGCACCCUUUGAGGUUUCUUCGUUUGAGAUUCUGGGAAAGAUGUCAUCCGAGACAGCUCCUUGGAUUAUACCCAGUGCCUUAGCAUCCUUCAUUAGCUUGUCGCUCAGAGAAACUCUCUCCGACUCCGAUGAACCUUCAUCUCCAAUCUUCUUAUCCUUCGAUUCUGAAAUUUCAAACCCCUUUUCAACUAAAUCCCAGAUUCCAUGUGAUUUGAAAAUAGUUCUCAUUCGAAUCUUCCAGAAUUCAUAGUUGUCACCAUUGAAUAUUGGAGCCCAAAGAUCACUACCACCAGAUCCAGCCAUUUGAGACUUGAAUCGACAAAACUGAGUCGGAAAUUUCACGUUGGAUUUCCGAGCACAGCACUCACAGAUCUUACGCCCCGAUUCCAGAUAGAACCUGAGCUCUAGAUACCAUGUUAAGUUUUAGUAAACUGAUAUAUACAAGAAUUGGAUUUUUAGAGGAAGCUGAAAAGACAGAGAGAGUGAGAGGCAAAGUUUCUUCAACUGCAACUCUGUUACAUUGCAGAGAGCAACAUUUCAUUCAUCUACAUUCCCUUCUUUUACAUCAGAAAUCAUAUCCGUUCAAUUACAUGAGCCAAUGUGAUUUUGACACAUGGCAGAACAAAGCAUAUGAGCCAUUGAAAAGAGACCUGAUCUAAAAUCACACACUUGGCAUAUGAGCACAAGUUAUCACAACAUAAAACAGCUACACAAUAGAACAAAGAUAAAAUAGAUAAGUAAAUCAUUUACUAACUUGAAAUUAGUAAGCAAUUUACUUUUCAACAGUUUGUUCCUACGUUUGAUGCUCUGAUUUUUAACUGCAUGCACAUUCUCUAACUGCAUGCACAUAAGGCCUUUUAUGGCCUAAAGCAGGCCUCUCGUGCCUAGUUUCAGAGGUGUAGUUCUUUUAUUAUCAAUUUUGGUUUCCUUCAAAGCUGGGCUGAUAAUUCUGUGUUCGUUGUUUUGGGUAGUGAUCCCUCUGCUUUUCUUUCUAAUUAAAAAAAAAUAGGUGUUGAAUAUGAUUUAAAAGACUUGGGCAAACUGCUAUUUUCUUCGGAAAAAAGUCUUUUUUAUGUGGCCGGAUAUUCAUCUCACCCGGACAAGGUACACAUUGAACAUUCUCAAGAAGGGAGACAUGCUUGAUUGUUUGACACGUACAUGUGGUACUGAGUUGGCUGGUCCAUGUUUCUAUUGCUAUUGUGGUGGAGGUCUUCAAUAUCUCACCAUGACAUUCAAUAUCGCCGUCGUCUCCUUUGCCGUUCAUAACGUUGCUCAAAUCAUGGGUCGUCCUACUUCUUUGCAUUUGGAGGCAGUUAAACAUAUUUUGUGUUACUUAAAAGGUACUUAUGGUCAUGGUUUGCCAAUAUGAUGUUGUGAUGCCUCUUCUUCUUUUUCAGUGUACUCUAACGCAGAUUGGGCAGCUUGUUCGGACACCCGUCAUUUUGUCACAGGUUUUUGUAUCUUCCUGGGUUCUAACUUGAUCACAUGGUGUUAUAAGAAACAACGAACAGCCUCUUGGUUAAGUACUGAAGCAAAGUAUCGUGCCCUAGUUUAUGGAUGUGCAGAUUCGAUUUGGAUAUUUUGUCUUUUAAGUGAGCUGUGGGUUCCUAUUCCUCGUCCAAUUUUUCUCUAAUGUGAUAACUGGAAGCGAUAUAUAUAUAUAUAUAUAUAUGUAUAUGUAUAUUUACUGUCGCACUUAACAUAUUGCUCUUGAUUAUCACUUUGUGCGAGAACAUGUUGCUAACACGCAUUAGGUUCAGUUUGCUUCUUCCGAGGUGCAGUAGUCAGAAGUGUUCACCAAAAGUCUAUCACAAUCGCACUUCUUGCUGUUGACUUUCAAAAUCCUCACUUCGCAUGUGCCUCGUUUGCGGGGUGAGUGCUAUAGAUAUGGUUGUUUGAAUUGUACUCCAUUCAUGAUUUGAAUUGUACUAUCGUGAUAAAUUCUUAUUAAUGUUGGACUAUCAGAAACUUCACAUGAUGCAUUUUUUUGGAAGAGAUUUUGUGACAACAAUUGUGGUAGUUUUCAUGUAUUCUUCAUCUUUUAAUUGGUCGAGUUCGGUGAAUCAAGCAUGGUUCACAUGGAAUCAAAGCGGAGCAUGUCUACUAAGAUACAAGCAAAAGGAAUGUAUGUCAUCUAUUCUCAUGACAAAGUGGGCAAAUUAUAUAACUAACCAAAAUGUUACUUCAUUAUAGUUGGUAAUUUAUAUUGCAUAAUAAAGGUUGCAAGAGGAAACCAAAUUUCAUUAAAGCAGUUACAAAAGCAGUUAUAUAUUACUAUAUUUAUAUAAUAUAUAGUAUUAUAUAGGUAAUCGAUCAUAUUAGAAGCUGUUGACAACUAAGUUUUGACAACUCUUAUUUCAAGGAAUCAUCUAGCUCAUAUUGACUCAAUUUUUAUGGAUAAUUGGUGGGGGUGGUCGCAAAUUGUUCAAACUUGGUGGUGGUGGUGGUGAAGGAAGAUUGUUUCGACCUGGGGAUGGUGGUGGGGGAGGAUUUUUUCGACUUACUAAAGGUGGUGGAGGAGGAUUAUUCAGAUUUGGUGGAGGUGGUGGUGGAUGGAUGUUCUGAGGUAGUGGAACUUGUGGGGGAUUGUUCCAACCACGUGAUGGUGGUGGUGGAUGACUGUUUUGACUAGGUAAAGGUGGUGGCGGUCGAUUGUUUGGCUGGGGUGGCGGUGGAUUGUUCUGACUUGAUGAUGUUGGUGGCGGUGGAUUGUUCCGACUUGGUGAUGGUGAUGGUGGUGCUCGUUGAGGAUUGUUUCGACCUGGUGAAGGUGCUGGAGUAGGGUUGCUAUGACUUGGUGAUGGUGAUGGUGGUAGAUUGUUCAAAGGUUGUGGUGCUCGUGGAGGAUUAUUUCGUCCUGGUGAUGGGGCUAAUGAUGGAAUGUUCUGAGGUGGUGGUGCUCGUGGAGGAUUGUUUUGUCCUGGUGGUGGGGCUAGUGGUGGAUUAUUUUGAGGUGACGAUAUUAACGGUGGAUUAUUCAUAGGCGGUGGUGCAGGCGAAUGAUUGUUUUUACCCGGUGAUGGUGCUAGUGGUGAAUUAUGUUGAGGUGGUGCUUGCGAAUGAUUGAUUUGACCCGGUGAAGGUGCUGGAAAAGGGUUGGGCUUACCAGGUGUAGGUGUUGGUGGUGGAUUGUUCUGAGUUGGUGGUGUUCGUGGUGCACUGUUUUGACUCGGUAAAGGUGCUGGAGGGGGGUUGCUUUGACCUAGUGUUGGUGUUGGAGUUGGUGGUGGAUUCUUUCCAGGGGGUGUUGGUGUUGGUGUUGGUGUUGGUGUUGGUGUUGGCGUUGGCGUUGGCGUUGGUGUUGGCGUUGGUGUUGGUGUUGGUGUUGGUGUUGGCGUUGGAGUUGUAGCUGGUGUUAGAGUUGGUGAUGGUGUUGGUGGCGGACUUUUUCUAGGUGGUGUUGGCGUUGGCGUUGGCGUUGGUGUUGGUGUUGGUGUUGGUGUUGGCGUUGGAGUUGGAGCUGGUGUUAGAGUUGGUGAUGGUGUUGGUGGCGGACUUUUUCUAGGUGGUGUUGGAGUUGGUGUUGGUGGUUGAUUUUUUUGAGGUGGGGGUGGUGGCGGUGGAUUUUUUUGAGGUGGCGGCGGUGGAGGAUUUUUCUGAGGUGGCGGUGGUGGCGGAUUCUUCUGAGUUGGGGGCGGUGGCGGUGGUUUGUUUUGAGGUGGCGGUGGUGGAGGAUUUUUCUGAGGUGGCGGUGGUGGCGGAUUCUUCUGCGGUGGGGGUGGUGGCGGAUUCUUCGGAGGUGGAGGUGGUGGUCGUCUCACUACAAUAGGAGGAAGAAAUGGCGGCUUGUAAAAUGGUGGUAGCCAUGGCUUGGGAAAUGGUGGUAGCCAUGGCUUAGUUAAUGGUGGUAUAAACAUUGAUGGCUUGUAAAUUUCGUGUCUUAUGGGAGUGACUUGUAGCUUGUCAUCCUCAUUGUAUUGGGCAUUGGAUGAAGUUGUGAUAAGAAUAACCACUACAAGAAAUAGCACAAACAACUUUAAGUAAGUCAUCUUUGCUCUUCUUGUGUUACAAAAUGAGAAGGGGCAUCAUUUUAUAGGGGCAAGAAUGAUGGGUUUUGUGUUAAUAAUUUUGGUCAAUAGGCAAUUGGUAAUUCAUAGGCUCCAAUUGGGGUAGUAUCUGCCCAACUGGUCUAAUAACAUUGCUUUUAUGGUAGGGGAAGCUGAAAUUUUUUGGCAUGCUUUAUAAAUUGUAUUCCUUAUUCCUAAAUUGUUCAACAAAAAAAAUAUAUAUUUGUUUAAAAAUUUAGUAAAAAAGGGGUGAGUCUUGCAAUCUUGCAUUCGUUUUAGUGGUAGCCUCAGGAAUUUUAUUCCAGGAAUUUUUUAUCCGUUACCAGUUACCAUUUCGAGUUUCAAAUCCCCAAAACUGAAGCGGUGUAGUCUAGCAAUCUUGUUCAAGUGUUUGGAAAAACACUAGAAAAGAUAGAAAAAUGAAUGAGUUUUUAAUUGUCUUUAUUAUUUAGGGAGAUGACAUACCCACCCAUCAACAUUAUUUCUCCACCCACUUUUUAAUGAUACUUUUAAUGACAACUCUAAGCUUUUGCAAAAUGACUUAUAAGGCCAUCUUUAACUAUUUUAUUCUUUUGUUUUUGUAUUAAAUUCUGAAAAUAGAAGGAACAAAAACAUGAGCCCAGCAAGUUGAAACCACCGCACACAACACAAACCAAGUUGAAUCCACCGUUUUCCUCAUCUCUUAUGUCAAUUCCUUCCCAUCCAUUCGAAAUCUUCAUCAAACACCAUAGGCCCAUUACAAUUACCUUAAGAAACCUUGAUAAUUGGAUUCUCUCAUACCCAUUUGACGUGGUUUUGAUACCCCUCUUCUACGAUUAAUCCUCUACUUGAGUUGUAAUUGCAGAGAGCGACUACGAGGUCGACCGAGGAUGUUGCUCAUCCUCAUAGUCUUGAUCAAAUUAGAGACAUAAUUGGCUGACAAUGAGAAGGGGGUUGCUUGCCGUCGAGUGGAUGGAUAUGUGGUGGUGACUAAUUUUCUUUGUAAGGGAUAGUUUAGGAAUAUCAGUGGGUGGGAAAAGAGUGUUUUUCAUUUUUACCUUUUGAGUGGGGUGGAAAAAUAAGGUGGGGUGGGGAAAGAGGAUUGUGAGGUGGGUCUAAUAGCUCUCAUUAUUUAAUACCAAGGUUAUCUAACUUAUUGGCAUUCGAUACCCCAUCAUUCCAACAUUUGGCUUUUGUAUUUAAAUCCAAUCAAUUUUCUUUUCUUCUUAAAUGUUUGGCCUUAAACUGUCAUUUUCCUCUUAAUCGGUCGUCCCUUUCUGUUCAACCUUUUUCUUUAUGUAAAUGGCAAGAGUUUGGCCACUGGGUAAUUGGGGUUUAGCCAUUGACGCUUGGACAUUUAAACUCUAAGCUUAGCAUAUAUGGAUGGGGUUAAGCAUCCUAUUCUCCAUCCCCUUGCUAAAUAUGUUGGCAGGAUAUGUAAAGACCAAGAAGCGUUUGGUGCUAAGGAUUGGAUUGAAAUGCAUAAAACAUUUCAAGGUAUGUUGAAAGAAAAAUUGAAAACAUUGUGGCCAACUUGGAAGUAGGAAUCAAUAAGACAACUUAGGGCUGAUUUGGGAUUGUGGUGUUUUUUUUUAUUUUUAAAAGCAACAUAUAAAAAAAAUCUGGAAUAUCAAAUAUGUUUGGUAAAAAAAAAAAAAUUUAAAAACUGAUGUCAAUAAUAGUAGAAAAGAAGAAGUAGAGCCUACCAUGCUUAUAACAAAAUUGUUUUUUUUUUAAAUAUAGUGAUCAGUGCCAAUUUAAUGAAAUUUUCAAAUGACAAGUAUACCCACCAAAUUUUACAAAAUUACAAUAUUUACCCUUACAUUAUUAUCUUUGGCAAUUAUUAUAUCACAUUAAAUAUCAUAUCUUUUUAGUCAUUUAGCAUAUUCACAACAAUUUUAUAUAAAAGUUUACCAAACUUUUUUUUUUUUUUUGCUAUAAGCAAUUUUACAAAAAAAAAAAGUUUACCAAACACUCAACAAUAUUUAUUUUACAGCUGUUUAUUCUCACAUCACAGUAGAAGCAGUUUAUUUUUAUUUUUUUAAGCACAACAAUACCAAACUAGCCAUUAUUCACUACAAUCAUUCCUAAAAUGGUAGGAUGAAAGGAGAAAUUUCAUUCAUGUUUAGUCCCCUUUAAUCUGAUCCUUUAUAUGAAACGAGACCUAAAUUCAAGAAUGUCAUAAAUAAAAUAGGUUCCGAAAAGCUAUACAAAUAUAACCACUUGGAUAUAUAUAUAUAUAUAUAUAUAUAUAUAUAUAUAUAUAUAUAUAUAUUAAUGGGCGGCAACUCCAGCCACGGGUCCAAGGCCAACAAAGCAAAGGCCUGGCCAAGGGAGGCCUCUAACUUCAAGAACAAGGGAAAAGCUACCAUUUAAUCGAAUUCCACUACAUUGGACAUGUGCUACCAUUGUGGAUCAAUGGACCAUUGGUCACGUGUAUGUUGAGCUACCCCUGAGGCUAUUGCCAAGUAUCAUUCCUGUCACAAGUCAAACUUUGCACAUGUGGAACAUCCUGACGAUACUACCACAACUAUAGAGGUUUCAAAUUUUCAGGCGGCAUCCACUUCUAUGGAAGAAUGAAGUUUAUUUUUCUAGACAUGUUCGGGUGGUUUUUACCCUUAGUUAUCGAACCCACUAUGGAAUAACUUGUUUGGUUUGGUUUGUUUUGAAUUAUGGAUAAUUAUGUCAUGGAUAUUAUUUCUCAAUUGAUUAAUUGAAUGAACACAAUUAUAUAUAUAUGCAUGUGAUCGAUUCAAUUAAUUUAUUUCUAGGUAUGACUAGUAGGGAAGUUAGUUGUCUGGCUGAUAGUGCUACAACACACCAUCUUUCGUGAGCAACACUAUCUUACUAACUUUGUACCUAAAAAUGCACCUUUGACAACUCUCUCAAGUUCAUCUAACCUGAUGGAACAAUACAGAAAGGCUCAUAUAAUGUUGUCUAAUGGUAUUGAAUUAACCAUAAAAAGACCUUAUAUUCUCCUCGUUUCGGAAAACGUUGCUAAGUUUUAGAGAUAUCCGAGAUAAUAAAUAUCAUAUUGAAACCACUGAAGAAAAUGAUUCUAAUCAUUUCUUACGAAUAUGGCUAGAAACGUAUUCACAAGAAGUUGGAAUGUUUUUCGAGUGGGUUGUACAUCACAACCAUUAGAGCCAUAGAGACCUAUCACGUGGACGACCCUAAGCUCGGGUUCUAGACCCUUUGCUGUCUUGGCAUGACCGGAUGGGACAUUCUAAACGAGAUAUGAUGCGCCAUAUCCUCAAAUCUUCACACGGGUAUCAUAUAACCUCUUAUAUCGGAUACCCGACUUGCAAAACAUGCCACUUGGGGAAGUUGAACACUCAACCUUCAUCUAUGAAGAUUAAUUAGAACCCUCCAAAGUUUCUUUAAAGGAUUCAAGGGGAUAUUUCAGGACCUAUCCAACCAACAUCCGGACCAUUUAGAUACUUCAUGGUGUUGGUUGAUGCAUUGACACGUUGCUCAUAUGUCCACUUAAUGUCCACACGCAACGCUGCUUUUGCAAAACUCUUAGCUCAAAUCAUUAAGCUUAGGGCUCACCACCUUGAUUAUAUGAUUUAGUAAAUUUGACUAGAUUAUGCUAGAAAGUUUACGUCACGGUCCUCUGAUGAUUAUUGCAUGUCAAUUGGGAUUGAAGUUGAGCAUAUUGUACCACAUGUUCAUACCGAAAACGGUCCAGCAGAAGCUUUUAUAAAGCGCAAUCGAUAGCUCGGACUUUGGUUAUGGGAACCAAAUUGCCGUUAUCUGCCUAGGGCUAUGCAAUUCUACAUGCAUCUAUGUUGGUAUGCUUGAAGCCCACCACUACCCAGUCUCUUUCACCGUUAUAGUUGGUCACUGGAUACGAGCCUGAUGUUUCGCAUUUGCGUGUGUUUGGGUGCCCAGUCAAUAUGUCAAUAACGACACCACUACGUACCAAAAUGGGUCCUCAGAAAAGAAUGUGAAUUUAUGUCGAUUAUGAUUUGCCAUCAAUUAUUCUCAACUUAAAGCCCUUGACAGGAGAUCUCUUUACCGCACGUUUUGCGGAUUCACUUUGAUGAGACAAUCUUGCCGCUGUUAGGGGGAGAUAAGAAUGUUAACGUUUCUAUAAAACGUCACAAAUUGUUGUGAUAUGCUCCCACUAUGUCUCAUUUAGAUCCCCGCACUGCCCAGUCUGAAACCGGAGAGCGUCAUAUUCUAGGUCUUUAGAGUAUUGCUUAAAGCAUGCCGAAUGCUUUUACUGAUCUAAAUAAGGUGACAAGAUCACAUAUACCAACUACAAACACACAUGCAAUGAUCGAUGUACUUUAGGUACGUUGUAACAUUGCCUCAGAAGAAUGACCCAUCCUCGAAUGAAGGUUAGCCGCACCUCCCACGCGGGUCAGUACACUGGUAGCUAGCCAAUUAUCUACUCCUACCUUGAAGCAUGGCAGACCUCCUAGUUCAAAGGAUUUACAACCACAGAAGAGGAAAACGGCACAAACUAGUGAUCCUAGUAUGAAUUCAACCAUCGCUUACUUAUAUGUUCCAACGUAUGAGGUUAUUCUAGAUUACGAUGAUGUCUUAGAUGAGACAAACCGGCCUCCCAAGAAUCGUGAGAUUCGGUCCAUUACGCAGUAUUGGAUGAGAUUUGAAAUCAGAAUGAGAUGAUCGUCGACGAUGCCUUUGCGUACACAGUAGCUAUUAACAUCAUGCUUAACAAUGACAUUGAACUACGUUCCAUUGAUGAGUGUCGAUGUAUAACUGACUGGUCAAACUGGAAACAAGCAACCCAAGUCGAACUUAAUUUGCUUACAAAACGUAAGAUGUUUAGGCAUGCAGCUCCUAUUCCACCACAAGUUAAGCUUGUGGGCUAUAAGUGGAUUUUUGUAAGAAAAUGUAAUGAGAAGAAUGAAUAGUGUGAUACAAAGCACGCCUCGUAGCGUAAGGCUUUUCUCAAUGCCUUAGAAUUAAAUACGAGGAGACAUACUUUCCCGUAAUGGACGUCAUAAUAUUUCGCUACCUUAUCAGUUUGGUAGUUUCUGAAAAACUAAAUAUACAGCUUAUGGAUGUGGUAAUCGCGUAUCUCUAUGGGAUCUAAAUAUAGAAAUCUACAUGAAAGUUUCUGAAGAGCUUACAUUGACUAGAUCAAAUAGUUCUAAACCAUGGAACACCCUAUCGAUUCAAUUGAGGAGUUCACUGUACGGAUUGAAACAAUCUGGGUAUAUGUGGUAUAACCGUCUAAGUGAACCUUUAACAAGUCAGGGUUAUGUGAACAAUGAACUAUGCUCAUGUGUGUUUUUUAAGAAGUUACAUUCUGGAUUUGUGAUCGUUGUAGUUUAUGUCGAUGACAUGAAUCUCAUUGGGAUUCUUGAAGAGCUUGAGGAAACUGCCGCUCACUUGAAAUUGAAAUUUGAGAAGAAAGAUCUUGAGAAAACUUGAUAUUGCCUUGGCCUGAAGAUCAAGCACUGUUCGGAUGGAAUCCUAGUACAUUAAUCGAACUACACCCAGAAGGUGCUGCGACGUUUUAAUGAGGAUAAAGUGAAGCCUUUGAGUAUUCAUGUGGUCAUUUGGACUCUAGAUAUUAAACGAGAACCCUUCAAUCCUAAAGAGGAUAAGGAAAAGAUUUUUGAGCCUGAAAUUCCACACCUAAGAACAAUUGGUGCUUUAUUGUACUUAGCUUAAUGCACUAGACCCAACAUCUCAUUUGUUGUAAAAUCUUUUGGCAAGAUAUAGCAAUGCGCCUAACGUAGGCACUGGAAUGGUGUCUAAUACAUUUUCCUUUACCUUAAGGGUACAACAGAUUUGGGUUUGCUCUACACCCAUGAAUCCUCGAGGGGAGCCGCUGCCCCUUUCGGUCUUUGGGUUGAUUCUCGCCUUGUUGGUUAUGUUGAUGAAUGUUAUCUAUCUAACCCACAUAGGGCACAUUCUCAAAUGGGUUAUGUCUUUACCAUUGGAGAUACCGUAAUUUCUUAGAGGUCUACCAAGCAAUCGUUAGUUGCGACUUUUUUUAACCAUGUUGAGAUUCUCAUCUUGCAUGAAGCCUCGCGUGAAUGCUUUUGGUUGAGAGCAAUCAUGGAACAUAUUCGAACCACUAGCAGUCUUUCUACCAAUGUUGAUGUUUCUAUAAUGAUCUUUGAAGACAAUGAUGCAUGUAUCGAUCAACUGAAGAAGGGAUACAUCAAGGGAGACAACACCAAGCACAUUGCAUUGAAGUUCUUCUAUUCUCACCAACAAUAACAACAUCAUAACAUCAAAGUCAAGCAAAUCCGUUCCCAAGAUAACCUAGCCGAUCUUUUCACAAAGUCAUUGCCCAAGUCUACUUUUAGAAGCUUGUCCAAGGAAUUGGUAUGCGUAAACUUUCUGAGUUGAAUAGCUUGUAGUUCUCUUAUUUGGAAGUUAUGUCAAACUCAGGGGGCCAUAAGCAUACUCACUUGAUAUUAAUGUACUCUUUUUCCCUAUGAUUAGGAGCAUUUUUUCCACUUAGUUUUUGCUACCUAACAAGGUUUUGAUGAGGCACCCAUCCUGGGAUGAUCAUACUUCUUUGAUGUUUACUACUUUUGUCUCGGAUGACGUUUGUUUUUUACAUUAUGCAUACUUAUCACUUUUCUCCUUAGUCUUUGGGUUUUGCACUUACCUUAGGUUUUACCAUAGCAAAGUUUUGUGAGUUUACUACCAAUGCAUACUUUCUUUAAUUUGAGAUUCGCAUUUGCUCGUUUUGUCGACGACUUCAUCAACUGAUCUACUUCAUCCGCUGAAGACCUGAUACGAUAUUUUGUUUGAGUAUUUACACAUUUAAGGAAGUGUUGUAGUCAUAUUUAUUAUAAGAAUGUGAUUGUGUAAAUCCUAUUAUAUAUGGGAUAUCUUUAGUAAAUUCUAUCAUAUCUUUUAGACUAGAUAUUAUUCUAUUGGGGUAAGGAAUGUACCUUAUCUACUACUAUAAAUAAAGGCAAAAUGGGGUGGAAUACCACACACCUCACAAUUACACAUCUCUCUUUUCUCUCUCUAUGUCGUCGGCCACCCCUCUCUAUCCCUUAUAAUUGUUCAGUAAAAUAGGCCUACAACAAAACUAAAUUUGUGGUGCCACUUAGUAUUACGAUUUAGUGAUACUUUUCUUCACUUGUAAGUGAGAGAUUUUUUUUAUUUUUUUUAUUUUUAACAAACGAUAUUAUUUAUACUAAAGAUGUGGGGUAGUGCGCUACGCCUCACUAUCUCGAUGUUGCAUUAGCUCAAUGUCGCCUUCGAUCUCUCGUCUGCAAUAUACUCCACUUCUCUUCUCUUCAUGAGUGAUUCUCACCGUUGAGAUCUGUAACUUUUCUCGGGGGCCAAAUCUCCCAUCACUUCUGCCGGGCAACCCUCUAUUCCAUCUAGCAGUAUUUUCUUGUUGCAGAAACGGACCAGAACCGAGCUGAUUCCUCGGGUACAAAUUAAACUUUGGUGACAACUUCCUAUGGUUGGUGCGGUUGUCAGUUCUGGCAACAAACCAGUCAGAACUCUGCCUGACAACCAGCAACAUAAUGGGCUGGAACCGUGCCCAGCUCUAAGUUAGAGUACAUGUUCCAUUGAAAAUGAAUGUGAAAGUAAUAACUAUUAUUGAAUGAAUAUGACAUAACAAUGUGAGCUUCGUCUGGGCCUCAAAUAAGAAGCGUAGUAAUUAAUUUUAUAUCUGUGAUCCUGUAUUCAGUUUUAUUUGAUAUUAGAUUCUCUGUGUGUGUCUCUUUGUCUCUAUUUCAUAUUUCAUAAUUGGUAGGUUUAAAUUUCUAGAUCUUUUAUUUCGAUACUUGAUUUUUGUCCAUUUUUAAAAGUGGAAUUAUGGCUCUCCUGCGGAUAUUUCAAAACCUAAUAUAUGAAAUAAAAAAUUCCUGUGCAGAUUAGGAGCUUUCCUUCUGCAGAGUUUUACUCGGAGUCAUUGGAGGAUGGUCCUAAUAUUAUAGAGCAGACACAACGUUCUUGGCAUGACUAUCGAUGCUUUGGACCCUUCUGCUUUUUUGACAUACAUCAAGGGAAGGAAUCCAAGCCCGAAGGAAGUGGUAGAUCUGUUGUGAAUGUUGCUGAGGUUGAUUUUAUCAUGCUCUUGUAUCAUAAUUUAGUGGAUAAAUAUCCAGAGCUUAAAUCAAGUCAGCGGUUCACGAUUAUAUCCCCGUAUCGUGGACAAGUAACUCUCUUCAAAGAACGUUUCAGAAGUACUUUCGGAGUGGAGUCUGACAAAUUCGUGGAUAUUACUACUAUUGAUGGUUGCCAGGUAUCGUGACUCAUUCUUUUAUGGAUUCCUUUGAAAUUCUUCUCAAUGCUAAUAGACUUUGUUUUCUAUUCAAAAGGUGAUCAGACGUUUUUAUUUUUAAUUCUUUGGAAGUUUUCAAGGUCAGUUUUUUUGGUGAUGUAAUACCGUGUUAUGUAGAGCUGUCUAGAUGUCGGAGUAUCUCAUUUUAUGUUGCAUAGAUUUGUCAAGGUGAAUGAUAUCUCAUAAUUUUCAUCGAAUUAUACCAUAAAAUAUGAUAUAAACGAUGACGAGGAGGAAAAAGGGGUGGGAGGAGCUCAUGUGACUGUUGGGGUAUUUGUUAAACAGAAACAUCAAAUAUUUAACAUUGGGGGUUAUUACUGACACUGCACUCCUCAAGGUGCAAUUUCUCUCUUAUGGUUUAAUAAGAUACGGGUGCACAAUGACCUUUUUGAAGUGCGAAUAACUUCUCCCUGAACUUUUAGAGACAAUUUUUUCCUAUUAUUCAAUUUGCGAAAAUUGAAAUGUUUGAAUAAAUGAUCUUUUAAUGUUUUUCUCAGGGACGUGAAAAGGAUGUUGCAAUAUUUUCAUGUGUCAGGACAAACGAGCAUGGAAAAAUUGGGUUUCUGUCUGAUUUUCGGCGAAUGAAUGUUGCGAUCACUAGAGCAAAAUCUUCUGUCUUGGUCUGUUAUCGUUUGAAGUUAAGAAUGAAGUUUCAAGUACUGUCUUACUUCAUGUAAUAUGCAUUUACAUAUUGACCUCUUCUUUUAAUCAGGUAGUGGGAUCUGCAUCAACAUUAAGGAAGCGCGAUGAGCAUUGGAAUAACCUUAUCGAAAGCGCUGAAAAGAGGGAUUGUUUGCUUAAGGUGAAUAUUCUUCCUGAGAAUAUGAAAUCACACACUAUUCAUCACACCUCGUGCUCAAUUUGGCCACACAUCUGCUGUGAUUGAUUCAUGUGUUUGGUUUUGUCCAACCGCAUAUGACGGUUCAUGUUGCUAAUGUAGAAUCGUAGGUUGAGCAUUUAAAACUUCACACCAGGUUCUUAAAUUUCUAGGUCCCACAACUUUUAUGUUUUAGGCCGAUUUUCCGUAACUUGUGGUCCUUUGAGUAAGCAAGAGGAAUAAAUUGGUCCAUGCAUCAUUUAGUAUCAACUGCAACGAGCGCUACGUUAAGAACUUUACCCACAUCUCUCUUCAUUUUAUUGUUCUUUUGUUUCUCUCAGACAUCAAAUUUACUACAUCUCUCUCCAUUUUAUUGUUCUUUUGUUUCUCUCGGACAUCGAAUCUGUCAUCUCUUUCCAGCCCAAUACUUAUCAUUUAUAUGUAUUCACAAACCUCUGAUUCAAUCGUAUGGCGUGUUCUGGCGAUUUCUGUAUUUGUAAUGCAGGUCUCACAGCCAUACACUUCAUUUUUCAGUGAUGAGAAUCUGGAAACCAUGGCUAUCAAGAAAGAAUUCUCAUUGGAGGAGGUUGAGAAUGAUGAGGUGGAUAACUAUGCAGGUUCAAACAAUUUUGGGGGUGCCGACCCGGCGGAGGGAGAGGAGAACGAUUAUGGAGACGGGGGUAUGGACAUGGAUGAUGGAGGCAACGGCGAUGACUGAGUAUCGAUAUGAUAAUGUUGCUUAGGUCAUAUGAAGUCGUGUGAGAUGAAAGUCUCAUGCACCGUUUUGAAUGAGAAAGAAGUGAGGAAUCCUCUUUUCAACUUGAUCCCCACUUCAGUUGUUGCUUUUCUUUCUAUUACUUCAAAAGUAGCUGCUUCAGCUUCAACCACCCGAAUUUUUUAUAUUCGUUUGGGUGGGAGACUUCUUGUGUAAGUUAAACUACCGUCAGCUAUUUAGAUGCGUCAAGCCCCACCCCCCACCCCCACCCCCACAUAUACCGAUUACCAUUACAAUGGAAAACAUAGUUUUGUCUUAACUUUUGUGCCGGUUAUCCUGACUACUAUUACUGUCUCGUCUUCACUUGUAAGUGAUACGUAUCAAGUUCGACUUAUAUGGAUGUGUGGCCGCUCAAGCCUUCAUUCCUUUAGAUAUAAAUAACUAGUAUCAAAAAAAUUUGUACUGGUUGUCACUAACAUAGCUGUUUAGUAGUAAUUAUUUUAUCACUUACAAGCUGAAAGCCUUGAGAGGACUCUUAAACACUUGUUGCUGUUUAGUAGAAAACUUUUGUAGGAGUUGUAUUUUGUCUUAUACGUAGAAUUAACGUUUCUAAUUAGAAACGUUAAGUUUUCUACUAAAGUUUAGUGACAACCGUUACUGUUUCUUACAAGAAUAGACAAUUAAGGGUGUGUUUGUUUGCCUUCACUAACUCUCCUUGGAUUGGACUGGACUAGUUAUUAGUCCAAAACCGUGUUUGUUACACGUAGGAAUAGAUUUAAUGAGAUUAGAGCCGACUCGUUCCGACUAAGUCCUUUGUUAGAAGGUCUUAGCGAGAUCCCCCAAUAAGCACGGGAUUGCUAAGAUCGUUCGUGUCCUUGUCCAGUUGUUCUCCUUGCUUCUUUGUUCUGGUCUGGUCAACUGACCUCGCCAGACCACCCCACUGACAGCGAUGGCGACGAUUGUUGACGAGAUGCACUUGUUUUUGGCUCCGCACUUCUUCGACUUGUUCAUAAAGGACAAGAGCGAAGCUGAGUCUACCAUAGAAAGCUCUUCACUGUCGGCUGCAUGGCCAUUCACGUCGAUUGGAGGAGGGGAUGAGGGUGGGUCAUUGGAGAAAAGAGCUUGCAUGAGGAGACGAUGCUAGGCUCGCAACUGGAGGUUUGAUUCGAAGAUGGAGGAUCUUAAUUACGUAGAGGUCUGAUAGACUGAUUCGCUUCUUUCCAUUUUCCCCCCAUUUUUUAUUUUUUAUUUUUUUAUCUUUUUGAUUUAGGGGAAAUUUAUUUACAGUGUGGAUUUAUUGUUUGGUUUGAUUUGAAUUGGGCAAAAUCUUUGGUUUUUUUUUUUUAUAUAGCAAACGAACUUUUGGAGUGGAUUAUGAGUUAAUUAGCAAUUUCUCCUCCUGCGUAUAUUUCAAUUUAGGAUUUGAUUGUAGGUUAUUUAGAAUAUGAUGUUGUUGUAUGAAAUUUUGUUAUGAUUGUAUACGGUCCAUUUUUCAUUGUUUUCGUUAUCCCAUUUCUUAGUCCAACAUUGAUCAAAUGCUUUAUCAAGUUAGUCCAGCUUAGUCUAUUCUAAGUCAGUCCAGCUUAGUCCCAGAAGUUAAUCCAGUCCGAGAUAGUCCGGUACAACAAAUGCACCCUAAGUGUGACGCAUCGUGCUAUAAUGAAUAGGGAAAUCGAAUGACUAUUUUGCCUUGUUAUUAAGGUUUUGGAGGCAAUCUCCUUGGUUGAUGUUAGAAGGCGCUUUAUCGAGGCAUUAGCUCUGCAGUUUGGGAGACCAGUGGAAGCUGAUUCGGUAGGCAUCCUAGGCAUGUAAUGCUCUCUGCAAAGUUCUAGAAACGUUAAGACUAAUUGUUCAUAUCUAAUUCAUAAAACUUAUUAAGUCUUGCAUGUUUAUGUUUAAUUUAAACAUCACUGAUGGAUUACAUGUUAAGUGUACGUAAUUACUUGAACAUCACGAGGAGAUUAUGCAUUAAGAAAACUUAACCUUUAAAGUUGCAUGUUUUAACUCAUAAGUAAUUUGUAGAACUGCGUAUGAUUGUUAAUGGUAACGGCUAAACCCUAAUACUUUUCACAUUUGAUUUCUCUCCAAAUUUUUUUUUUAUUUUAUCUCUCAUUGCCCAUUUUUGUUAGUCAAAUUUAAUUAUUUAUUUUCUGUUCUUUUACUUUAAUUCACAAUUUCAAAUCUUUUCCAAAACUUAUGUUGUAUACUUAACUAAGAAUUGGUUUCAAAUACAAAUUAUUCAUAUUGAUCCGAUAGAGAACGACCUUACUUGAGCUAUUUAUACUAUAAUAACCUUGUUCUCUUAUAAGUAUUUUUAUGUAUUUUAAUUCCUACUUUUGCAAGUGGUAAAAAUCCUACCAUUCUCAACAUCAGCAUGUUUGAAUCUGAAUUAGUUUGCUAGCCAGAAUUAGUUGGCCAGCCAGUCCAAUCCAGUUCACUAGCCUAGUCUAAUCCAUUCUUGUCUAGUCUAGUCUAGUUCGCUAUAAUUGCUCUUUGCUUGAAAGCUCGCUUGAAUUGUCUUGCCUUAUCGGCCUAAUAGAGCUUGCAUCCGCAUCUACUUGUUGGCAACUCAUGUCGUGUACCGUCAUGAAUUUGACACGGGGUGUUGGAAUAUUAGUUAUUAUUUGAUUGUCUAGGUUUGGGUCACACCUAUAUGAUUAGGAUUCUUUAGAUUCUGCAUUCUAUAAAUAUAGCUUGUAGUUUAGUAUGAGAAUUAAGUCAAUCAAGAUGUAAGCCUUAGUUUAUAGCCAUCUCUGCAUUCUUAUUAUUGUUUUCCUGUUAAUAAUAUUCAUAAUUUAUAAAUUGUUUGUUCUUACGUUUGAUGCUCUGAUUUUUAACCGCAUGCACAUUCUUUAACUGCAUGCACAUAAGGCCUUUUAUGGCCUAAAGCAGGCCUCUCGUGCCUCGUUUCAGAGGUUUAGUUCUAUUGAUGCACAAAACCGGAGGUCUUGGAACAACGUAAAUCCGACCAUGAAUUUGCAAGAAAGUAAAUAACACAAGAUGUAUUGUGGUUCGCCCCAAUGUUUGGGCUACGGCCAUACUGAUAUUGUAUUUCUUUGUUUGUGAGAGGAUGAGAGGGUGAGAGCUUCUGAGGGUGAGAGAGCUUUUCCCAUGGCCUAACAAUUGGUCUCUCUCAAUGAGGAGAGUGAGAGGUCCUUUUAUAGAAUAAGGGCUCCUCACUUAUUAUAUAUUUGCCCCUUCAUUUAUUACAUAAUUACAUUUGAGUCCUUCGAGUAUUUAUACGAGAUCUAAAUACGGAGGCCUUAAGUAUGGUAUAAACAGUAGUCCCCCAAGUCUUCAGUCAAGAGAGUCUUUUGGCUGGAGACUUGAAAUUCAGUCCAUGUGUGGGCCGAAGUAACUAGAUGUCGUCUAGAACUGAAUACUCGAUAUGAGGCGGUGCUCAAUGUGAAAUGAUGCUCAAUUAGAAGUAGCACAUGUUGCGAGACUGCUCUACUUGUGGCUUAUGUUGCCUUGGUUGGCUCGGUUUGUGGCGUUGAAGGUGAGGGAGUCCCUUUUAUAGAAUAAGGGCUCGUUCCUCAAUACAUAAGUGAUGGGCUAAGAGUUGAUGCUCGCGGCGAGACGGUUGCUUGGCAGGUGGCGAUGCUUUCUAAUGAUGGUGAGGGAGUCCCUUUUAUAGAAUAAGGGCUCGCUCUUCAAUACAUAAGUGAUGGGUUAUGAGUGAUGCUCGCGGCGAGGCGGUUGCUCAGUAGGCGGCGAUGCUCUCUAAUGAUGAUGAGGGAGUCCCUUUUAUAAAAUAAGGGCUUGCUCCUUAGUACAUGAAUAAUGGGUUAGGAGUGAUGCUUGCGGUGAGUCGGUUGCUCAGUAGGCAGCAAUGCUCUCUAAUGAUGGUGAGGGAGUCCCUUUUAUAAAAUAAGGGCUCGCUCCUCAGUACAUGAAUAAUGGGUUAGAUGUGAUGCUCGUGGCGAAGCGGUUGCUUAGUUGGCGGCGAUGCUCUCUAAUGAAGGUGAGGGAGUCCCUUUUAUAAAAUAAGGGCUCGCUCCUCAGUACAUGAAUAAUGGGUGCUCUCUAAUGAAAGUGAGGGAGUCCCUUUUAUAGAAUAAGGGCUCGUUCCUCAAUACAUAAAUAAUGGGCUAGAGUUGAUGCUCGCGGUGAUGCGGUUGCUCAGUAGGUGGCGAUGCUCUCUAAUGAUGGUGAGGGAGUCCCUUUUAUAAAAUAAGGGUUCGCUCCUCAGUACAUGAAUAAUGGGUUAUGAGUGAUGCUCGCGGCGAUGCGGUUGCUCAGCUGGCAGUAAUGCUCUCUAAUGAAGGUGAGGAAGUCCCUUUUAUAAAAUAAGGGCUCGCUCCUCAGUACAUGAAUAAUGGGUGCUCUCUAAUGAAAGUGAGGGAGUCCCUUUUAUUGAAUAAGGGGUCGCUCCUCAAUACAUAAAUAAUGGGCUAAGUCCUCUAAGUAUUUUUCAUGAGGCCCAGUUGUGGAAGCCUAAUAUAUGGUACAUAGUGUAGUCCCCCAAGUCUUUAGUCAAUAGGGUUUGUUGGCUGGAGACUUCAAAUUGAAUCCAUGUAUGGGCCGAAGUGACGGUUGUUCGAAGGCGGUAUUUGUAUACCCUGCACUGAAGCUUUGUAGGUGAAGCUUUGCAAGUGAAGCUUUUGAAGCUGGUUGACAUGAGUGAUGCUCAUGAAUGUUUAUAUGAGUGAUGCUCAUGAAUGUUGACAUGAGUGAUGCUCAUGAAUGUUGACAUGAAUGAUGUUCAUGGAUGUUUAUGUAUGAUUGACAUGAGUGAUGCUCAUGUAUAAUUUUGGAGUAUUGGAUGUACUUUUGAUCACCUAGUGGGUGAUAAUAGCGGCAGGCUGCCGAAUAAUUUUUGAGUACUGGGCGUACUUUUGAUCACCUGGUUGGUGAUAAUAGCGGCAGGCUGCCGAAUAAUUUUGGGAGUACUGGAUGUACUUUUGAUCACUUAGUUGGUGAUAAUAGCGGCAGGGUGCCGAAUAAAUUUGGAGCCAUAGGGCCUGGCUCUUUUGGGCAUAUGGGCCUUCGCCCUCCACAUAACAUUCCAGCCCAUUAUUUUGGGCUUGCCGUUUUUAUUUUUUAUUUUUUUAUUUUUAUUUUUUAUUAUUAUUACCCUCUGAUAGGGUUAUACAGAUAUCUGCGAAAGAUAAGAAAAAUAAAUUACAUCAUUCAAAAAUAAAUCCGAUCCUCUACUCAAUGGGUCACGCCCAUAAUGCCAUCACCACCGCAAUUAUGUCUGCUUUUUAUUUAUUUAUUUAUUUUCAUCUUCUUUUGCUUUCUGCUUUUCUUUUCUGCUUUGCUUUUGCUUUUUCGACAUGUGAGCACAUGAUUGCACCACUUGCAAAUGCUCAAUAAUUUCUCAUUAUUCCAAACUGCUGCAGCAACGUGACUCUUAAAGCUAUUUAGCAAUGAUGUAUCUGUUGGCCCUCAUGGAAAAGGCUCUGUCUCUUCAGCAUCAUCUUCACAAAUCAGGUUGUCAGAUGAAGACUCUAGUAGCCCAAACUGACUAGCCCAUCCUUCACGAGCGCAUCCACACCAACUCCUGAAAUGGAAGAAUUCUCUUCAUUUGCUAUAAAGACUGCGACCACAGUUGACUUUAAUUUUGGAUUUGUCUCAGCCAGCCUUCUCAUGAGCUCAGUUAGAAGUGCAACAUGACCCAAACAAUCAGUGGUUCCAAGGCCACGAAGUUUAUCUCAUUCGAUGCUCAAUGAGAAUGGAUCAAAUUCCUAGUCUUUGGGGUUAGCAGUGACGGCGUCCAUGUGAUAGCCAAUAAAGGACAAGAUCUUCCCUGGAACAGUUCCUGGGUUGGUACCGAUGAGUACGAGCUUAGAGAAGAGUUCGGAGCGACGGAUGGAGGCGACGACGUCCAUGUGAUAGCCAACAAAGGACAAGAUCUUCCCCGACGGCUGGAGAUGGAAUGGGGUCGGGUUCUUGGAUCGAACCUGGGAGCGGACUGGAAUCAAUUGGGGAGACUCGACCCGGGGACAAGAUCCGACGAGGGUCUAUCUGACCCACCAAGCCCAAUCCGGAUUUUGGGCUCUGAGGCGAGUUGGGGACGGAGAUGCAGGUGUUUUGAGGUCGACACCAGAAGGAACAACAGAGGAAAAAGCUCCGAUUCGCAAUUGGCGAGGACGAUGAAAGUCGGAGGAGGAAGAGGAGGAGGCUACCAAUAAACUGGAAGCAGAAGCAGCCUUUGCAGCCAUGUCCAAGCAGCACAUCGCCAUGCCUCCCUCUCGCUCUCACUCUUUCUCUCUGGGAGUCUGUGUCGGUCUCUGUUGGACUUGUUGCAACUGCUGAAGCGCUGAUGGUUUUUUGAUUUGCCUGAGGUGGUAUUCUCAGUGUUGCAGAGAGAGCAGGGAGAACUCUGUGUUUGUGUCUCUGUGUGGGUUUUGCAGAUCCACGACGGAGGUGAAAAAAUGAAAAAGAACCGACAUAACUUUUUUGUGUCGAUUCCCACAGACGGCGCCAAAUGUUGAUGCACAAAACCGGAGGUCUUGGAACAACGUAAAUCCGACCGUGAAUCUGCAAGAAAGUAAAUAACACAAGAUGUAUCAUGGUUCACCCCAAUGCUUGGGCUACGUCCACACUAAUAUUGUAUUUCUCUGUUUGUGAGAGGAUGAGAGGGUGAGAGCUUUUGAGGGUGAGAGAGCUCUUCCCAUGGCCUAACAAUUGGCCUCUCUCAAUGAGGAGAGUGAGGGGUCCUUUUAUAGAAUAAGGGCUCCUCACUUAUUACAUAUUUGCCUCUUCAUUUAUUACAUAAUUACAUUUGAGUCCUCCGAGUAUUUAUACGAGAUCUAAAUACGGAGGCCCCAAGUAUCGUACAAACAAGUUCUUUUAUUAUCAAUUUUGGUUUCCUUCAAAGCCGGGCUGAUAAUUCUGUGUUCGUUGUUGUGGGUAGUGAUCCCUCUGCUUUUCUUCCUAAUUAAAAAAAAAUAGGUGUUGAAUUUGAUUUAAAAGACUUGGGCAAGCUGCUAUUUUCUUCGGAUAAAAGUCUUUUUUUAUGUGGCCGGAUAUUCAUCUUACCCAGACAAGGUACACAUUGAACAUUCCCAAGAAGGGAGACAUGCUUGAUUGUUUUGACACGUACAUGUGGUACUGAGUUGGCUGGUCCAUGUUUCUAUCGCUAUUGUGGUGGAGGUCUUCAAUAUCUCCGACGUCUCCUUUGCCGUUCAUAACGUUGCUCAAAUCAUGGGUCGUCCUACUUCUUCGCAUUUGGAGGCAGCUAAACAUAUUUUGUGUUACUUAAAAGGUACUUACGGUCAUGGUUUGCCAAUAUGAUGUGGUGAUGCUUCUUCUUCUCUUUCAGUUUACUCUAACGCAGAUUGGGCAGCUUGUUCGGACACCCGUCAUUUUGUCACAGGUUUUUGUAUCUUCCUGGGUUCUAACUUGAUCACAUGGUGUUACAAGAAACAACGAACACCCUCUUGGUUAAGUACUGAAGCAAAGUAUCGUGCCCUAGUUUAUGGAUGUGCAGAUUCGAUUUGGAUAUUUUGUCUUUUAAGUGAGCUGUGGGUUCCUAUUCCUCGUCCAAUUUUUCUCUAAUGUGAUAACUGGAAGCGAUAUAUAUAUAUAUAUAUAUUCACUGUCACACUUAACAUAUUGUUAUCCUCACUUCACAUGUGCCUCGUUUGCGGGGGGAGUGCUAUAGAUAUGGUUGUUUGAAUUGUACUCCAUUCAUGAUUUGAAUUGUACUAUCGUGAUAUAUUCUUAUUAAUGUUGCACUAUCAGAAACUUCACAUGAUGCACUUUUUUGGAAGAGAUUUUGUAACAACAAUUGUGGUAGUUUUCACGUAUUCUACAUCUUUUAAUUGGUCGAGUUUGGUGAAUCAAGUAUGGUUCAUAUGGAAUCAAAGCGGAGCAUGUCUACUAAGGUACAAGCAAAAGGAAUGUAUGUCAUCUAUUCUCAUGACAAAGUGGGCAAAUUAUAUAACUAACCAAAAUGUUACUUCAUUAAAGUUGGUAAUUUAUAUUGCAUAAUAAAGGUUGCAAGAGGAAACCAAAUUUCAUUAAAGCAGUUACAAGAGCAGUAAUAUAUUACUAUAUUUAUAUAAUAUAUAGUAUUGUAUAGGUAAUCGAUCAUAUUAGAAGCUGUUGACAACUAAGUUUCGACAACUCUUAUUUCAAGGAAUUAUCUAGCUCAUAUUGACUCAAUUUUGACGGAUAAUUGGUGGGGGUGGUCGCGUAUUGUUCAAACUUGGUGGUGGUGGUGGAGGAAGAUUGUUUCGACCUGGGGAUGGUGGUGGGGGAGGAUUGUUUCAACUUACUAAAGGUGGUGGUGGAUGGAUGUUCUAAGGUAGUGGAACUUGGGGAUUGUUCCAACCACGUGAUGUGGUGGUGGAGGGCUGUUUUGACCAGGCAAAGGUGGUGGCGGUCGAUUGUUUGGCUGGGGUGGCGGUGUAUUUUUCCGACCUGGUGAUGUUGGUGGCGGUGUAUUUUUCCGACCUGGUGAUGGUGGUGGCGGUGGAUUAUUCUGAGGUGGUGGUGCUCGUUGAGGAUUGUUUCGACCUGGUGAAGGUGCUGGAGCAGGGUUGCUCUGACUUGGUGAUGGUGAUGGUGGUCGAUUGUUCAAGGGUGGUGGUGCUCGUGAAGGAUUAUUUCGUCCUGGUGAUGGGGCUAAUGAUGGAUUGUUCUGAGGUGGUGGUGCUCGUGGAGGACUGUUCUGUCUUGGUGGUGGGGCUAGUGGUGGAGGAUUCUUGUGAGGUGGGGGUGGUGGCGGAUUCUUCGGAGGUGGAGGUGGUGGUCGUCUCACUACAAAAGGAGGAAGAAAUGGCGGCUUGUAAAAUGGUGGUAGCCAUGGCUUGGGAAAUGGUGGUAUAAACAUUGAUGGCUUGUAAAUUUCGUGUCUUAUGGGAGUGACUUGUAGCUUGUCAUCCUCAUUGUAUUGGGCAUUGGAUGAAGUUGUGAUAAGAAUAACCACUACAAGAAAUAGCACAAACAACUUUAAGUAAGUCAUCUUUGCUCUUCUUGUGUUACAAAAUGAGAAGGGGCAUCAUUUUAUAGGGGCAAGAAUGAUGGGUUUUGUGUUAAUAAUUUUGGUCAAUAGGCAAUUGGUAAUUCAUAGGCUCCAAUUGGGGUAGUAUCUGCCCAACUGGUCUAAUAACAUUGCUUUUAUGGUAGGGGAGGCUCAAAAUUUUCAGCAUGCUUUAUAAAUUGUAUUCCUUAUUCCUAAAUUGUUCAACAAAUAUAUAUAUAUAUAUAUAUAUAUAUAUAUAUAUAUAUAUUUGUUUAAAAAUUUAGUAAAAAAGGUGUAGUCUAGCAAUCUUGUUCAAGUGUUUGGAAAUUGUUGGAAGUUUUGAGACUCUUGUCCCACAUUGGUGAAAACAAGAUUCCAAAGUACCUUUAUAUAUGUUUUGUCUUCUACGGUAUUAGUUAUGUGUUGGACCACUUGGAAUGGGAAUUGAGGCUUGAGUCACCAUUUCCGUGGAUUGGGCUUGAUGAUUAUACCAUAAUAUUAAUAUAUAUUAAUAUAAAUUAAUAUAAAUUAAUCAAGACAAGGGCCAUUAAUCUGAUCAAUUAGUUUUAAUUUCAAAUUAAGUUUUUAAUUAAAUUAAUUAAAAACGUUUUGAUUAAAGAUACAACCUUUUGUAGAGAGUUGUAAAGCUUCAGAUACAUCCAAAAGGUAUUUGAAGAGGUAUGAAAGAACCUAUAUAACUGGAGUCCUCAGUUCAUCAUCUUUCAUCUUUUUUUCUUUCUUUUCUUCCGUACAAACUUUCCAGAGAGAGUAAACACACAAAGCAAUUCGCUAGAAUUCUAUAAUCCAGUGCGGGUUGUAGGAUUAGGUAGUUGUAUCCUGGUCGAGCAGACGUUAUAGAACCACAAGCACAAGAGUGGGACGGAAUUACUGUUCGAAGGACAUAGCUUUAACGCUAGCCCCUACCUUCUGUAAUCAAGUUAGUACUGUUGAUAUUCUUAUAUUAAUUUCUGUAUUUAUUGUAUAUUUUUCAUUCUGUAUAGCAAGUACUUUUUGUGAAAUAAAAUUGUGAAUUUCAAGUUCUGUUUAUUUAUGUUAUAUUGUUUAUUUCUAAAUUGUUCUCCAACAGGAAAAACACUAGAAAAGAUAGAAAAAUGAAUGAGUUUUUAAUUGUCUUUAUUAUUUAAUACCAAGGUUAUCUAACUUAUAUUGACAUUCGAUACUCCAUCAUUCCAUUCUUAAGCGGAUCCGACUUACAAAAACGGCAUUCCAUCAUGAUCCAUACCGCGUGCGAGUGAAGCAUAAGCUCUGUUUGUUUGGAAAGUCUAUGAAUGUUAAUUAAAAAAAAAAAAACUUCUGUUAUAAUUCGAGCAGCAUUUUGUUUGAAUCGGAUUUCCAACAUUUGCCUUUUGUAUUUAAAUCCAAUCAAUUUUCUUUUCUUCUUAAAUGUUUGGCCUUAAACUGUCAUUUUCCUCUUAAUCGGUCGUCCCUUUCUGUUCAACCCUUCUCUUUAUGUAAAUGGCAAGAGUUUGGCCACUGGGUAAUUGGGGUAUAGCCAUUGACGAUUGGACAUUUAAACUCUAAGCUUAGCAUACAUGGAUGGGGUUAAGCAUCCUAUUCCCCAUCCCCUUGCUAAAUAUGUUGGUAGGAUACAGGGCCGGUCUAGAGAUUUUUGAGGUCCGGGGCGAUGCUAAAAAAUAUGCCUUAACUUCACAUAAGAAAAUUAUUUAUUUUCACAUAAAAGACAUCGAUAAAAUUAUACUUAGAAAAACAUUUCGAACUCAAUAAUUUUGAAACACAGAAAGACUAAUUUAUUUUGUAUCAAGAGAAGGAAACCAAAAAAAUUCCUGGCUUCCAAGUAGAUAAAUGAGUUUUGUCUACCAUCUGAACUUUUAAAGUGUUUUUGUAUAAAUCGUGAGAUGUUUUUUCUUAUUUACUAACCUUGUCAAUAUGGGACUAAAAAAAUAAUAAUGUUUUCGAGUCUUUAAUUGAUAUGUAUAAGUAAUGAAUGGGCACUAACUUAAACCUUAUGAUGAUACGUCAUAUGAUUUGUAAAUUUGGUCUAAAAAUUUGGUCUACGCAUUACUUUUUGUUGAAUAUUAGACUUGAAUUUGAACGAAAAUUUAAAAAUAGCAACCUAUAUAGCUACUAGCUAGUAACUAAAAAUAAAUUAACAACCAAACAAAAAUUUGUUAAAAUUGAAAAGAAUAAACACGCACAUAUCAUUUCAAACUUAGGAGCUCUCAUUAAUUUUAAACAACAAAAUCAUUGCUUUUAAUUUAACUUCUUGAGUAUUUAACCAAAUUUUAUAAAUUUAUACUUUUAUAAAAACAAAAAUUGUAAAACUUGGAAAGUAAAUAAGCACACGUGGUGUCUUGAACCCAAGACCUUCUUAUUAAUUUCAAAUUACAAAACCACCACUUCUAGCUAACUUCCUUUGUCAUUAAACCAACUUUUUAAAAUUUAUACUUUUAUAAAAACAUAUAUAAAUAUACCACCCGAAUAAUUUUGGUGCCCCCAAUUUUUUUGGGCCCUGGACGGUCGCCCUGCCUGCCUUGGGCCUGGGUCGGCCCUGGCAGGAUAUGUAAAGACUAAGAAGCGUUUGGCGCUGAGGAUUGGAUUGAAAUGCAUAAAACAUUUCAAGGUAUGUUGAAAGAAAAAUUGAAAACAUUGUGGCCAACUUGGAAGUAGGAAUCAAUAAGAAAUUUAGAGCUGAUUUGGGAUUAUGGUGCUUAAAAAAAAAGCAACAUAUUAAAAAAUUUGGAACAUCAAAUGUGUUUGGUAAAACAAUUUUUUUUUUAAAAUUUGAUGUCAAUAAUAGUAGAAAAGCAGAAGUAGAGCCUACCAUGCUUAUAAAAAAACUGUUUUUUUUUUUUUAAACAUAGUGAUCAGUGCCAAUUUAAUGAAAUUUUCAAAUGGCAAGUAUACCCCCCAAAUUUUACAAAAUUACAAUCUUUACCCUUACAAUAUUCUCUUUGGUAAUUAUUAUAUCACACUAAAUAUCGUAUCUUUUUUUAGUCAUUUAGCAUAUUCACAACAAUUUUAUAUAAAAGUUUACCAAACACUUAGACUUUUUUUUUUUUUUUUUUUUUUUUUUUGCUAUAAGCAAUUUUACAAAAAAAAAGGUUACCAAACACUCAAUAAUUUUAUAUUAUAGCUGUUUAUUCUCAUAUCACAGUAGAAUAAUUUUUUUUUAAAGCACAACAAUACCAAAUUAGCCAUUAUUCACUACAAUCAUUCCUAAAAUGGUAGGAUGAAAGGAGAAAUUUAAUUCAUGUUUAGCCCCUUUAAUCCGAUCCUCUAUAUGAAAUGAGACCUAAAUUUGUGGUGUCACUUAGUAUUACGAUUUAGAGUUAUUUUUCUUCACUUAUAAGUGAGAGAUUUUUUUUUUUUUUAACAAACGAUAUUAUCUACACUAAGGAGGUGGGGGAAUGCACUAAGCCUCACAAUGGGCUAGCAAUAAUGUAGUUCAAAUUCGCCUUUGGCAAGAGUUGCAUGCAUAUAUGGAGACGACCUAUUCAACCUUCAAUGCCACUAAUAUUGUCCUACAACAACAAUAUAGGGCACCAAAUUUCACCAAAUUUUCAAAUUUGAUCUCUGUUUUACUUCUUUCUGAAAAGCAAAACCAACUUUUGAUGAAAAAUCAUCAAGCUCAACCCAUUGGCUUGAACGCUACGCUUGAAGCGCAUGCGACUAAUUUUAGCAGCCACAAACGACAGAAGAACCAUCGUAGCCAUGGAAAUGGGCGGCAACUCCAGCCACGGGUGCAAGGUCAACAAAGCAAAGGCCUUGCCAAGGGAGGCCCCUAACUUCAAGAACAAGGGAAAAGCUACCAUUUAAUCGAAUUCCACUACAUUGGACAUGUGCUACCGUUGUGGAUCAAUGGACCAUUGGUCACGCGUAUGUUGAGCUACCCCUGAGACUAUUGCCAAGUAUCAUUCCUGUCAUGAGUCUAAUUUUGCACAUGUGGAACAUCCCGAUGAUACUACCACAACUAUAGAGGUUUCAAAUUUUCAGGUGGCUAGCAUUAUGUUUCUCUCAGGCAUCGAAUUUACUACAUCUCUCUCCAUUUUAUUGUUCUUUUGUUUCUCUCAGACAUCGAAUCUGUCAUCUCUUUCCAGCCCAAUACUUAUCAUUUAUAUGUAUUCACAAACUUUUGAUUCAAUCGUAUGACGUGUUCUGGCAAUUUCUGUAUUUGUAAUGCAGGUCUCACAGCCAUACACUUUAUUUUUCAGUGAUGAGAAUCUGGAAACCAUGGCUAUCAAGAAAGAAUUCUCAUUGGAGGAGGUUGAGAAUGAUGAGGUGGAUAACUAUGCAUGUUCAUACAAUUUUGGGGGUGCCGACCCGGCAGAGGGAGAGGAGAACGAUUAUGGAGACGGGGGUAUGGACAUGGAUGACGGAGGCAAUGGCGAUGACUAAGUAUUGAUAUGAUAAUGUUGGUUUGGUCACAUGGAGCCGUGUGAGAUGAAAGUCUCAUGCACCGUUUUGAAUGAGAAAGGAGUGAGGAAUCCUCUUUUCGACUAUGACCCCCACUCCAGUUGUUGCUUUUUCUUUCUAUUACUUCAAAAGUAGCUGCUUUAGCUUUAACCACCCAAUUUUUUUAUAUUCGUUUGGGUGGGAGACUUCUUGUGUAAGUUAAACUACCGUCAGCUAUUUAGAUGCGUCAAGUCCCACCCCCACCCCCACAUAUACCGAUUACUAUUACAAUGGAAAACAUAGUUUUGUCUUAACUUUUGUGCCGAUUAUACUGACUACUAUUCUUGUCUCGUCUUCACUUGUAUGUGAUACGUAUAAAGUUCGACUUGUAUGGAUGUGUGGCUGCUCAAGCCUUCAUUCCUUUAGAUAUAAAAUAAAUAGUAUCAAAAAUAUUUGUACUGGUUGUCACUAACAUUGCUGUUUAGUAGUAAUUAUUUUAUCACUUACAAGCUGAAAGCCUUGAGAGGACUCUUAACACUUGUUGCUGUUUAGUAGAAAACUUUUGUAGGAGUUGUAUUUUGUCUUAUACGUAGAAUUAACGUUUCUGAUAAAAAAACGAUAAGUUUUCUACUAAAGUUUGGUGACAACCGCUACUGUUUUUUAUAAGAAUAGAAAAUUAAGGGUGUUUGUACCAUACUUGACCAAUCCCGAAACUACUGAGUACUAGUCAACGUUAUACCGUUAAGGACCCAUAAGAGUUUCCCUCCAACCAUGAGGCCAAUCACAGCACGACAUGUGUUGACAUCAGAAGCCAAUCAUAGCGCGACACAUGUCAACAUCAGAAGCCAAUCACAACACGACACGUGUCAAUGUCAAAACAAAGCUAGAAACUCUCUUCUAUAAAAGGAGAUCAUUCUCCCACAAUAUUUUCUAAUGUCAUUUGUACUAAAUCAUUCAUUAGUACUCACUAAAGGAGAGCUUCAACCUAUGUACUUGUGUAAACCCUUCACGAUUAAUGAGAACUCCUCUACUCCGUGGACGUAGCCAAUCUGGGUGAACCACGUACAUCUUGUGUUUGCUUCCCUGUCUCUAUCCAUUUGUAUACUUAUCCACACAAGUGACCGGAGCAAUCUAGCGAAUGUCACAAACUUGACACUUUCUGUUGUACCAAAGUCCCCACUGAUUUUGUGCAUCAACAAAGGGUGUGUUUGUUUGCCUUCACUAAAUCUCCUUGGAUUGGAAUGGACUAGCUAUUAGUCCAAUAUCGUAUUUGUUACACAAGGAAUAGAUUUAAUGAGAUUAGAGCCGACUCGUCCCGACUAAGUCCUUUGUUAAAAGGUCUUAGCAAGACCCCCCAAUAAGCACUAGAUUACUAAGACCAUUCGUGUCCUCGUCCAGUCGUUCUCCUCGCUUCUUUGUUCUGGUCUGGUCAGCCGACCUCACCAGACCACCCCACCGACAGCGAUGGCGACGAUCGUCGACGAGAUGUACUUGUUUUUGGCUCCGCACUUCUUUGACUUCAUAAAGGAUGAGAGCGAAGCCGAGUCUACCAUAGAAAGCUCUUCAUUGCCGGCGGCAUGGCCAUUCACGUUAAUUGGAUGAGGGGAUGAGGAUGGGUCAUCAGAGAAGAGAGGUUGGAUGAGGAGACGAUGGUGGGCUCGCGGCUAGAGGAUUGAUUCAGAGAUGGAGGAUCUCAAUUACGCAGAGGUCUGAUAGACUGAUUCGCUUCUUUCCAUUUUUUCCCCAUUUUUUAUUUUUUAUAUUUUUAUCUUUUUGAUUUAGGGGAAAUUUAUCGACAGUGUGGAUUUAUUGUUUGGUUUGAUUUGAAUUGGGCAAGUAAAUCUUUGGUUUUUUUUUAUAUAGAAAACGAACUUUUGGAGUGGAUUAUGAGUUAAUUUGCAAUUUCUCCUCCUGCGUAUUUUUCAAUUUAGGAUUUGAUUGUAGGUUGUUAGAAUUUGUAUGAAAUUUUUUUAUUAUGAUUGUAUACGGUCCAUUUUUCAUUGGUUUUGUUAUCCCAUUUCUUAGUUCGACACAUCAUUAAACGUUUCACUAAGUUAGUCUAGCUUAGUCUAUUUUAAGUCAGUCCAGCUUAGUCCCAGAAGUUAAUCCAGUUCGAGAUAAUCCGGUACAACAAAUGCACCCUAAGUAUGACGCAUCGUGCUACAAUGAUUAGGGAAAUCGAAUGACUAUUUUGCUUUGUUAUUAAGGUUUUGGAGGCAAUCUCCUUGGUCGAUGUUACAAGGCGCUUUAUCGAGGCAUUAGCUCUGCAGUUUGGAAGACCAGUGGAAGCUGAUUCGGUAGGCAUCCUGGGCAUGUAAUGCUCUCUGCAAAGUUCUUGAAACGUUAAGACUAAUUGUUCAUGUAUCUAAUUCAUAAAGCUUAUUAAGUCUUGCAUGUUUAUGUUUAAUCUAAACAUCAUUGGUGGAUUACAUGUUAGGUGUACGUAAUUACUUGAACAUCACGAGGAGAAUAAGCAUUAAUAAAACUUAACCUUUAAAGUUGCAUAUUUUAACUCAUAAGUAAUUUGUAGAACUGCAUAGGAUUGUUAAUGGUGGGUGCUAAACCUUAGUGCUUUUUCACAUUUGAUUUCUGUCUAUAACUUUAUUUUAUUUUAGGAAAAAUUAGUAUCCGGUCCCUAGUUUUUACUAUUCAUUGACUAACACCUUAUUAGUUCUCAAAUUUUGAUUCAAGUCCCUAGCAUUAAUGUGAUAAUGAAUUUACAUGUUUAUUAUAUAAUUUUUUUAAUAUAAAAAUUAGUAAUUAAUUUAGGGUUUAAUACUCACACCUCUAUUAAACUUCUAAUUAAUUUUCAAUUCAAACAUUUCCAAAAUAAUAAAAAAUUAAAUUAAAUUAAGUUUGUACCUAUUAGUUUUUUUUAUAUAUAAAAAGAUUCUCAAUUUUUUAAUCUUAAAUGUACCCAUUCAUAUAAUUUUUCAAUUUUUUUAAUCUUAAAUGUACCCAUUCUCAAAUAUAUCAAUUUGUUAUAUGUAAAAUGUACCCUUUUUUAAUAUAAAAUCCAUUCAAAUUUUUUAAUCCAUGUUUAAACUUAUAUGGGUACAUUCUUUUUCGUUGAUUUGAGAAUGUAUCCAUGUUUUGGUACAAUAACUUUUUUUGUUAAUUUUGGUUAAUGUACCCAUACAUAUAUGUACACACACACACAAUAUAUAGAGAGAAUAAUUUAUAUUUUAUUAUUUUUAAUCCCAUAAUUAUGGGUUUUAUUUAAAAUCUCAUUAAUAUAAACAAUUACAAAUUUCAAUUUUUAAUUUUUAAUUAAAAAAAUAUAGUAACUUACAUUAUUACAUUAAUAUCAGGGACCUCAAUCAAAAACUAAAAACUAACAAGGUUUCAAUCAAAGGAUAUUGAUAGCUAGGGACCGCAUCCAAAGUGUCCCGGAAAAAUUAGUAUCCGGUCCCUAGUUCUUAUUGUUCAUUGACUAAGACCUUAUUAGUUCUCAAAUUUUGAUUCAAGUCCCUAGCAUUAAUGUAAUAAUGAAUUUACAUGUUUAUUAUAUAAUUUUUUAAUAUAAAUAUUAGUAAUUAAUUUAGGGUUUAAUACUCACACUUCUAUUAAACUUCUAAUUAAUUUUCAAUUCAAACAUUUUCAAAAUAAUAAAAAAAUUAAAUUAAAUUAAGUUUGUACCUAUUAGUUUUUUUUUAUAUAUAUAAAAAGAUUCUCAAUUUUUUAAUCUUCAAUGUACCCAUUCAUAUAAUUUUUCAAUUUUUUUAAUCAUCAAUGUACCCAUUCUCAAAUAUAUCAAUUUGUUAUAAGUAAAAUGUACCCUUUUUUAAUAUAAAAUCCAUUCAAAUUUUUUAAUCCAUGUUUAAACUUAUAUGGGUACAUUCUUUUUCGUUGAUUUGAGAAUGUAUCCAUGUUUUGGUACAAUAACUUUUUUUGUUAAUUUUGGUUAAUGUACCCAUACAUAUAUGUACACACACACACACAAUAUAUAGAGAGAAUAAUUUAUAUUUUAUUAUUUUUAAUCCCAUAAUUAUGGGUUUUAUUUAAAAUCUCAUUAAUAUAAACAAUUACAAAUUUCAAUUUUUAAUUUUUAAUUAAAAAAAUAUAGUAACUUACAUUAUUACAUUAAUAUCAGGGACCUCAAUCAAAAACUAAAAACUAACAAGGUUUCAAUCAAAGGAUAUUGAUAGCUAGGGACCGCAUCCAAAGUGUCCCGGAAAAAUUAGUAUCCGGUCCCUAGUUCUUAUUGUUCAUUGACUAAGACCUUAUUAGUUCUCAAAUUUUGAUUCAAGUCCCUAGCAUUAAUGUAAUAAUGAAUUUACAUGUUUAUUAUAUAUAAUUUUUUAAUAUAAAUAUUAGUAAUUAAUUUAGGGUUUUAAUACUCACACUUCUAUUAAACUUCUAAUUAAUUUUCAAUUCAAACAUUUUCAAAAUAAUAAAAAAAUUAAAUUAAAUUAAGUUUGUACCUAUUAGUUUUUUUUAUAUAUAUAAAAAGAUUCUCAAUUUUUUAAUCUUCAAUGUACCCAUUCAUAUAAUUUUUCAAUUUUUUUAAUCAUCAAUGUACCCAUUCUCAAAUAUAUCAAUUUGUUAUAAGUAAAAUGUACCCUUUUUUAAUAUAAAAUCCAUUCAAAUUUUUUAAUCCAUGUUUAAACUUAUAUGGGUACAUUCUUUUUUCGUUGAUUUGAGAAUGUAUCCAUGUUUUGGUACAAUAACUUUUUUUGUUAAUUUUGGUUAAUGUACCCAUACAUAUAUGUACACACACACAAUAUAAUAGAGAGUAUAAUUUAUAUUUUAUUAUUUUUAAUCCCAUAAAUUAUGGGUUUUAUUUAAAAUCUCAUUAAUAUAAACAAUUAGAAAUUUCAAUUUUUAAUUUUUAAUUUUUAAUUUAAAAAAUAUAGUAACUUACAUUAUUACAUUAAUGUCAGGGACUUCAAUCAAAAACUAAAAACUAACAAGGUUUCAAUCAAAGAAUAUUGAUAACUAGGGACCGCAUCCAAAUUGUCCCAUAUAUAUAUAUAUAUAUAUGUAUAUGUAUAUUUACUGUCGCACUUAACAUAUUGCUCUUGAUUAUCACUUUGUGCGAGAACAUGUUGCUCACACGCAUUAGGUUCAGUUUGCUUCUUCCGAGGUGCAGUAGUCAGAAGUCUAUCACAAUCGCACUUCUUGCUGUUGACUUUCAAAAUCCUCACUUCGCAUGUGCCUCGUUUGCGGGGGGAGUGCUAUAGAUAUGGUUGUUUGAAUUGUACUCCAUUCAUGAUUUGAAUUGUACUAUCGUGAUAAAUUCUUAUUAAUGUUGGACUAUCAGAAACUUCACAUGAUGCACUUUUUUGGAAGAGAUUUUGUGACAAUUGUGGUAGUUUUUAUGUAUUCUUCAUCUUUUAAUUGGUCGAGUUCGGUGAAUCAAGCAUGGUUCACAUGGAAUCAAAGCGGAGCAUGUCUACUAAGAUACAAGCAAAAGAAAUGUAUGUCAUCUAUUCUCAUGAUAAAGUGGGCAAAUUAUAUAACUAACCAAAAUGUUACUUCAUUAUAGUUGGUAAUUUAUAUUGCAUAAUAAAGGUUGCAAGAGGAAACCAAAUUUCAUUAAAGCAGUUACAAAAGCAGUUAUAUAUUACUAUAUUUAUAUAAUAUAUAGUAUUAUAUAGGUAAUCGAUCAUAUUAGAAGCUGUUGACAACUAAGUUUUGACAACUCUUAUUUCAAGGAAUCAUCUAGCUCAUAUUGACUCAAUUUUGAUGGAUAAUUGGUGGGGGUGGUCGCAAAUUGUUCAAACUUGGUGGUGGUGGUGGUGGAGGAAGAUUGUCGAAGAUUGUUUCGACCUGGGGAUGGUGGUGGGGGAGGAUUGUUUCGACUUACUAAAGGUGGUGGAGGAGGAUUAUUUAGAUUUGGUGGAGGUGGUGGUGGAUGGAUGUUCUGAGGUAGUGGAACUUGUGGGGGAUUGUUCCAACCACGUGAUGGUGGUGGUGGAUGACUGUUUUGACUAGGUAAAGGUGGUGGCGGUCGAUUGUUUGGCUGGGGUGGCGGUGGAUUGUUCUGACUUGAUGAUGUUGGUGGCGGUGGAUUGUUCCGACUUGGUGAUGGUGAUGGUGGUGCUCGUUGAGGAUUGUUUCGACCUGGUGAAGGUGCUGGAGUAGGGUUGCUAUGACUUGGUGAUGGUGAUGGUGGUAGAUUGUUCAAAGGUGGUGGUGCUCGUGGAGGAUUAUUUCGUCCUGGUGAUGGGGCUAAUGAUGGAUUGUUCUGAGGUGGUGGUGCUCGUGGAGGAUUGUUUUGUCCUGAUGGUGGGGCUAGUGGUGGAUUAUUUUGAGGUGACGAUAUUAACGGUGGAUUAUUCAUAGGCGGUGGUGCAGGCGAAUGAUUGUUUUUACCCGGUGAUGGUGCUAGUGGUGAAUUAUGUUGAGGUGGUGCUUGCGAAUGAUUGAUUUGACCCGGUGAAGGUGCUGGAAAAGGGUUGGGCUUACCAGGUGUAGGUGUUGGUGGUGGAUUGUUCUGAGUUGGUGGUGUUCGUGGUGCACUGUUUUGACUCGGUAAAGGUGCUGGAGGGGGGUUGCUUUGACCUAGUGUUGGUGUUGGAGUUGGUGGUGGAUUCUUUCCAGGGGGUGUUGGUGUUGGUGUUGGUGUUGGUGUUGGUGUUGGCGUUCGUGUUGAUGUUGGUGUUGGUGUUGGUGUUGGUGUUGGCGUUGGUGUUGGCGUUCGUGUUGAUGUUGGUGUUGGUGUUGGUGUUGGCGUUCGUGUUGGUGUUGGCGUUCGUGUUGGUGUUGGUGUUGGUGUUUGGUUUGGUGUUGUGUUGGUGUUGGUGUUGGCGUUUGGUGUUGUGUUUGGUGUUGUGUUGGUGUUGGUGUUGGCGUUCGUGUUGAUGUUGGUGUUGGUGUUGGUGUUGGUGUUGGCGUUGGCGUUGGCGUUGGCGUUGGCGUUCGUGUUGGCGUUGGCGUUGGCGGUGGCCGUGGCGUUGGUGGUGGCGUUGGUGGUGUUGGCGUUGGCGUUGGCGUUGGUGUUGGUGUUCGUGUUGGCGUUGGCGUUGGCGUUGGCGUUGGUGUUGGUGUUGGCGUUGGCGUUGGUGUUGGUGUUGGUGUGGUGGCGUUGGUGUUGGUGUUGGCGUUGGCGUUGGCGUUGGCGUUGGCGUUGGUGUUGGCGUUGAUGUUGGUGUUGGCGUUGGUGUUGGUGUUGGUGUUGGCGUUGAUGUUGGUGUUGGUGUUGGCGUUGGAGUUGGAGCUGGUGUUAGAGUUGGUGUUGAUGUUGGUGGCAGACCUUUUCUAGGUGGUGUUGGAGUUGGUGUUGGUGGUUGAUUUUUUUGAGGUGGCGGCGGGGGAGGAUUUUUCUGAGGUGGCGGUGGUGGCGGAUUCUUCUGAGGUGGGGGUGGUGGCGGUGGAUUCUUUUGAGGUGGCGGCGGUGGAGGAUUUUUCUGAGGUGGCGGUGGUGGCGGAUUCUUCUGAGGUGGGGGCGGUUGCGGUGGUUUGUUUUGAGGUGGCGGUGGUGGAGGAUUUUUCUGAGGUGGCGGUAGUGGCAGAUUCUUCUGCGGUGGGGGUGGUGGCGGAUUCUUCGGAGGUGGAGGUGGUGGUCGUCUCAGUACAAAAGGAGGAAGAAAUGGCGGCUUGUAAAAUGGUGGUAGCCAUGGCUUGGGAAAUGGUGGUAUAAACAUUGAUGGCUUGUAAAUUUCGUGUCUUAUGGGAGUGACUUGUAGCUUGUCAUCCUCAUUGUAUUGGGCAUUGGAUGAAGUUGUGAUAAGAAUAACCACUACAAGAAAUAGCACAAACAACUUUAAGUAAGUCAUCUUUGCUCUUCUUGUGUUACAAAAUGAGAAGGGGCAUCAUUUUAUAGGGGCAAGAAUGAUGGGUUUUGUGUUAAUAAUUUUGGUCAAUAGGCAAUUGGUAAUUCAUAGGCUCCAAUUGGGGUAGUAUCUGCCCAACUGGUCUAAUAACAUUGCUUUUAUGGUAGGGGAAGCUGAAAAUUUUUGGCAUGCUUUAUAAAUUGUAUUCCUUAUUCCUAAAUUGUUCAACAAAAAAAAUAUAUAUUUGUUUAAAAAUUUAGUAAAAAAGGGGUGCGUCUUGCAAUCUUGCAUUCGUUUUAGUGGUAGCCUCAGGAAUUUUAUUCCAGGAAUUUUUUAUCCGUUACCAGUUACCAUUUCGAGUUUCAAAUCCCCAAAACUGAAGCGGUGUAGUCUAGCAUUCUUGUUCAAGUGUUUGGAAAAACACUAGAAAAGAUAGAAAAAUGAAUGAGUUUUUAAUUGUCUUUAUUAUUUAGGGAGAUGACAUACCCACCCAUCAACAUUAUUUCUCCACCCACUUUUUAAUGAUACUUUUAAUGACAACUCUAAGCUUUUGCAAAAUGACUUAUAAGGCCAUCUUUAACUAUUUUAUUCUUUUGUUUUUGUAUUAAAUUCUGAAAAUAGAAGGAACAAAAACAUGAGCCCAGCAAGUUGAAACCACCGCACACAACACAAACCAAGUUGAAUCCACCGUUUUCCUCAUCUCUUAUGCCAAUUCCUUCCCAUCCAUUCGAAAUCUUCAUCAAACACCAUAGGCCCAUUACAAUUACCUUAAGAAACCUUGAUAAUUGGAUUCUCUCAUACCCAUUUGACGUGGUUUUGAUACCCCUCUUCUACGAUUAGUCCUCUACUUGAGUUGUAAUUGCAGAGAGCGACUACGAGGUCGACCGAGGAUGUUGCUCAUCCUCAUAGUCUUGAUCAAAUUAGAGACAUAAUUGGCUGACGAUGAGAAGGGGGUUGCUUGCCGUCGAGUGGAUGGAUAUGUGGUGGUGAUUAAUUUUCUUUGUAAGGGAUAGUUUAGGAAUAUCAAUGGGUGGGAAAAUAGUGUUUUCAUUUUUACCUUUUGAAUGGGGUGGAAAAAUAAGGUGGGGUGGGGAAAUAGGAUUGUGAGGUGGGUCUAAUAGCUCUCAUUAUUUAAUACCAAGGUUAUCUAACUUAUUGGCAUUCGAUACUCCAUCAUUCCAACAUUUGGCUUUUGUAUUUAAAUCCAAUCAAUUUUCUUUUCUUCUUAAAUGUUUGGCCUUAAACUGUCAUUUUCCUCUUAAUCGGUCGUCCCUUUCUGUUCAACCUUUGUCUUUAUGUAAAUGGCAAGAGUUUGGCCACUGGGUAAUUGGGGUUUAGCCAUUGACGCUUGGACAUUUAAACUCUAAGCUUAGCAUAUAUGGAUGGGGUUAAGCAUCCUAUUCUCCAUCCCCUUGCUAAAUAUGUUGGCAGGAUAUGUAAAGACCAAGAAGCGUUUGGUGCUAAGGAUUGGAUUGAAAUGCAUAAAACAUUUCAAGGUAUGUUGAAAGAAAAAUUGAAAACAUUGUGGCCAACUAGGAAGUAGGAAUCAAUAAGACAACUUAGGGCUGAUUUGGGAUUGUGGUGUUUUUUUUUUUUUUUUUUAAAGCAACAUAUAAAAAAAAUCUGGAACAUCAAAUAUGUUUGGUAAAAAAAAAAAAUUUAAAAACUGAUGUCAAUAAUAGUAGAAAAGCAGAAGUAGAACCUACUAUGCUUAUAACAAAAUUGUUUUUUUUUUUAAACAUAGUGAUCAGUGCCAAUUUAAUGAAAUUUUCAAAUGACAAGUAUACCCACCAAAUUUUACAAAAUUACAAUAUUUACCCUUACAUUAUUCUCUUUAGCAAUUAUUAUAUCACAUUAAAUAUCAUAUAUUUUUUAGUCAUUUAGCAUAUUCACAACAAUUUUAUAUAAAAGUUUACCAAACUUUUUUUUUUUGCUAUAAGCAAUUUUACAAAAAAAAAAAAAGUUUACCAAACACUCAACAAUAUUUUAUUUUACAGCUGUUUAUUCUCACAUCACAGUAGAAGCAGUUUAUUUUUUUAUUUUUUUAUCUUUUUAAGCACAACAAUACCAAACUAGCCAUUAUUCACUACAAUCAUUCCUAAAAUGGUAGGAUGAAAGGAGAAAUUUCAUUCAUGUUUAGUCCCCUUUAAUUUGAUCCUUUAUAUGAAACGAGACCUAAAUUCAAGAAUGUCAUAAAUAAAAUAGGUUCCUAAAAGCUAUACAAAUAUAACCACUUGGAUAUAUAUUAAUGGGCGGCAACUCCAGCCACGGGUCCAAGGUCAACAAAGCAAAGGCCUGGCCAAGGGAGGCCUCUAACUUCAAGAACAAGGGAAAAGCUACCAUUUAAUCGAAUUCCACUACAUUGGACAUGUGCUACCAUUGUGGAUCAAUGGACCAUUGGUCACGUGUAUGUUGAGCUACCCAUGAGGCUAUUGCCAAGUAUCAUUCCUGUCACAAGUCAAACUUUGCACAUGUGGAACAUCCUGACGAUACUACCACAACUAUAGAGGUUUCAAAUUUUCAGGCGGCAUCCACUCCUAUGGAAGAAUGAAGUUUAUUUUUCUAGACAUGUUCAGGUGGUUUUUACCCUUAGUUAUCGAACCCACUAUGGAAUAACUUGUUUGGUUUGGUUUGUUUUGAAUUAUGGAUAAUUAUGUCAUGGAUAUUAUUCUCAAUUGAUUAAUUGAAUGAACAAAAUUAUAUAUAUAUGCAUGUGAUCGAUUCAAUUAAUUUAUUUCUAGGUAUGACUAGUGGGGAAGUUAGUUGUCUGGCUGAUAGUGCUACAACACACCAUCUUUUGUGAGCAACACUAUCUUACUAACUUCGUACCUAAAAAUGCACCUUUGACAACUCUCUCAAGUUCAUCUAACCUGAUGGAACAAUACAUAAAGGCUCAUAUAAUGUUGUCUAAUGGUAUUGAAUUAACCAUAAAAAUACCUUAUAUUCUCCUCGUUUCGGAAAAACGUUGCUAAGUUUUAGAGAUAUCCGAGAUAAUAAAUAUCAUAUUGAAACCACUGAAGAAAAUGAUUCUAAUCAUUUCUUACGAAUAUGGCUAGAAAUGUAUUCACAAGAAGUUGGAAUGUUUUUCGAGUGGGUUGUACAUCACAACCAUUAGAGCCAUAGAGACCUAUCACGUGGACGACCCUAAGCUCGGGUUCUAGACCCUUUGCUGUCUUGGCAUGACCGGAUGGGACAUUCUAAACGAGAUAUGAUGCGCCAUAUCUUCAAAUCUUCACACGGGUAUCAUAUAACCUCUUAUUGGAUACCCGACUUGCAAAGCAUGCCACUUGGGGAAGUUGAGCACUCAACCUUCAUCUAUAAAGAUUAAUUAGAACCCUCCAAAGUUUCUUUAAAGGAUUCAAGGGGAUAUUUCAGGACCUAUCCAACCAACAUCCGGACCAUUUAGAUACUUCAUGGUGUUGGUUGAUGCAUUGACACGUUGCUCAUAUGUCCACUUAAUGUCCACACGCAACGCUGCUUUUGCAAAACUCUUAGCUCAAAUCAUUAAGCUUAGGGCUCACCACCUUGAUUAUAUGAUUUAGUAAAUUUGACUAGAUUAUGCUAGAAAGUUUACGUCACGGUCCUCUGAUGAUUAUUGCAUGUCAAUUGGGAUUGAAGUUGAGCAUAUUGUACCCCAUGUUCAUACUGAAAACGGUACAAUAGAAGCUUUCAUAAAGCGCAAUCGAUAGCUCGGACUUUGGUUAUGGGAACCAAAUUGCCGUUAUCUGCCUAGGGCUAUGCAAUUCUACAUGCAUCUAUGUUGGUAUGCUUGAAGCCCACCACUACCCAGUCUCUUUCACCAUUAUAGUUGGUCACUGGAUACAAGCCUGAUGUUUCGCAUUUGUGUGUGUUUGGGUGCCCAGUCAAUAUGUCAAUAACGACACCACUACGUACCAAAAUGGGUCCUCAGAAAAGAAUGUGAAUUUAUGUCGAUUAUAAUUUGCCAUCAAUUAUUCUCAACUUAAAGCCCUUGACAUGAGAUCUCUUUACCGCACGUUUUGCGGAUUCACUUUGAUGAGACAGUCUUGCCGCUGUUAGGGGGAGAUAAGAAUACUAACGUUUCUAUAAAACGUCACAAAUUGUUGUGAUAUGCUCCCACUAUGUCUCAUUUAGAUCCCCGCACUGCCCAGUCUGAAACCGGAGUGCGUCAUAUUCUAGGUCUUUAGAGAAUUGCUUAAAGCAUGCCAAAUGCUUUUACUGAUCUAAAUAAGGUGACAAGAUCACAUAUACCAACUACAAACACACAUGCAAUGAUCGAUGUACUUUAGGUACGUUGUAACAUCGCCUCAGAAGAAUGACCCAUCCUUAAAUGAAGGUUAGCCGCACCUCCCACGUGGGUCAGUACACUGGUAGCUAGCCAAUUAUCUACUCCUACCUUGAAGCGUGGCAGGCCUCCUAGUUCAAAGGAUUUACAACCACAGAAGAGGAAAACGACACAAACUAGUGAUCCUAGUAUGAAUUCAACCAUCGCUUACUUAUAUGUUCCAACUAUGAGGUUAUUCUAGAUUACGAUGAUGUCUUAGAUGAGACAAACCGGCCUCCCAAGAAUCGUGAGAUUCGGUCCAUUACGCAAUAUUGGAUGAGAUUUGAAAUCAGAAUGAGAUGAUCGUCAACGAUGCCUUUGCGUACACAGUAGCUAUUGACAUCAUGCUUAACAAUGACAUUGAACUACGUUCCGUUAAUGAGUGUCGACGUAUAACUGACUGGUCAAACUGGAAACAAGCAACCCAAGUCAAACUUAAUUUGCUUACAAAACGUUGUUUAGGCAUGCAGCUCCUAUUCCACCACAAGUUAAGCUUAUGGACUAUAAGUGGAUUUUCGUAAGAAAAUGUAAUGAGAAGAAUGAAUAGUGUGAUACAAAGCACGCCUCGUAGCGUAAGGCUUUUCUCAAUGCCUUAGAAUUAAAUACGAGGAGACAUACUUUCCCGUAAUGGACGUCAUAACAUUUCGUUACCUUAUCAGUUUGGUAGUUUCUGAAAAACUAAAUAUACAGCUUAUGGAUGUGGUAAUCGCGUAUCUCUAUGGGAUCUAAAUAUAGAAAUCUACAUGAAAGUUUCUGAAGAGCUUACAUUGACUAGAUCAAAUAGUUCUAAACCAUGGAACACCCUAUCGAUUCAAUUGAGGAGUUCACUGUACGGAUUGAAACAAUCUGGGCAUAUGUGGUAUAACCGUCUAAGUGAACCUUUGACAAGUCAGGGUUAUGUGAACAAUGAACUAUGCUCAUGCGUGUUUUUUAAGAAGUUACAUUCCGGAUUUGUGAUCGUUGUAGUUUAUGUCGAUGACAUGAAUCUCAUUGGGAUUCUUGAAGAGCUUGAGGAAACUGCCGCUCACUUGAAAUCGAAAUUUGAGAAGAAAGAUCUUGAGAAAACUUGAUAUUGCCUUGGCCUGAAGAUCAAGCACUGUUAGGAUGGAAUCCUAGUACAUCAAUCGAACUACACCCAGAAGGUGCUGCGACGUUUUAAUGAGGAUAAAGUGAAGCCUUUGAGUACUCAUGUGGUCAUUUGGACUCUAGAUAUUAAACGAGAACCCUUCAAUCCUAAAGAGGAUAAGGAAAAGAUUUUUGAGCCUGAAAUUCCACACCUAAGAGCAAUUGGUGCUUUAUUGUACUUAGCUUAAUGCACUAGACCCAACAUCUCAUUUGUUGUAAAAUCUUUUGGCAAGAUAUAGCAAUGCGCCUAACGCAGGCACUAGAAUGGUGUCAAAUACAUUUUCCUCUACCUUAAGGGUACAACAGAUUUGGGUUUGCUCUACACCUAUGAAUCCUCGAGGGGAGCCGCUGCCCCUUUCGGUCUUUGGGUUGAUUCUCGCCUUGUUGGUUAUGUUGAUGAAUGUUAUCUAUCUAACCCACAUAGGGCACAUUCUCAAAUGGGUUAUGUCUUUACCAUUGGAGAUACCGUAAUUUCUUAGAGGUCUACCAAGCAAUCGUUAGUUGCGACUUUUUUUAACCAUGUUGAGAUUCUCAUCUUGCAUGAAGCCUCGCGUGAAUGCUUUUGGUUGAGAGCAAUUAUGGAACAUAUUCGAACCACUAGCAGUCUUUCUACCAAUGUUGAUGUUUCUAUAACGAUCUUUGAAGACAAUGAUGCAUGUAUCGAUCAACUGAAGAAGGGAUACAUCAAGGGAGACAACACCAAGCACAUUGCAUUGAAGUUCUUCUAUUCUCACCAACAAUAACAACAUCAUAACAUCAAAGACAAGCAAAUCCGUUCCCAAGAUAACCUAGCCGAUCUCUUCACAAAGUCAUUGCCCAAGUCUACUUUUAGAAGCUUGUCCAAGGAAUUGGUAUGCGUAAACUUUCUGAUUUGAAUAGCUCGUAGUUCUCUUAUUUGGAAGUUAUGUCAAACUCAGGGGGCCAGAAGCAUACUCACUUAAUAUUAAUGUACUCUUUUUCCCUAUGAUUAUGAGCAUUUUUUCCACUUAGUUUUUGCUACCUAACGAGGUUUUGAUGAGGCGCCCAUCCUAGGAUGAUCAUACUUCUUUGAUGUUUACUACUUUUGUCUCGGAUGACGUUUGUUUUUUACAUUAUGCAUACUUGUCACUUUUCUCCUUAGUCUUUGGGUUUUGCACUUACCUUAGGUUUUACCAUAGCAAAGUUUUGUGAGUUUACUACCAAUGCAUACUUUCUUUAAUUUGAGAUUCGCAUUUGCUCGUUUUGUCGACGACUUCAUCAACUGAUCUACUUCAUCCGCUGAAGACCUGAUACGAUAUUUUGUUUGAGUAUUUACAAAUUCAAGGGGAAGUGUUGUAGUCAUAUUUAUUAUAUGAAUGUGAUUGUGUAAAUCCUAUUAUAUAUGGGAUAUCUUUAGUAAAUUCUAUCAUAUCUUUUAGACUAGAUAUUAUCCUAUUGGGGUAAGGAAUGUACCUUAUCUACUACUAUAAAUAAAGGCAAAAUGGGGUGGAAUACCACACACCUCACAAUUACACAUCUCUCUUUUCUCUCUCUAUGCCGUCGGCCACCCCUCUCUAUCCCUUAUAAUUUUUCAGUAAAAUAGGCCUACAACAAAACUAAAUUUGUGGUGCCACUUAGUAUUACGAUUUAGUGAUACUUUUCUUCACUUGUAAGUGAGAGAUUUUUUUAUUUUUAACAAACGAUAUUAUUUACACUAAGGAUGUGGGGCAGUGCGCUACGCCUCACUAUGGGCUAGCAAUAAUGUAGUUCAAAUUUGCCUUUAGCGAGAAUCAAACCUAAGACUUCUCACUUACUGGUGAAGACCACUAGAUCGUUGUACUGAGUGGCUGUAAGUGAAAGAUCAUAGAUUCGAAUCUUUUAGAUAGCAAAUUCAAAAAAAUUUAUUCUAGGCUUUUGAACAUUAGCCCUUCAAAUAAUUGAAAUUUAAAAAAAAAAUAUGGUGUUAGAUUGCAUAUUGUCUUUGAAGUGUACUUUUAUUAAAAUUCAUAUUCUAUUUUUUUUUAAUUUAAUGUCUUCGCAUUAAAAUUUUGAUUUUAUUAAUAUGCACAUUUUAGUUCUUCCAAUUAUAAAUAAACCUAAAUGAAAAACAUUUAAAAAAAAUUAGUGACACAAAAGAAAAAUAUGUAAAUACAUAAGUGUAAAAAAAUGACUGUACCAAAAUAUACUAAAUUAACUUCUUAGUACCAAAAUAUAUUAAAAUGAAGUUUUCUAUUUACUUAUUCUAUCACCCCUUUGGGUGGCCUCGCUAAGGUAGGGUUGGACUUUUAUGUCUAUUUGUGUUGAUUAGUGAAUGAUCAAGUAGUCCUGCGAUGUUACAACACGUCCUUUAAAAUAAUGUAUUUUUUUCCGAGACAUAUGGAAGGACAAUUUUACACCUGAGCAUGUGUCUUGAGUAAUCUUCGAGCCUCGACUCGAAAUCCAAUUCUUAUACUUUCUAAUGUUUUCCUAACUAUAUUCACGUGUGUGAACGUGAAAUCGAAAAUGAAACGUGAAGUGAAGCCUCGAUGGCUAAUUUGUAUACUUAAAACCUUGAGAGGGGAAAAUUGGUAAUUUCACUAAAUUUUAAGUGGGAUUAACCCACUCCGUGUCUCACUUUCCCCUCAUUUAUGCAAUUCUCCCUCUCUCCUCACUCUCGAACUUAGAUAGAAUAAAAUACAAUAAUACAUAUUUAAUCUCCAAUAUAUACACUAUGGCUAUUGUAGUUUAUAGUAAGUUUUUUUAAUAGUUUAAAUUUAAAAUUAUCGAAAUAAUGUUUUUCUUAACAGGUCGUAACGUGUUACCCACAAGUUACCCGUGUGUAAACCAGUUAAGGACCUGUUAUAAACGGGCGACCCAAUAAUGACUCGAUUGUUUAUCGUGUUGACCCGAAAUCUGUUAUUUUCAUGUCAUUUCGUAUUGUGUUAGCAUGUCGUAUAAGAAAUUGUCAGGUUUGAAUUGUUGUAUUAUUUAACUAAGAUGACAUGACACAAACUCAAAAAAUUGUCCAAACUAAAGUUAAAAUCACUGUUUUGAAACUAAAAAUAAGCAUUGUUUGUAAAACUGAUUGUAAUAUUAUUACUUACUAUGUUCUAAAUGGUGAAUGUUUAUAUUUUUUUUUAACUCAGAUAGCAUGACAAAAGCUCAAAAAAAUUGUCCAAACUAAAGUUAAAAUCACUAUUCUGAAAUUAAAAUAAGCACUUUUUAUAAAAUUGAAAUAAAAGUUUUUCUUCAUUUUUUAAGAUUGUAAUAUUAUUACUUAAUUUGUUCUAGAUGAUGGAUUAUUGUAUUACUUAACUCAGAUGACAUGAUUCAAACUCUAGAAACUUGUCCAAACUAAAGUUAAAAUCACUAUUUUCGUAUUUAAAUAAGCACUGUUUACAAAACUGAAAAAUAAAAGUUUUUCUUUAUUUUUUUGGAGUGUAAUGUUAGUACCUUGUUCUAAAUGAUGGAUGAUCGCAUUAUUUAACCCAUGGGACAUGACACACUCAAUAAGUUUGUCCAAACUAAAGUUAAACUCAUUAUUUAUAAAACUGAAAAGUGAAAAAAUUUCUUCAUUUAUUGGAUUGUAAUAUUAUUACUUAGUUUGUUCUAAAUUUUUUAUGAAACACUGAUCAAAUAAACAAAUGAUAUAGUAAAAAUACAAAAUAUAUUGUUUAAGAAGUGAGAGUAGAGCGACGUGAGAGAGAGAGUGAUGAGGGGUGAAAGGAGAGAGGAGGGAGAAAAUUGAUGGAGAUGGGUGAAAGAGGAGAGAGUGACUGAGGGAGAGGGAGAGAGAGUGGUGGGGACGGACGGGACCUAUGCGUCAACCUUUUUUAAGUUUCUUUCCUUAUUAUAUUAAACUUUUUUUUCAUUAAAAUUCAAACCUUUUUCAUUAAACAAAGUUAUUAGGUUUUCUUUUGUUAAAAAAAAAAAACCCUUUUCAUUAAAUAAUUUUGUCCAACAAACACUCAAAUUUGCCGUUAAUAAACAAGAAAAAGAAAAUAAAGAUUAGUGCUUUUAUCACUACACUCAAUAACCCUAAACAAAAAUAUUAUUCUUACUGUUUGUAUGUAUUAUCAUUUAUAUCAUCUCUCUAAUAGAGCGGCCUACCAACCCACCACACCACUGCACCUCACUAUUAUUUCCAGCGAAUCCAAACCAAACUUUCGGCACAAUUUACCCCCAAGGUCAUCGACGAAUGUUAACUCCUUCCAUUCUUUUACUUCUCUUUCUUCGUCUCCCUCUUAUCAUAACCUUGAAUUCGUCGAAGGUUCAAUUGUCUUCACCCAAAAACAGAAGGGGUGUCGUGGAUUGCUGGGAAGCAUGAAAGCCUCCCUCUAUGUUUCCCCGAUAGGGUUGGUUGGAGCAUAUACAAGUUCUAGUUGUUUUAAAAUUCUUUUUAUUUAUUUUCAGGACAAAUUUGAAAUUUAUUAAAUAAGUUUUUAAGGUAGGUGUAGAGAUAAGAUAAAUUGGUUCAAAUAAAAUUUCCCAAAAAAAAUGAAGAGAGUUUAUUCUCUUUCCUCUCACCCUAGAUCUCCACUCAAUUGCAUUUUGCAUUCACUUUCUCCAAUUGGGCAAUUCCCAAUUUCCAAUUCCCUUUUUCCUGUAAGCACCCACAACUGAUCCCUAGGCCAUCAUCAGUGAAAAUCAUCAUCGAUUAGUUUUGGCUAUCCCAUUCCAAAUCUGUCAACUCCAAUUUUGAAAUCGGAAAUUGGUGACAUUGGCGAUUGGUGGCAUUGACUAGUAUAUACAAUGAGGGCUACCUAUAUGUUCUUUUCGAUAUUAAAAUUUAUUAACUAGCACAUAAAUGAUUUGUUUAGAACAUGUGCAGUUUAAACUAAUUUUAAUUCCAAUUCAUGCAUAUUUGGUAAAUAGCUUGUAUGAAAUCAAUAUCAUUCAUAUUCCGAUUCUAGAUAGUUAGUAAAUAACUCCUAUUAAAAGCUGAUUCUAAUUUCUCCUUAAUUCAGUUCUCCCUAUUCUGAUUACAUGGUUAACUUGCCCAUGAUGUUUAUCGGGUUGAUGCUUAAGUAUGUACAUAGAGCAUAGAAAUGCAAAGAUUUUGGAUUAAAUAGGGAAUCGAACAUUAAGAAAACAGUUUAGAAGAAAUAAAAGGGUUGUCAUGAUUUAACGGUAAUUUUAUUCUAAUUUUUGUUAAGAAAUAUUAUAUUUCAAUCAUUGAGGAAAUGAUGUUACAGAUACAUACACGUAAAGAAUUAUGUGUGAAAAUGAUCCUUGCAAACUUAAUCUAAACAAUUACGAUAUUUCAUUCCAACCAUAAAAAAAAAAGUACAAUAUUUUAUUUAUGGACUCGUGGUAAUAUUAAUUAUAUCUAAUCUAACCCAAGUAUUAUCAUUUAUCUAUAAUCUCUGAUCUCUAUUCUCUAAAAGUCAGAAGUCCAUUUGGUGUCGCAAGCUUCACAAAAAACAUUUGGACAUAAAAGCCCCUCAAAAAAAAAAAAACUGACAUGAAAAACUGAUUCAUCAUCCUCAAGGGUAUUUCUGUCAACAACAAAUCAGAAUACAGCUUAAUAAAUAAGAGAAUUACCAAAAAAAAAAGAGAUAACUCCCAGCAGCAAACAACAUACUCACUUCUAUCUUGGGAAAUUUUGAAAAAUAGCCAAUUUUAGAACCAUAAAUUGAAUUUAGCCAAACUUUUUAAUUGGGUAAAUUACACUUUCAUACCUCAGGUUUGGAUCCAUUUCAACCUCAUACAACAACUUUAAAACAUUUCACUUUCAUACCUCAAGUACUAUUUUAUUUUAAUAUAAUACAUCCGUUAGAUUUUUCAUCAAUUAAUCCGUUAAAUGCUGACGUGGCUGUCACAUUUGUGCCACGUGGCUGCCAAAUGUCUGGCACGUGGCAAAUAAAAUAUUUUUUAUUUUUUUUUUUAAAAACCUGAAUUUUCUUAAAAAAAAAAAAAUCCCAGAUCUACAAGAAGAAGAAGAAUAGGAAGGAAGAAAGAAAAAGAAAAAAAUUGUCCUCCCCCCAAUUAGUUAGUGAGUGAGUGAGUGGAGGAAGAAAGAAAAAGAAAAAAAUUGUCCCCCCCUUAGUGAGUGAGUGAGUGAGUGAGUGAGGUAAAGUAGAAGUGCUUUGCUUUGUGAGUAUGGUUUGCUAAAACGGGUUGAAGCUGAUGAUAUAUAAAUUGACUUGCACUUGCUUACGGCUAGAUGGACAAUUGGAUAUCUUUAUGAUUCCAUUCGUUCUUCACGCAAUGCCAUCGCCGCCCUGAUUUCAUUCGUUCUUCGCACCAGUAAACGAAGACGAGUUUUAGAGGACGCUUGCCUAAUCUGCACCGCCACCGCACCGUGGCUGCCCUACCAUACCCGCAACGCAACCACGACCCGCAUCCAUGCUACUGCUCACAGAGCCUGCGAGAAUCUGCCGCACCAAAGCCAUGAAACGCGCCCACGGAGCCCAGGAUUCGUACCCGCGAAGGCCCAAAAGAAAAUAGAGAAAAUUGAAAAGGAAGUGGGGAAAAAAUGGUUCUAUAAAAGGUGAAAAAGGGCUCUGCCGGCCUAGGACCAACACUGGCUGCGCGACUAAGGGAGAGGGGAAUAGAAGACAGGGAGGGAGGGAGGAUUAGUAUUACAAUGGGUAAGACUUUUUAUGUGUAUUCUUUUUGUUAGAAUUAUAAGAAGUUAAUAGGGAACUUUAAUGAAAAGGGUUUGAGCUAACAAAUAUUUAAUAAAAAAUCAUCUUAAAAUGUUAUUUAAUCAAAAAGGCUCAAAGUUUAAUAAAAAAAACUAUCCAAAACUAUUGUUCACGACCCAAACCUGCAAGCUCAACCUGCUACAAAAAUAAAUUUCCGUAAAUACCCCUAUAUGAUUCAAAACCGUCUUGUCUCUUCACCAACCGUCAUUAUCACAGAGUUAAACCAGCACGAAACCACCAUAAAGAAACUUUUGGUCUUCCCGUCAAAUCCAAUUCCCCCAAUUUCAAUAAACCAACAAAUCAAAAUUCAAAACAAACUUGAAAAAAGAGAUAAACUGUGAAAAAAAAAACAUUCGCAGAAGAAAGAGAUAAACAAAGCCGCCGAAAAAGAGUUGCAAAACAUACUAGAACCUUUGUGUGAACAAACCGGAGAAAAAGAAGUGCAAAACUUACAAGAACCUCCGUCAGAACCAACAGGCGAAAAACAUGUGCAAAACGUACCAGAACCUCCGUGUGAACAAACCGGAGAAAAAAAUUGCAAAACGUACAAGAACCUCCAUCAGAACAAACCGGCGAAGAAGAGGUAAUAAUCUUAUACCUGUUAGAUUAUAAAUUCUCAUGUACUUGUUAAAGUUAAACAUUUACUUUUCCAGAAAUAUAGUACGACUGUUUUGCCACUUUUCUAGAAACCAAUGGAAUCUAUUAUGAUUUGAAUAAAAUACCUUGAAUACAGUACGAACGAUGACGACAAUCUGAAAAACUACGAUCGCAUUCAAUUUGAUUAGCACUUCAAAAGUUAAAACGACGAUCACGUUCAAAUUGAUAAGAAUUCGAAAAUCUGGUUCUCAGAGCCUUCAACCAGCUCUGGCAAAAAGAGUUGAACAUUGAAGAAAACGGAACUGAACAAAUUUAAAACAAUUUAACCUCGAAAAAUCAUCAUUUACUAUAGUUGGGCCAUUUUUAGUUGGACUGAUUUAAUAUGAGCCUUGUACUAACCAUUAAACAAACUUAUAGAAUGGUUUUUGGUUAAAACUAAAAAUUUUCAAGCCAUUUUCAUUAGUUUUUCUAAGUUAAAUAAGUUUGGCUAAAAUUCAAUACAUGCUUUAAAAUUACAAAAUUUCCCGUCUAUCUUCUAUUCCCCAUUUUCUGAACAAACUUCUUCCUCACAUAAACCUCUCUACACAAUUAAUCAUUCUUGCCAUGGAGGGAGAUCAAACAUGAUAUGCCACGCAGCGUAGACGUGUAAACCGCGGUGGGAAAAAACGCGAACGUGUAAGGAAACAUUUUCGUGAAAGGAGAGAAAUAAAAUCCAAAUAGUUUUGAUUGCUUGAUCGGCAAUCGAAAUUGUCAAGCUUCAAGAAUUUGCAAAACUGUUUCCUCUCUGGUACAUCAAGUCGACUACAAACACAAUAGCUUUUAGUCCUAGUGAAUUUUCAUCGUUGGUUAUCCAAAUGUUUUCCUGAUUUAAUGAAUUCUUUCUUCAAACAUUGAGUUAAUAUCAUUGCUCCAUUGUGCUUUACCAAUGUAAAGAUCUUAGGAAGUUAGUUGAUCUCUACAAGUCCCAACUAAACACCGGCAAUUGAACCAUUGAGAAUCGACGUCGCCAAUUCCCAAUUCUGCUACUCUUUUAAUUUCAGAAGCUGAGGAGAGAGAGAAAGAUGGCGACGAGUCCGGCGCUGAAGGUAGGGAUGGUGAUAGGUGGGUUGUGCAUAGCCAGGUACAUAGUGGGCCCACGCCUAUACUGGCCCUUCAUGGAGGGCUUAGCCGCUGUCUCCAACUCUUCUUCUUCCUCCUCUUCCGCUUGCCAUCCCUAGCACCUGCGAUUGCUCUUCUCAGCCUCUCAUCUCUUGAUAAUUAAAUAGGUAAAUGAUUUCGAAUUGAAUUGAAUUUUUGCAAGAAUGAUCUAUGAAUCGAGACUUACAAAAUAAACGGUUCGAAUUAUUGAAGUUUGAUGUAGAAUAGGACCCACAACUAAUCUCAUUUUUUAAAGAAAAAUAGGGAUCCCUUUACCUAAAGGGCAUAUAUAUGUGUGUGUGUGUAUAAUAUAUAGUUGAGCAAUGGUCAUAAAGUAUUAAAGUUCCUUCUUUUUGAAAGAUUUGCCAUUUUGUGUAUGUUUAUGAAAGAGAAAAUUAGAAUUAGAUGCCUUAUUUUAGACUUUUGUAGACUAAACAUUUAUGCUUUUUGAGUUUAUGAUUAAGCUUUUGAAACAUUUGAUUAAGAUACUCAGACUUGAACUACUUCAGAAUAAAAAUUAAUUUACAUUUAAAUAUUUGCUAUAUAUUUUAAAUAAUUUCAACUAUAUUUAAGUCUAAAAAUUUAAACUUUUCAAAUCUAAAUGUACACCCACGCCAAAUGGAAACGUACCAACAUUAAAUGAAAACGUACCAACCCCGAAUUAAAAGUACCCCUAUAUUAAAAUAAAGAAUUUAAAAAUAUUUGAUUCACACAUAUGUCUCUAUUUUUUGAUGUUUCUUGUUUUUUUGUUUAGAUAAAUUUAUUAUAAUGUCUUCUGACAAUCAUUUUUCUUAAAUGUAUCGAUCUUUGAUUAUAUUUAAUCCUCUAUUAUUUAAUUAUUUUUCUUUAAUUAAUAUACAUGUAACUUAAAUUCAUAUAAUUUUGAAUUAUACUAAAUUAUUUUGGUUAUAUAUCUUGUUUUUUUUGAUUAUAUGAAUUUCUUUUCUUAUAUUUAUUUUAAUUUUGAAUUAUAAUUUAAUUUAAAUUUUUAAUUUAAAUCCUUUUUACAUUUGUUAUUUACUUUUUUUAUUUUUUUUGAACUCUAUAUCUUAUUAAAAUGUUAUUAUUAAAGCAAUUCUCCAUUAUAUUAUUUUAACAAAAAUGUUUAAUAAUAUUAUUUAUGUUAAACAAUUAAGUACCUCAUUUUUAUAAAAUUUAAAUUAUUUAUUUACCAAAUAUUUUUUCAAAUGAUUUUUUCUAAAAUUUUCAAAUGUACUUCUUUAGUUUCUGAUCAAUCAAUUCAAAUUUUUUUUAUCUUUAUAUUCUUAAUCAAAUUUAAUUUUAUUUAAUUUUUAUUAUUGUAAUUAUAAACUUUAAAUGUAAUAACAUGUAUCAAUCAUAUAUAUUUUUUUUAUUAUUAAAUAAAAUUUAUUAAUAAUUUUUUUUUUCAUUUAAAAUGAAUUAUUUAUUUAUGAAAUAAAAUAUUUUAGUAAUUAUAAUUAUGUAAUUUGUCAUUAUUGUAAUAAUUAGUAACCUUUUAUAAUUAUCUAACUUCCAUCCCUUAUUGUUCUUAUUAAUUAACUCUUAUUUUUAAUUUUUAGCAAUUUUUCCAAAAUCUUUUUCUUACUCUCCAACCCUUAUUACCUAAAUUUUUAGCCUCAAAUUAUUUAUAUAGAAUGAAAUGUUUUAGGCUUAAUUUUUUCUUCUUAGUUACUUUUUAAAUAAUGUAUAAAAAUUUAUUGUAUUUACAUUCAUAUGAUUUUAUUAAUUUUUAAUGAAUUGAUUAUAUUUUAUUAAAUAUAUUUAGUUAUUUCUUGAAAUUUUAUUUAAUUUUUGAUUUUAAUAAAUUAUUUUUAAAAUUUCAUAUGACUUAAUAUUUAUUAAUCACAAACUUUUUGAAUCCAUUCUCAUAAAACCUCCUUUAUUAUUCACUUAUGAAAAAAUAUGAAACACAAUAAUAAAAGAUUUUUUUUAAUUACUUAGCAGUUUAGAUUUAAAUUUGAACUGUUUUUUUUUUUACGGUUGAAUUUUUAUUUCAUCAAUUAGAUUUUUUAACCGUUAGAUUCAAUAAUUUUAUAAAUAUAAACUAUAAUUAUAAUUAUACAUUAUAUUUAUGGUGUUUUAUCUCUACUAAUCUCUGGCUAAAAUCUUUCUUUUUUAUUUUUUAGCUUUACACACAUUAGCAUGGUUUUGGUUUUUUUUUUUUUUUUUUGGAGGGGGGGGAAUAAAACCUAAAAAAUAGCAUUUAGCCCAGGUUGGAGAUAAUGAAAUAAUUAAUUUAAUAGUUACCAAAAUUGUAGGGAAAUAUGUUUAAUCAAAUUUGCAAAAGGAAUAAAUAUUUAGUCUAUGACAUUUAAAAACGAGGCGUCUAAUUCGAAACGUCUCUACCUUAGGGUUGAAAAAACUUAGUCGUUGGCAAUACAUGCUUUGUGGGAGAGAAAUAGGGGCAUUGCACAGGCCCCCAAUUUGAAUCUCAGUUUUUUUGCACACCAUUAAUAUAUAAGGUUUUUUAAUCAAUCAUUAUUAAUAUUUUUUUUAUAUUUUUUUAGGAAUCUUUAAGGGAAUGGAAUUCUCCAUUUUAUAAAUAAGGAUUUUAUGUGGGCUCACACAUUAUAUUAAACAUUAACGACUCGAACAAUGUAUUUUUUAGGUUGCACCUUAUAGGUCAUUCUUGCAAAAUAUUAGUCAAAUUGAAAAUAUUUGAGACAUUUAAUUGAGUUCAAAGAAAUUGACAAACAUUUUGUUCUCUAAGAAAUAUUUAAAUUUCAUCAUGAUAAUUAAAUAGGCAUAUGGUUUUGGAUUAAAUUGAGUUUUUGCAAGAAUAAUCUAUGAAUCGAGACUUAUAGACGGUACGGAUCAUUGAAGUUCGACUUAAAUAAAGGGCCUAUAAAUAUAUUAUAAAAUAAUAUAAUAUUUUUCAUAAUAAAUAAAUAGAAAAUAGCCUCAUAAGAAAAAGAAUAUUAAAUCAUUUCUCUCUUAAGUAAUAAAGUUGGACUGAUAACAACCCGAUUCAUGUAAAGUAUUUAGCAUAUAUUAUCAUACGAUUGUUGAUUGAAUUUGCAUAGUAAAUUUACAUACUUCAUGUUUUUAUUGUUAAUUUUACUUUAGUGUUUCUUAAUUGAUCAUGAGUUUUAGUUUUAAAAUUAGGAGCUUUAAUGAAAAAUGUCUGGACCAACUUUAAUUUAACAAAAAACCACCUCAAACUUUUAUUUAAUGAAAAUGGCUUGAGAUUUAAUAAAAAUGACAAAAGUAACAUACAACAGGCCAAAAAAAUUAAAUCUCAUGGGCUGAAGCAAAGCCCAACAUGCAACAUCAAAUCUUUCUUCCAACUUUGCCCUUGUCAGAGAUUAACCCUUAACACAACUUCACAUUAUUUAUGACAUUGCCAUCGAGCCAAAAGGUCAAAUAAAACCAAAACUAUUUUAAUUUUCAAUUUUUUUUCUUCAACAAAUGUUUGCAACCAUUGCCCCGAAUUAAAACUCAUAUCAUGACAAUUAAUUCAAGAACCACAAUCAUUAACUUUUACUCUCCUCUCAAACCCAUAAUUGUCAAACAUUGUCCAUAACCUACAUCAAACUCAUGAUUCCUUUGAAAAAAGUGCAAUUCACAAACCAACCUUCUCAAACCCAAAUUUUUUCAACGUCCAUUUCCGUUUUCAUAGCCUACCUUCUCAAAUCUAGAUUUAUUAACUUGAAACCAAACAAAAAUUACUUACAAACAACCCAAAACUCCUCAAAAUUAAAACUAAGCAAACAAUUUCGAAAAAAUAUAAAAGGUCGUACCCAGUGCACAAGGCUCCCGCUUUACGCAGGGUCUGGGAGAGGUGAAUGUCGGCUAGCCUUACCCCCAUUUUAUGGAGAGGCUGCUCCCAAGUGAAAAAUCAACAAAGAUUAUGAAAAGAAAAUGUCACCUUUGAUUCUCCUUCAAACCUAUGAUUCUCCUCCAAACCUGCAUGUCACCUUUGUUUUCUAUCUUUUAUUUGGGUUUGAGCAUCUGUGCCCUCACCCUUUUGUAUUUUCCCGUCUCAAACUCUAUCAAUGUUAUUAUUAUUCUUGAUCAAAAAAGAAAAAUGUCCAGGGAAUAAGACCGAGACUAAUUCAUAAACUCCCAGAAUAUAUUAUUCCAGGGGGACAUGUCAAUGAGAUGUAUGACUUGACUUGUGAAGUCAAUGCAUGCUCAACCUAUCACAAUAAUGCCAAUUAUCUGCCAACAAGAUAAUAUUACCAAGGAAAUAAGUUAUAGUGGUUUUGGAGAGUAAAGAAAUAAUUUAAAACUUAUUAGUGCUUUUCAAAAUCCUUAUCCAAACACAAGGUAGUGAAAACCUUGGCUCAUAAGACUGGAAUUCUCCUAGUUUUAAAACUCGUUAGUUUUGUUCAGUUUAAAAAAUAGGUGUAAUUUUGCUGUAGUUUCAGAAAUAGUGUGAGUCAUUUUGAUUCAAUUUCAGAAAUAGUAUAGGUUAUUUUGUUGUAGUUUUAGAAAUAAUGUAGGUUAUUUUUAUGUAAUUCUAGGAAUAAUGUUUAUUUUAUUCCCUUCCGGAAAUAGUAUAGAUUAUUUUGGUUCAGUUUUCAUAAAUAGUGUGGGUUAUUUCGUUGUAGUUCCAGUAAUAGUGGGUUAUUUUGCUGUAGUUCUAGAAAUAGUGUGAGUUAUUUUGGUUCAGUUUCAAAAAUAGUGAGGGUUAUUUUGCUGUAGUCCCAUAAAUAGUGUGAGUUAUUUUGCUGUAGUUCUAUAAAUAGUAUGAGUUAUUUUGGUUUAGUUUCAGAAACAGUGUGGGUUAUUCUGCUGUAGUUUCAAAAAUAGUGUGAGUUAUUUUGGUUCAGUUUCAGAAAUAGUGUUGGUUAUUUUGCUAUAGUUUCAGAAAUAGUGUUGGUUACAGAGCAAUACCCAAAUUGAACAAAAAUAUAUCCAUUUACAUAUUAAUUCUCCCAAGAGUAGUCGUAUUAAAGGUAUGUUUAGAAGUGACUCCGGAUUUCCAAAAUCACUUGUGGCAUAAGCAUUCGCCUCUCUUAUGUGUUUUCCUAGAAAUUCACUUCCAAAAUAUUUAAAUCGGGAAUUAGUGUUACAAAUUUAGGGGUUAGACGAAUAUGCAUAUAGCGGAAAAUGUUGGUGGAGGUUUGGGAAUUAUAUGAAGGAAUGGAAUUGGUCAUGAAUAAAAAGUAAAUAAAAAUCUCUAAUUAAAUAAGAAAACAAAUAGUCUCCAUUGGAGCUUUGGAUUGGAUCAGGAUCCUCUCCUGAGCCUAUCGUGAGGAUCCUCCUGAGCAAGUCAUCGGAUCGUUAAAAUUUUAUCCAACGGUUAUAAAUAAGGAACUCCACUAAAAAUUAUAAUAAUUGUAACCGUUGGAUAAAAUUUCAAUGGCCCGAUGGGUUUGUUUAGACCAUCUCCAACCCUUUGGCUAAAAGCCAAAUUUUUUAGCCCGGAAAAUUUGGCUUUUAGCCCAGAAACAUCUUUUCUGCUCCAACCCUUCUGCCCUAAAAUUUUAGCCCGGAAUUAUUAAAGAAUGAACUUAGGCUAAUUUUUUUCUUAAGUCAAUUUUUAAAAAUAAAUAAAUAAAUAUGUAGAUUAUUGUAAAUUAAUUUAUGAACAUUUUAAUCUAAAAAAAUUUAAAUUCCGAUAAACAUUUGGCAUUUAGCCAGCGGGGAAAGCUGGGGGGUAUUUGGCCCAGAAAUAACAUUUGGCAUUUAACCUAAAAUUUUAACAUGAGUUGGAGAGUGUUUGGGGGGGGGUAAUUUGGCUUUUAGUUCAGGUUUGGAGAUGGUCUUAGGAGGAUCCUCCCGGUAGGCUCAGGAGAGGAUCCUAAUCCCUCUGGAUUGACCCAACAAUGGACACAUAAAUCGGACUUUGUCACUCUGCAUGACUUCUGUCCCACUUCCUUAUCCCAUUAAUCCCUCCAUAUUUAUAGAACCAACCUGCAUUCCAUGGAGUUGCAAUUCAAGGUUUUCGUGAUUUUUCUGCUGUUUGCUUUUAUAUUUUAUUUUUUGUAAUUCUUUUUUCUGAAUACUUUUGCGGCCAAGCAACAAUGUUCCCAAUAGCAAACCCUGACCUUAAUAUCCCACUCAAUUCGAACAGCAAGACACCAAAGAUUGAAAGAUUGAAUUGAAGUAAGUGGACCCAGGUUUUUCGUCAGUUGAGAUUUUGGGCCAGAGCGGGUCUGACAAAGCAGUGACAGCGAUACUCGAAUGUUCGUCGACAAGGCAACAAUCUCUCCUCUCCUCUCCUCUUCUUCUUCGCGAGAAGAUUGUCAUUUUCAUGUCACCAUUACAAUUAGAAGGCCUAUUUAUAAUUUUUGGGUAGGGCCGCUAAAUUCAGGAGGACCUAAUUAUAGAUUUGCUUAUUGACAUGAUUUAGAGACGGCCCUAAUCGUCGGCAUCCGCGUCUCUUUAUUUACCAUAUCGGUUUGGUAACUUUGAUGUGUGCUUGACUGAUCGUGGACAAAUUUUCCAUAGGAUCAUGUGACAAUGACUGCAAUCUAACCUCGUACUUUUCUCUUUCUUCUUACCUUCUGAAUAUUGACAGAGAUCAAUUUUUUUGCACUUAUUUUGUGUGUCACUUCUUUGUAGUCUAUUUUAGAUUGACACGUAUUAAGUUUAUGAGAACAAAUUUAAGGAGGAUUAAGUUUACUAACUCGUGUCAAUACGAUAGAGGCCACAUAGAUGUUUCACGCAAAACGAGUGCAGAAGAUUUGAACUCAUACUAAUAUACAUGUUAAUUUGCCUUUUGGGUUUCCAAAAGAGCAACUCAACCAAAAAAACAUACAUAAUUUGUAUGAUUUUUGCAUAUACCACUUUAACGCAGUGGUGGAAAGCAAUCACGCUAAUGCCCUGUGCGGAUUUGAUCCACAUCGAUUAUCCUUCCCCCUAACAAUUUACUAUUUAAACCCACUAACGCUAUUGCUUACUUAAAAAAAAAAAAUAUAUAUAUAUAUAUAUAUAUAUAUUAUUUUUAAUUUUAUUUUAUUCCCACAUUUACUAGCACCAAUUAUCAAUCUACAGUAGAAUAAUUGUUCGAGCUUUGGCCAAGACAAGGUUGUUAUUUGGCAAUAUCGACAAGUUAUUAUGGUUUAAACAUAAAAAUUAGAAAUGUAAAAUAAAAUAAAAUAAAAAAGCAAUAGUUUAUUAUUCUUUAUUGGUGUUACUGUUGAGAAUGAAUCUCACACGUAAAAAUUGAUAGACAUUGCAUGUGCUUAUAAGUAAUUAGGCAACUUUUCAUAUUGCUAAUUGGUUUUAUGGUGGAACCUCAACUUUGUUCAUGGUAUCAGAGUAUGGUUGUUCCACGUGUGAAGCCCAACAACUACAUGUUCCUCAUAUUAAGCGAUUGAUGUUGUCCACGUGUUAGAUUAAGGCGUGUUGAGAGUGAAUCCCACAUAAAAAAGAUGAUGGAUCUUGCAUGUACUUAUAAGUAAUUGGGCUACUUCCCACAUUGUUAAUUGGUUUUAUGGUUGAACCUCAAGUCUUUUUUUUUUUUUUUUUUUUUAACUACACACGCACAUACAUAUAUAUAUAUAUAUUUAUUAAGAUAAAUCAUUAUUAAAAGAUAAUUAUGAUAAAAACCAUAAUUUUAUCUUUUAAUGUUAAUAAAAUUAGGGAUGUGCUAUCCACACACCCCAUUUUACUUCUCACACACCCCUUGAUAAUUUCUGUCCGUUGAUCUUCUUCAAUUCAUUCCGAUCUGACGGCCGAAAAUUAAAAAGGUGUGUGAGAAGUAAAAUGGGGUGUGUGGAUAUCAUACCCCUAAAAUUAUCUUCAUUUUUUCAUCCGACGGUUGGAAACUAUGCCCAUUCAACGGCUUUCAUUGCGCGGGCCAAUAAUGUAAUUUUGGGUCCAAACAAUAUUUAUUAAGGAGAGCUUGAGAGUUUGAAAUUGUACAAUAAUUUACAAACAAUUAAGUUUUGAACCCAAAACCUAUACGUAAAAACCCAACACUCUAUUAGCUAUAAUAUUUGACACAUGCAAAAUUUUAUUUUUCACUGAUAGUCCAUCACAGAAGGCCAAAUUUCUGAACAAUUUUAAUUAGCUACACCGGAUGAGAAUGAAAUAAAACGAAAAGAGUGCAUAGUUCAUAUAUCUAUACUAUUAUUAAAAGAACCCUCCAUGUCAACUUUUUGCCACUUUUUUUCCUAGCCCUCACUUUGAUAUACAAUACUUACAUAAGUAGGGCAAAAUAGUAAUUUUGUAUCUUUUAGGAAAAUGGCAAUCAUAUCCCUAUUUGUCCUAUUUUACCCUCACUUUUGAUACAUAAUAUUUACAUAAGAGCAAGUCCACCCCUAAGGACUUUGCGCCAGCACCCAGCGUAUUUAUCCACUCAAGUGAACAGUAAUAGGCCAAGGCAUCUCCACCCCUAAAAAAAUGCGCUGGCACCUAGCGCAUUUAUUUGGUGUGUGUUUUUUUUUUUUUAAGUUUAUUUCGGAUAAGAUUUUUAACCAAUUUCGGAUAAAAUUUCAAAUAAACUUAAAAAAAAUACACACUAAAAUAAAAUUACAUACUCAUCAAAUAAACUUAAAAAAAACACACUAAAAUAAAAUUACAUAAACUCAUCAAAUAAAUUAAGGAUGAGCUUUUUGGUAAUUUUUUUUCACACAAAAAGUAUAUGAAAGCUUUGGUAGAAGGUGUAGAAAAUAUUGAAAUGUGGUGUAAGGUGGAAGAUGAGGGUUAGGUAUUUAUAGAAAAAAAUAUUAACUUUUUUAAAAUUUUACUGUAUUUUUUUUAAAAUAAUCUGUAUUUUUUUAUAUUUUUAAUUAAUUUUAAUGUAGUUAAUUAAUCUGGACCGUUGAAUUUGAAAAAUAUUCAAAUCCAAGAGCCCAGGAUCGGCCACGUGGCCAACGCCAGCAAAUGGCCCAGCUUCUUGGUUAGCCUGUUUUGUGCUGGCCCAGAGACCAGCUUGGGCUGGGUGUAGGCUGUUUUGUGGGCUGGAGUGAAUGGACAGAGUCCCAGCCUAUUUUUUGUGCUGGGUGCUGGCCUAAUUCACCACCGGUGGACUUGCUCUAAGGAGCACAAAACAGUAAUUAUGUAAUGUUAAGAUAAAAUAUGCACUUAUUAAGAGAAAUUGUCACACCAUCAUUAUUUCAUACUCUUUUUAAAAUUUUAAAAACUAAUCACUCCUUAAUAUAAAAAACAAAAAACAAAAUGAAAUUGUUCACACACACAAAGUGUGUGCUCAUCUGCUAGUAAAUAUUAUAAUCAGAGCCUGGAUGCUUUACAUGAGAAGAGCAUACAACUCCAUAUCUCUGAACUAAUCCUCAACUGCUAGCUAGCCGAGCGCUAAAUACCAGGAUGGUACCAAGUAGUACAAAUAGUGGCAUGAAUGCAACUACGUACGUACGUAAUAGUUGUAACAGAUGAUCACUCUUAUUCUACAUAAUAAUAUAUGGAACCGAGCCAGCAAGCUAGUCAUCCAUGCAUGCAUCAUCAGUUGGGAAAUGGAGGCUUGUGUGGUGGUUUUUGAGGUGGCUUGACAGGGCGAGUUGGGGGCUUCUUCCCAGUACCAGUUGGGGGGUUUUAGUUUCCGAGGUGGCUUGUGAUCUGAGUCUCUUCCCUCCUCCACCACAUUCUCUUCAAGAUGACCAUCAUGAUGAGGUGGCUCAUCUCCCUUACCCUUCGGUGGCUUAUCUCCCUUACCCUUUGGAGGCUGCUUAACUGGCUUUGGUUUUGGGUCGUGUUCAGGGAAUGGCUUGUGAUCUCCAUCGUCAUUAUGUUCAAGUGGGGUUGGUGGCUUGCCUUUUGGAGGUGGCUUUGGCUUCUUUCCCUUAGGAGGCAAUUUCCCAUCCAAUGACUCUGCCUCUAAUAAACGACGUCCGGUGUUUUGUUUGUGAGGCGGCUUGUGCUCCGGUGGUGGCUUCUUACCCUUGGGAGGUUCAUCAUGACCUGGGCUUCCCUUGUUCUUCGGUGGUGGCUUUUCUCCUUUUUGGGAUUCCUGAUCACCUGGGUGUCCUGGUUUGUGCUUGGGCGGUGGCUUCUCUCCUUUCUUCGGUGGCUCGUCACCUGGGUGUCCAAUACCUGGGGUAUGUCCUGGUGGUCCUCUCUUCGGUGGCUCAUCACCUGGCUGUCCUGGUUUGUGCUCUGGUGGCGGCUUUUGUCCCUUUGGAGGCUGAUUGUGCUCUUGAGGUGGCUUUUGUCCCUCGGGAAAUUUGCCUUCCACCUCUAGCAAGUGGUGUUCAUUGUGUGGUGGCUUGUGCUUGGGUGGAGGCUUCUCUCCUUUGCCCUUGAGGGGCUCGUUAUGUUGGGUUGGGGGCUUCUUCUCCGGGAAUGAGAAAGGCUCUUCCUUGUUAAGUGGGGUUGGAGUCUUGUAAUUUGGUGGAUUGUGGGAAGGAGGCUUGUGAAUUGGGGGUUUCAGGGCAAUAGAAGGAGUUGAAGUGGUGAAAACCACCACUCCGACAAGAAAAACUAGCACGUAAUUGGGAGACAUCUUUAGACUCUUAUGUUCUGGGAUGCUUCGAAACUAGUAGAAGUGAGUGGCUUUUUAUAGUGAUGGGACAACACAUGUCGCCAUGCACUUGGAUUUUUUUAAUGAAAUGUGUGGACUCGUCGAAUUUUGUAUGGUUUGGUUUUUGUUAUGUUUGUACAAUUUUAUAUAUGAGGAGGGGUCCAUUUAGGGUUCUAUUUGAGUUGAAAUAUUUGACAACUUUUACGUUCAUACCGGGUAGGGGACCUGUAGGAAAGCUAAAUUACACGGUUCACAACUCACAUGCGGUCAGUGACCUGGUACUCUAGCAUCACUGAUCGAUAUUAUAUUAGAGAUAAUGUUUUAACUUUAGAAACGACAAGACAAAUAGAAAAUAUAGCAAGUUGCUUUUGCUCGUUUUUCUUUUAAACAAGUUGGAGAAAACAAUUUUACUUUCUUUUCGAAAUAAGUUCGAACUAAAUGGCCGUCUAUAUUCGUGCAUAUAGCCGACUGUAUAUGCACAAAUAAUUUUCAAGUUUUCUCUUCCAUAAACUAGAAAUAUUGACUCAAAUAUUUGACGUUAAUGCUAUAAAAAUAUUGAGCUAAUGAUUUAGUAAAACAAACAAUCCUUUGUAAAGUUAUUCACACACAAAUUAUAUAUUAAUCCAUCGAAUUGUAGUAUAUAUCUCGAAUAUAAAAGAGAUUCACUUCAGCAAAUUCAGAGACUUAUACCAAGUUAACAGACUAUAGCGUAGACCAAAUAGUUGUAAGAAAUGAAACUCACUUGUGCAUCAAAUAAAUAUGGUACACAAGACAUUACUCUUUCUUUUUGUUCUAUUCCAACGAUAAUUAGUGCCGCCUUCAAUGGUUUAAAGAUAUGGCUUAUCAAGUUGUGAUAAGAUUGAGUGUGGUUUUAGGUUCUUUUUCACCUAGUGAUUCAUGAUGCUGGCUUAUUAUAUGCUAUCCAUAAUCACUUUAAGGAAAUAAAUUAUGGAAACUAAAUUCACUUUUGGAAAAGCUAGCAUGAUGAAAUUAAUAGGAUAAAAUCAUCGGUCCACAGAUUUUGCUUUUUGUACCAAGAUCUUGUGUAUCCGGUAGAAUGAUGGAAGAUAUUUUACCGACUAUAUAUUUUAAGGAAAACUAAUGAAAAAACUUAAAAAUUUUGAGUUUUAACGAUAAGGACAAAAUAAAGGGUAAAAUGAAUAGUAUCAUGGUUGACUUUUUAGUGUAAAAAUGUAGUUUUUCAUUAAAGUGAAUAAUACUGGAAGUUUUUUGUUAAAGUUCUAUGUAUUUUAUUUGUUUUAAGUUUUUUUGUUAAUUACUACUAAUCCCUAUAUCAGCGAGCCUGCAAUGGUCUUUCUCCUUUUUCCACUUAGGAUGAUGACAUGUAUUUAAUGUCGAUAUAAACGACACUAAAUCGCAAGUUGUUUUAGUGCAUAGUUUGCGUGGCUAGAUAGCAGCUAGCUAGUUAAGCAGAGGCUGGCAUGAUUUCACGUAAACAACAUAAAGCAAUUUCAAGAACCGAUGUCAAGAUUAUAAGAGUUGAGUGUAUUUGUGGUACUCUUAAGUGUUUUACAAGUUUUGUCAAGAGCAUUGAAAUCUUUUCUUUUCUGUUAUGUGAAUUGUGAAUGACUGAAGAGAUAAACUUUUAGUACCCAUUUGAAUGGAGGAAUUCCAAAUCUAUGGAUUUUUUUGAUAAAAUUAAAAGAUUAAAUUGGUUGUUUCAACUAUUACAAUCAUUAUAUGCGACUAUUUAAAUAAGUGAAGGAAGAAAACAAAUGAGUUUCAAAUAAUUCCUUGCAUAUUGUUAUUUCAAAUUCAUUUAAACGUACUACUUUGUGUGUAGUUGUAAUCUUAUUUGUCAAUUCCAAAACGUUUCUCUUAAACUUCUUCCAUGCGAAGAGAGAGCAUUUUAAUACUUCUCUUCAAUUCUUAAAAGGUUUCCACAACUCGAAGCCUCUGGGCCAGUCAAAAAAUGCAGAGAAGUUGAAGGUCAAAUGGUCCAUCUAGCUUCCGUGAUAUAGAUGCAACAUGAUCGAAAUUUCCUUUUGUUUGCUUUCAGGUCUAUAUGGUUGCGUUUGCAUGUGCUGCUGUGCAUGCACUUAUAUGUUGUCGGUGUAGUGACAUUGUGUGAAAGCAUGAAGGCAGUUGUAUGAGUCAUGUGGCUGCUUUUUCUACAGGAUCUGAAGAAAAUUCUCUCUGUCACCUCGCCAUGUAAGGUUACUAAUUUAUUUAUGCUAUAACAUUUAUGUACUUAUUCAAAAUUAUAUUCUCUAGGUCCCUAAUAUUCAUCAAUUAUGUUAUUCAUGUAGAUGGUUUAGUAGCACUUUGGGAUAGUGUCACACCACAAAGUUCACGAUGAAGAGAUUUUUUAUUUGACGUCACUUCACCUGGAGGUCACAAAUCUACUCAUUAGGUUGUUAAUGGAUACCUAUUAAGACUCAUUUAGUUUAAUUUCACCUUACAUUAUCGUCACCACUAUCAAUCUUACAUUUAUAUUAUAAUGAUAUCAAAUUAAACAGGUCUUAAUGGAUACCCGUUAACAAUCUAAUGAAUUGACUAGCAGCCUCUAACUUCACCAAGUAGCUAGAGUUAUCAUUACUUACAACUAUAACACAUACAUACUUAUUUAUUAUAUUAAUCUUAAGUUCCAAAUUAAUCAUUUAUCAUGUUCUUUAUACAGCCUACAAAAUUACAUGAAUUAGUAACAUAGUCACACUACAAAGUUUCUGAAGAUUCUCUUCUGCAAUUUUGUACCUCAGCCUUUCAACUUGUGGGACAUUCUGUUGACUCUUUGUAUAACUACCCUAGUCAGCGAGAUGAAGUAAAGCCAGACUUCUAUGCAUUUCACAACAUAAAGCAUAACAUAGUAUCAAGGCAUGCAUGUGGACACAAUUAAGUAUUCCGUUACAUUUUGCAAGUGGUUUUGUACUGGUCCUAGCAUAUAUGUUCACGAGCAGUAUAUAAAGUCGACAUUAUGAUGAGAUCCCUGGUUGAUCUCUGCGGCUCUGCCGACAUGUUCUUCACAGCUUAGGGUAUUGACAAAGAUAAAAUAUAGUUGUUUUUCUUUAUUUUUAUACCAGCACCAGUGUGGUGAAAUUGAGCUCAACACAUCCAAUGCAUAUUAAAUAUUUUUAACCAAUUAAGCUACGAAUUUCUUACAAUAUUAUUAUUAUAUAUUGUUAAAAUUUUAGAAAUGCGAGCUUAAUGGUUCAACACCAAUAUUAUUCUCAAGUUAACCAUUUGUAGCCUAAGAGGUGAAAGAUUUUUUCCUUAAGACCUCGGCGUACUUAGGAUAAAACUAUUGUACAUAAUUUGUAAUAUUUUGUCAAAUCUUCAUUGUGGGAUUUCCGCGCUACCUCAUGUGGAACCAUAUCUCCAAUCGGCCACACGUGAAGAGAACUUCAACAUUGGGAAUGGAAAGACAAGCACGUGAAUGUUGAAUAUAAGUCCCACAUUGGAGAAUUAACAAUAUAUAAGUAUAUGAGUUCACUCCGAAAAAUAAAGACGUCUUUGUAAUAAAACCCAACAACCACUAAUAGGUGAUUCAAUUAGGAUAAUAUUGGCGUGGUUAGGAGUGGGCCAGUGACUGGUCUCCUUGAUGAUCAGACAUUGUACCAAAGCAGGUUUGAUUAUGAGUCAUGUGGGUAUCAUGCUUGAGUUAUUGUGAUUAAUGUACCACCAUGCUUCCACACUUAAUCUCGAAUGUGGGAUCGGCUGCACUUGUGGCCCACUAUGUUUUGGUCACAUGAGAGGGGGCAUGUUGAAUAUAAGUCUCAAAUCGGGAGAUUGUAAUACCCCGUAUUUAAAAAAUUGGAGAACUUGAGUAUGUAAUUUUGGAUAUCUCCACUUUAGAUAUUUUUGUGGUAUCUUAUGUGGCAAUUUGCAAUCAUCAGAAACUCAUUAUUAUGGUGAUUAUUCACUACUCUAUAGUGAUGGAGUGGAAGUCUAUAUAGCAUAAGUGCAUGUGUCUAAGUGCAUGAGUUUGGCUUUAUUUUCUCACAAAGGCUAAGUAGAGUUUUGCCAACCAUUAGAGAAUAAAGAGGAGGGGUUAGUCACCACUCUAGAUAGGUUGAGGUGAAAGUUGGUAAUUAAUAGAAGCUAAUAAUUAGGGUGUGGAGGUGGGAAGCCUUUGGCUUAUACGUAUGGCUAAGUGUUGAGUUUGGUUUGCUAUUUUUUCCAAGUAGAAGUGAGUUGGCAAGUUGAGUUAAUGUAGAGAGAUUACUCACCCCUAAACAUUUGAGAGGUGUGAGUCUAUAUAGAGCCAUAGACUAGGUAUGUGUAUGUAUUGGCAUGCAUGUGGCAAUAUGUUGUUGUUUUAGAGUGCUUACUCACUAGCCUAGGAGAAUUUUAAUUAAUUGUCUAUAUUCUCUCUUCAAUGCUUCAAUCUAUCAUUCCAAAUUUUCUAAUGAGGUGAGAACGGGUGGGAUGCAUAUUCCUUAGAGAUGAACAUGGCCUUGGAUGCUUGUAUCCACCUUGCAUAAUAUUGAUUAGCUUCACACAUGUCUCUUUGCCAUUUGAACACAUAUUAGAGCUAAGGUUUUGCUUAACAUUUGUUGCCUUGUGAUUGGAACAAUUUCAUGGUGAUGAUUAGGCUUUAAGCCAUCCUCCCUUUCAUAUUACCCAAUUACCUUUCUUUUACUUAUUGUUAAGGCUUUAAGCCAUCUUUCAUUGUAUUUGUAUGACCCUCAUAUAUAGUGAAAUACAAUGAAAGCAAACACCAAUGGAUGUAGUCGAUUUGGUGAACCACUUAAAUCUUGUGUUGUUUACAUUUUGAGAUCAUUGUUAUGAAAGCACUCUCACUAAACCAUCAAAAAUAUCCAUUUACUUCCCUUGAGAAUAUUGUAAAAUAAGGGGGGAACAAAUCCCAGAGAAAUACAUGAAACCUUGCCCAACCAAUCUCCACCAAACUCCAUCUAUCAAAAGAAAGAUAUCCAAAAACUAGAAAUUCGUCCAGCCUAUUUAACAGACUAAAACACCAUCAUCCAUAGAUUAUAUCAUAAUACUUUCUUCAGGAGAGUUGUUUAUCUGUCUCUCUACCAUGAUGUAUCAAAAUGUCAGUAAAAUCCAACGGUGCGAUCUUCCAAUAUGUUGAAAUUACAAACUCAGUCUCUAAUCCCGCAGGAAACUGGACAGCCAAGUUAUGAGCACUAAAACCCCAUUUUUCGUAGCUCGGGUCGAAACACUUCCUUAACAAAAGUUAUUCCUUAUCAUCUCCUCUAUAACAUAUCCAAAAACCACGAUAAUCUAAUCUAUGUGAUGACUUAUAUUCCAGUUCGAACAGCUGACAGUUUCAGCUGUAUUAAAGAAGAAGAAGUAGAAGUGGUGGGCUAAAAUAAAAAAUAAAAGAUGAUGUUUAGAAAGGGAAAAGCUAGAAACAUGAUUCCAUGCCCUGUGGCCUUUGAGACAUAUAUUUCACUCUAAAAAUUAUUUUCUCUAACAUGGAUGUCUAUUCUUUCUAAUAAAAACAGGUUGCUUGACCAAGAUGGAUGAGACGUUGGAAAAACAUAUAUUGAGUGAGCAACAUUAUAUAUGAUGGAUUAUAAAUUAUUACUUUGUUAUUAAUAUUAUGAUUAUAUUAUUCUUGUUACUAAUCAAUUUGAUUUAUGUUGAAGCUUGUAGGCUUGUAAGAUAAAGUGUGAGUAUUGAUAUCUAUGUGAACAUGACAUAUACAUAUGCAUUGCAAAGCAAGAAAAAGAGUUGUGUUGAGUUUGUAAGGUGUUUGAGUUGUGAGGAUAUUCAAGGGCUGAAGUUUGACUUGAAUAAUAAUGAACCUUGUAUAUGUUAGGCGUAGGGUGCAAGGCUUGAGUAUACAAAUUGGUUGAUUAUAAAAUAAUGAAAUCUUGUAUAUGUCAGGCAUAGGGUGCAGGGCUUGAAUAUACAAUUGGGCGUCAAGGGAAGUGCAUGUUUAAUAAAGUGGAAAUUGAGAGUUUAAUUACAAAAAUUGGGUUUAAGUGAUGAACGGGAGUUAACUAAUAUUCUAACGUACUCGGAGCCAAGUGGUAUAAGCAUGGUAUGGGACGUGCAUGCUUAGGUGCCUUAGGUAUGUGUUGACGGGAUUAGAAGGGAGUAAGUACAUUCAUCCAUCUCAUUUGCAUAUAUUUUAUGUAUUCAAAAGAAUUGUUACAAUUUAAUUAUUAUUUUGUUAGUAGUUUUUGUUGUGAAUUAGUUUGUGCACUAUAGUUAUUCCGAUGCGUAUUAUAAAAAAAAUUUGUAUGUAAGAUUUUGUUGAUGUAUGGUGUAAUUGUUAUAAUUUUUAUUUUCCACCAUAUCUUGGUUGUAGAAUUUAUUCCUAUAGUUAAGAUAUGGCUCACACCCUAGCUCGUGAAUAGUCUUUAUUCGCAGGUCGGGGUGUGACAAAGAUUAAGAAAAUAAGGUAGAAUAAGUGUAUGAAUUCACUCUUAAAAAUAUCACGGCCUUUUGUGAUAAACCCAAUACUUAGUAAUAGGUGAUUAAGAUGAGACAAUGUUGUGAAAAACUCAUUGGCGCCAAGUGCUAUAUGAAAUAUGAAUAUUAAGUAAUAAUAGUAUGGCACUUCGAAUUUGAUAUGAGAAAAUUUUUUUAACCCUUAAUUUAUGUAUCAAAAGAGUAGUGUGAGAUAAAAGGUUCUUUUGAUUUUAUCCCAUCUAUCAGGAGGCCUGUUUCAAAGUAAUAAAUUUUUUCGCACCAGGAGGCUCUUAAAAAUAUUUAUGUUAUGAAAGAACAUGAAAAUAAAAAAUAAACAAAUUCUUAUUUUCUUAAAAUCUGCUAUAUUUAUUUGAUAUUUAAGUAAGGUAAAAAUUCCAGAUGUACCCGUUCAAUUAUAUAUUGUAACAAAGGAAUACCUUUUUAUGUGAAAAAUGCCUGUAUCAAUAAUUAUGAUUUUAUGUAUGGACAAUUCCUUAAUAUUUUGUUCAUUUGCAACUAUAUUUUCUUUGUGCGGCAGUAAAACAAAUAUACUUUUUUGGAGAGAGAUACUAUUUCACUAAUCGAGUUACAAGUGUCCAACAUAUUCAUACCUAAUGAUUUGCCACAAAAUGGUGACGAACAGAUAACUUGUACAAAUCUUACAUUUUCCAAUUCGAUCUGAUCUAUUCAUUUGUAGAGCUAUUUACUUGAUUGCGGACAUAUAUGGUACAUUCCUAACAGAGGGAUAAAUAGUCAAUUUUGAAAAAACUUAUUGUCAACCUCUUUUUAGAUAUGAAUCUGUCUGAUUCAGAAGGAAAGAACUUACAUCAGUAUCUCAAUUUCAAUUCAAACAUGGGUUUGAUUCACAAAUUCAUGUUCUAAGAAAUAUUUAUCAUCUGAAAAGAGGAAAAACUGGGUCUUUGUCUAAAGAAAUGCCUUGAGAAAUGGCAGAUGUAUAGAACCUUUCAACGAGAUUGUAUUUUUUCAAACUCUCAAAAUGGAAUAUAACACAACAUAUAUGUCAAGGUUUCAUACUUCGACAGGAUACAAACAUCUAAAAUUUGAUAUUUUUGGAAUCUUUUUUAGACCCGUUGCCAAUACUAAGUAACAGCCAAAAAAAUUGUAUCAAAUUUUUAUGAUAUUAUGCAUGGAUCAGAUAUAUCAUGGCAAAUUCUUCUAUAUGAAGAAAUGAUUCAUCAAAAAUAAUGAGUCACCCUUGAUAUCGACACAUCUGGGAUCACCAAAUAUCUGAGAGUUCCUCUAUUCAAUCAUUUUCCUUAUUGCUGCUCGAUAUCUUGUUUGUACACAUCUAUAAUGAGUUACAGAUAGAGUUCAAAAAGUACUAACAUUCUUUUUGAACAAGAGACACAGUAUGGACAAAUAAAAAAAAACAAGAGGAACAAAAACGGAAUUUUUUUCAUAUAUACUUUUUAUACAUAACAUAUAUAAAGGGUGUAUCUCCGACAUUUAGAUGAAUAAAUGUGUAUCAUGAUUUACUGAAUAUGUACGUCGACUUCAUAUCAAUUAAUUUUUAGAAAAUAUUCAUAUAAAUUACUGAUGUGCCUGGAACUGAAAUUGUGUAAAAUUGCCUCUUUCACUAAUGAAUCAUAAUUACAGUACUGAAAGGACAAAUAUAGCAUUUGCUAUGUACAAAAGAACUCCUAACAACCUUAUAUAAAUUACACACAAUUGUAAGAAGGACAGAGAUCCUAGCUGGAUCUCCCCCACCAAGUCCUAAGGAUCUGGAGAUCUGGACCCUUGAAAUUUGAUCAAAUGGCUACAAUUAUUAUUACUUUUAGAAGGCCCCCUGUUUGUAGUUGUUGAAUCAAAUUUCAAUGAUCCGGAUUUCCAAAUCCUUAGGAUUUGGUGGGGUGAGAUCCGGCUGGGAUCUUUGUCCUUUUAAGAAAUCUACUUGCUGACUAGACUAGAUAAUAACAAAUUAUGAUGACUAGGCAUUUUCAUCUCUAGUGCUAAAUUUUAGCACGGCAGGGUUAGGGAAAAAAAGGAGGAAAAGGGGGAAAAGUACAACAAAAAUAAUAAAACCUUAUAUCAUCAAGUGGGAUCGGUUAUAUGAAUCCUAGAACGUUAUUGCGCUCGCAUGUCUUUUGUUAGAUCCAAGUAUUCCAAAUCUUUUCUUACAUUCUCUUUCCAAGUAUUCCUAGAUCCUCCUCAACAUUUUAGCAUGCUAUUCAUAAUGCUAUAAAAUGUCAAAAUGCCACAUUGGUUGAAAGGGUGAGUAAGAAAAGGGAUGGGUGGGCCUAAAUAAAAUGAAAUGACACUCCUGCACAGCAGCAGUAGAAACCAAAAAACCGACACCAGGCUGAGCAGCCAUUAAUUCCGAUAGGACCAGAGGGGUGGAACCACGCUCUUGGGCUUGAUUUCCGGCGAGGGGAGGGGCCCUGUCCCUCUGUAGCUUCGCCAUUGUGGGUGGCAUGUGUAGCAUUAUAACAACACAAAGGGAAUAAUUUCUACUCGAUCCUUUCUUCUUCUGCGCACGCUGUUUUUUUUUUUCUCUUAAUUCUUUCUUUGACUUGAUCAAUCCAAAUGUCCAAAAUAAAUAUGAAUGCGGAGAGGCAAAAAAAAGUGUGAAAAUCACUCAGACAAGAAACAUCCGUUAUCACUUCUUGAGAGUCAGUCUCCAUCGAGUCCCCUUUGAUUCUGUAAUUUAAUUCACAACAAUUGUGCAUUGCACCAAUGUACUGGUAUUUUCCCAAUGCACCAAUGCAGAACAUCUUAAAACGACUGCCUUCUUGAUUUCAGGUAUCGAAUUUGGAGCGCGCACAGACCAACUUACACAAUCUAGUGGUGGUACCUCAUAGCUUAGGGGCAGGAGCUGUGACUUUACGCAAGGCAACUGUUGUCUUUGAACCAGAUGAGCGCCCCAGGUGCUUGCAGAUAAAGUCCCCAGCCAACAUGAGCUUUUUAAGAUCUACAUGGGUCUUCAGUCCAAGUCCAUUAAGCAUGUACACAACAUCUUCCGUGGCAACAUUUCCGGAAGCUCCCUCCUUUAGCAUACGGACAACCCCCAAGACCUGAUACUGAUGAAUCCACUGUGAGGAUUCCUAUCUGCCAAGAUGAAAAUGUCAUUCCAGUUCGAUUAUCCUUUUUUCUUAAUAUAUGCAGUUCUAUUAUCCUUAAACAUUAAGAUCAGUCAGAAUUCUAGAAGUAUGGUCCGCUAAAUCAUGUAGUCACAAGAAAGGGAAUCAACUUGUGUUGGAGUGGCCCUAAAAACCUAUUGUCUCAAGUUUUAAUUUAUACUUUGGAUAGUGCACCUUUUUCACGAGCUCCAUUUGCUUAUUUUGAUGUCCAUCACGCUCUACUGUGACAAGCUCAGCACUAUGUAGAUGACUUCCAAUCCAAUACUGCAUGUUCGUACCAAUUUCAUUGAGCUUGUUAGUAUGCACGUAUCCACAAGCACUGCUAGCACUCCAAAGUAUUCCUCUCAGACCAUUGAGUAGGCAAAGGCGUAUUGAGUACCCUCCUUUACUUGUCCCUCGAUAAGUGCCAAAUGUACUUUGGCUUCGUUUUCGUACUUGCCUUUUACUUUUUUAAAUAAUUAUUAUGGAGGCCUUUCAAUCAUGAAUUGUUUAUUGAUAGUGGUAAUUGGGUCGAAAAUCCAAGACAAAAACAAUCGUUUGAAGACUUAUACUUUGAUUUUGACUGAUCUAAUCAUGUCAAAAAUUGCAACUACCUACAUUUGGUUUAAUUUUCCUGCUAAAUUCAAGAGCAGUGUGGAUUACCUGGAGUGACGCUAGUAUGUUUGAAAUAGCUUGCCCAUACGUGUCAUGAAAAUGGACAGCAAGCUUCAGUGGGGACCACACCAACAACAGCCUCAAGCAUUGGAAUGACACUAUCUAGAGUGGAAAAAAAAAAAGAAUUUUAACGAAAAAUCUACGAUACUGUUUAAUUUAACGAAAAAUCAUAUUUUUAUACUAAAAAGUCAAACUUGAUAACAAACAAACAAAAUACACUACCCAAUCCUCUUCCUCCGCAUCAUUAAGAUAACAACGCAAACUACCAUCACAAUCACUGGACUUAAAAAGACAGGGUCUGAAGUUUUUACUGUUAGGAACUUAUGACAUCUUUUGGGGAUGUUUUAUUUUAUAUUUUCACAGCGUCAGUGUUUAUCCCAGAAAGCAUAAGCCUUGAGGAAUACACCACAGCCAAAUAGUGUCUACUAUAUGGGAUAAACGCUAAACAAAUGAGACUAGUCAAAAUAAGUGAAUGGCACACUACAAGCCGAGCCUCAUGCUGCACAUUUCUGUAACUUUUCGGUCUUGAACUUCUAGUUUGGCUUUCCAACUUCUUUGUUUACCCAAAUGAAAUUAGCCCAAGCAAAAUUUAACUUUCCCAAAGUCAAAACACGCAAUCACUGGCCGGCAAACCCACAUCAUAGCAUGAAAGCUUAGAAAGUUUCUUUUUUCCUCCCAUUUUGAUGAAUACGCUAAAAGCCUAAUAGAGAAUUUAGGAUGGCAGAAGGAAGUAGUAUAAGUUCAACAAGAGCCAAGGCAUGAGCCAACUAAAUCAACAAGAAGAAAGGCGGACAAAAUUACCUGGAGUACCAACACCAAUUGUAUCACCAAGAGAAAUUUCUGAGCAACCCAUGUCAUAAAGUUCUUUCGCCACAUAUGCUACUUGUGAUGGGGAUAUCUUUCCUUCCACUGGACACCCCACAACACACGAUAUGUAUCUAAAAGGAUUAGAAAGGUAUAAUAUUGGAAUACUGCUCAGAAAAACAAUAGAAAUUAAAUAGUUCCAUAUAAAAAUAUUAUUUAGAAAGAAAGUAAUUUAGUUCCACUGGGAGUGAGAAGAACCCAUACCACCCUCCCCGACCCCCAAAGCGCAGAAAACAAAAAGUAGUUAGAAAAUAUACCCACAAAGAGGAAUUAAAAGCUUUCUGGCAGCAAUAGCAACAUCACUAUGACAAACGAGACUAUCUUCAAUACUGCAGUUUAUAUUUGAUUUUGAAAAAGAUUGAGAAGCCGAGGCAAAUAUGCCAACUUCUUUUGCACCAGAAGCAAUAGCUGCCAUUUCAUCGGAUGAGGAUCCUCUCCGGAUUCUCUUUGUGAGGAUCUCGGAGAUCCUCCAAUUAUGUUUGUUUAUCGUAUAUUGUGAGACUAGAAGUACUGUUUAUAUUUAAUUUUAAAUAAAAAAAAUUAAAAUGAUUUAUGACCGUACGAUAUACGAUGAACGGACACAAUUGAAGGAUCGCAGGGUUUCUCACAAAAAGGAUCCUCAUUCGUCUCUCUCUUCUUCAAAUCUUUUCUUCUCCCAUUUUAGUGCAGUUUAGAGUGGAAAUGUCAUUUGCAAAACUGCAAAGGGUUUGGUCUAAUGAAAAGUGAGCAAAAGUUUGGAAUUUCUAACUCGAAUUUGAGCUCUCACAAAUGCAUUUUUUGAGCAACCGGCCCCUAUUUUGGUGUAUUGUUUGAACCGAGGCCAAAAGUUCAAUAGCCUUAUUAUUCUUGCAUUAAGUUCCCUGAUUUAGUGAAUCAUGAGAAAAAUAAUAUUGGAUGAGACUAUUCAAAACCCUAGAAUACAGAAGUUGGCCUCAUCACCUUGUCCUUCUUGUACGUUGGAUUAUAUAGUCAUUCAUUUUACGGGGCAAGAGAUUUGACAUUUAUGGAUUAAUCAACUGCGCUUCUAAGUUAGGUUGGACGAACGCACCGAAAUCCCAAAGUGUCAGAGUGUCGGACACUCCGACACAGGUUGAACAUGAUCAAGACACUGGUCAAGGGGCGGGCAUUUUUAUAAAUUUGAAAAAUAUUUAGAGUCAGUUUUGGAAACAUAAAAACAUUGAAAGAUUUGGGGCAAUUUGGAAAUACAAAAACUAAAGCCUAAAAGCAACCCGUCCUAACCCAACUUCAAUCUCUUAUAUGCGCCUCCUUCCACUUCUCUUCUUCCCCUCUUCGCAACCGAUGCAGCCUCUUCUCUACGGCCUUCACUCUAGUUGCAUUCUAUUUUAAUUGGUUGUUUAAUUUGUUAUUGAGCAUAAACAUAUCUCUUCUUGUUUUUUUUUUUCUUUUUUAAAAGGAACAACUGGUUACAAGUCACGGUUAUACAUAUUUUUUAGAAGCCGAAAAGACUUACAUAGUCAUUUCAGCUUCCCUCUAGCUUCUUGUUUUAAUUAUUAUACUUGUUUUGUUUUAAUUAUUAUACUUGUAUUGUUUUAAUUAUUAUGUUUUGUGUUAUUUUAGUUAUUAUGUAUAAUGAACGAAUUUGAUAAACACAGUUAUUUUGUUAUAUUAUAAUCCACUAUUAUUUUUAAUAUAUGCAAUAUUUACUAUAAAUUUAUUAUAUUUUAAACAAUGUUUCCAUGUCCUAUUUUUUAAGAUUUUUCAUGUUCUUGUCGCCUGUAUUCGUGUCCAUAUCCGUGCAUCCUUGUAAUAGUGUAGGAUAACUAUUUUGGAGUGGGAAAUGUUUUGCCACUCUAUCCCUUAUCAAACUUUAACUUGAAUUUUAACCAUUGCUUGUUAUUGACUAACAUUUUGGGAAUUCCAACUGGAUCAUCAGCUUCCAGACUCUGUAACCCUCCACCUCCCUAAAGGAAGAAAUGGCAAACAAGUGAGUUCGAGUAUGUAGUGCAGCUACAUCAACACUUGAGCACGACAAACGUUACAUAAGAUCAACCUUUCCACCGUACGUCAGCUACAUCAUGCCUGCCUCCUUUCUUACUUCAAACAUUCAUUCAUCGUAUCCUUACUUGUUGUGGCCAGUCGACGGAAUUUGGAAAUAUAGCAUGCUUAGUUUGCGUCAAUUUCAAUAGGGAUUCAACACAAUCCAAUCCAUCAUGUUAAAUUCAGAAAAUUUGGACCCCAAAUAGAAUUAUAACUACCUUUUACAUUUGCUAUAAUUAUAACAAAAAAUUGAUAUAAAAGUACUAAUAUAACAUUAAAGGUUUUCUACAAGAACCAAAAAGCAAAAUUAAAACGAACAUCGGGUGUCUAGAUCUUAGUGACACUUAUAAGCUUCUUGUUGUUAGUAAAAGGAAGGCAUUUUUCUGGUGUGGUUGCAGAAAAAUGGAUUGGGAAGAACUCUUCGAAAGUUGGAGAAGAUUUGAAGGUCUUGCUCUCACAGUUAUCUGGUACUCGAGGGCUUGAGCAAUCACCAAGCGCUUUGUAUGAGGAGUUGGAGGAAGAAAGAAAUGCUUCUACAAUCGCUUCAGAUCAAACAAUGGCCAUGAUUACAAGACUGCAAGAGAAGAAGGCAGUGCUCCAUAUGGAAGCACUCCAGCAAUUAAGGGCUGAUUUGGUAUUGAUGUGCUUUGAAAAAAAAAACUGUUUCUGCUGUGCUGUGAGAAUAAGCAGCUGUGAAAUAAAACUGUAGAGUAUUUGGUAAACUUUUUUGUAAAAAUGCAUUUGAAAAAAAAAACAGUAGUAUAGUAUUUGGUAAAUUUUUAUGUAAAACAGAUGUGAAAAAAAUUCGGUUUUUCAAAGCUGAGUUUUGCAGCUUCUUGUUUUUGGCUUUUUUUCAUCAAAAACUGUGAAAAAAAAUCUAAAGCUGAAUGUUUAUCAAACACAAAAUAGCUCCCAACUUUUUUUUAUACCAAUUUUUUUCAGAAUCACCUUACUACCAAACCAGGCCUAAGAAUGAUGGAAGAGCAAGGCGAGUACGAUAAUGAACCGCUGCGAAAGAUAGACAACCUUCUUGUCGAGAAGAAGGAAAUACAAGAUUUAGAAGCAGAGGCUGAGGGCACUCCAUGCAUACUGAGGGUUUCUUGAACACACGAUUAACCCGAUUCUCGUUUCUCUUCAUACUUCCUUCCUCCACUCAUCUUCAUCCUUCAUUUUUUAUUUUGUCUUCAUGUUGCACUCCAUGGCUAAUGAAAAAAAAAAUGAAAACUAACAAAAAGUCCAAAAAAACUUCCCUUUUAAUAAAAAGUCAUUUUUAAAGGUAUAGUGAAUAGAAUCAGGGAAAGGUAUAAAUCUGGUUUUUCGUUAAAAGUGAACAGUACUGUUUUGUUAAAACUGUAAACAGUAAACUAAAAAAUGCACAUGGAAACCUAAUAGUAAGCCAACAAAAAUGAAUUCAGCCGUACAUUCUAUUAUUCUUGAAUCUUCAACUUGCCAGGGGUGGUACAAUAUAUAUUUGUUGUACGUUUGUUUAUUUCUCUACUCUUUUUUGUUCCACAUGAAAAUAAAUCUACAUGAAAAUUCAGAGGGAAGAGAAAAUAGGAACACCCGGCAAGGUGGCUCCUGCAUCAACAAUAUAAAUGUUGCCAGAGACAUAUUCAGAAGAGUCAUGUACCAAAUAUCGAACUAGCGAUGUCAAUGCUGGAUCUGAAGUGCCAAAUGUUCUUAAAGGGGCAGUUUUCAUAGCCACAUUGUGCAGCCAGUCUUUUUCCAUUAGACGCUCCGUAAUUUCCGAUCUGAAAAGUCCAGGUGAUAUUGCAUUCACUCUGAUUUUGUGUACCCCCAGCUCCAUAGCCAUAGUCUGGUUAACAUAACAAGAUUCAGUAUAGUACCAUAGAAGCUUUCACCUACACUACCAAGUGCAGAGAACUACAGAACAUAUUCCUUAAGAGAAUACUCAUAAUCAAAUAUAGAUAAUGAAACUUAUGAGAGAAGAAGAGAAGAAGAAAAGAAUAAGCAAAGGUAGUGUCGGUGACAUGACAAAGUUGAGGAUAAAAUCUUAAAAUGGCAACUGAUAAACCAGCAGUUAAAAUGUAAAACUUCGUUUGAAGUUAGAUCAUCAAUUCAUAUGUCAUUCCCAGAAAUCCUCCGGUGCAACAAAAAGCAAAAUGUGGUUGAGUGCAAUAACACGUUGGUCAAAACAGUCUGUUGGUUAUACGACAAUAGAGCCGCUCAGACCAUGAGCUUGUGAUAACCACAGCCUUGCGUCAACACACUUUAUUGACAGAUGAUAACAGCACAUGAAGAUGACAAGCAUUUUGGCAAUCAGACUUAGAACUAACGAACUAAAGAGACCAAGAAUCAAAACCGGCUUAUAAUGGGGGUGAUAGAAUUUGGGUCAACGGGCCGAGGGCCCCACUCCAACAACAUUGAUAUUGUCCCCAACUUGGUAAUUACCACCUGUCCAAUCCAUCAGGUGUAGGGUUUUAUCACAAAAGGUCUCGGUACUAGUUAGAGUGGGGGUAAUCAUAUUUAAACUCUUUUCUUUCUUCUUUCUCUCACCUAUGUGGGAUAGCCAACAGGGGCAUAAGAGAAAGUACACAGUAUAGCCCACUAGCAAUAUUCCUCUACUAGACUAAAAAAGAACUGAAAUACUCCUAGGCUGAUUUAAGUCCCUAAGUCUAUCUUUCCCAGGAAACUGUUAUUGGCACUCCAAAAAAGUCAUCUCGUACAAUUUCUGCCUUAUGUUUCCCAGGAGGCAGGCAUCCCUUCAAGUUCUUAUAUUUCAUUUAAAGGCCAAAAGGAACAAAAACAUAAUUCCUUUUCCUUACGCAAUUAAUAUGAUUUUCCUGAUUAGCAUGUUAAAGAUAAUACCUUUGUUAAGGUGUUUACACCAGCCUUUGAACAAUUGUAUGCUGUAGCUCCAGGCAAAUAUCCACGAUUAAGACCAGCAAUGGAAGAUAUAUUGACGAUUGACCCUCCCUGAUCAGCAUCUCGCAUGCGUAUAGCAACAAACUUUGAUACCAACCAGGAACCCGUUAAAUUUGUCCUGAAAACAUGAUUCCAUUCCUCCUCAGACAGGUCCAAUGCAGAACUCACAUUACCUAAGAAACACAGAUGGUAGUAAGCAUUUAUGAUACACCAACACAGACCUAUAGACCAACUAGUUGCGUGUGCCUGUGAGGUCAACAAUUGGUGAUUGGUACAAGACAGGAAUCAGGAUUGGGACUGAGUCUAGUCCAGUCCGAAUCCGAUAGUCCCACCCGCACCCCCUGUGGAGGUAAGAGGUAGAGAGCACAUGAUGAUGUUGUAUACAAUACUUGGGACAGUAGUCCAAUUCAAUAGUCGAGUAUCGUCAUUGUUAAGUUCAUGAACUGAAAGAACAGUCAAAUAAGUAAUUUGCAUUACCAAACAUAUAAUUGUAAAACAAAGGUAUAUUUGUUAAUUCCCCCCUCCCCUAACUAACUUGUAUAGAGCUGCAAAUUUCUUCCUCAACUUUAAUUUUUGACAAUUACCCUCCUGAAAUUCUCUAAUUAGCCAAUUUUCUCUUUGAAUUUUAAUGCCAAUUAGCCCAUGAACUUUUAUAAAUAGUCAAUUUCUCUAGAUUUUAAAAAAUUCUCAUCCAAUUUUUCAUCUAUUUUGAUCACGUGUAGAAGACGUGACAACUCUAUGAGAGCAAAAAGAAUGGAAAACUAACAACAACAACAACAACAAAAUUUUUUCCCACUAAGUGAGGUCGGCUAUAUAAAUCCUAGAACGUCAUUGCGCUGGGUUCUAUGUCAUGUACUCCAUUAGAUCCAAGUACUCUAAGUCUUUUCUUAGGUCUCUUCCAAAGUUUUCCUAGAUCUUCCUCUACCCCUCAGCUAGAUGAAUGAAAAUUUUAAAAUCUAACCCUAAGCGAAAUUGGCUAUUUAUAAAAUUAGAAAGGGCUAAAGUUAAAUUCAGAAAGAAAUUUGCUAAUUACAAAAGCUUAAGAAGUAAUCAGGAAUAAAUUUGAGGACAAUCCGACAAAUACCUCUAAAACAAAUAAUAUAAAAGGCAGAAAGCCAGCCAAACCAACCUCUACCGGCAUUGUUAACAAGGGCAUCGAUGAGCCCAAACGCGUCCCAAGCCUUGUUCACAGACUUCUCGAUAGCUGGGCCAUCGGCGCUGACAUCCAGCUCCACGGCCACAGCCCUCGGGCCUCCACCAGUCCCACUAUCAGCAACAGAAGAUGAUGAAGAAGGAGCGGUGAUGGAGAGCUGGUUGAUUUGAUCGCACACGGACUGAAGGCGGUCGAUGCGGCGAGCGGCGGCUACGAUUCUGCAGCCGGCUUUAGCUAAGUCUAAGCACAACUCGCGGCCGAGGCCAGAGGAAGCGCCGGUAACCAUGACGACUUUGCCGUGGAGGUGGCUCCAGGGCUCCAGGUUGUCCGACAAUCGAUGAGGAUUCUCCAUGUUUGAUAAUCUGUACUCAACUAUGAGCUAUGAAUUAUAUAGAACAAGGAAGAAGAGACUUACAUGUGAAUGUGUGAUACUGCGAAAUCUUGACCGUUGGUGGCUUCGAUAUGGACGGUCAUGAUUUGGGGUGAUAUAUUUGUAGUUGCUGGACGAAAGCAUGUUUGGUGAGGUAGUCGGCUUGACUUGACCCACUUCGAUUAUAGGAACGGAAAGAGAUGAUAUAUUUGCAGUUGCUGGACAAAAGCACGUUUGGUGGGGUAGUCGGCUUGACUUACCCACUUUGAUGAUAGAAACUGAAAGAGAUCCGUCCGGAUCUCUUUCGCCAAGCUUACCAGAUCAAGUGAUCCAAAAUUUUGAAUUUUCAUCUAAUAGUAAAAAAUUAUUAUAGUUUUUAAGGGAUCAAAAUAGGUGGAUCGUUGAGAAAAAUAAUAUUGGAUGAGAUUAUUCAAAACCCUAUAAUAUAGAAGUUGGCCUCAUCAUCUAGUCCUUCUUGUACGUCGGAUUAUAUUGUCAUUCCUUUUACGGGGCAAGAGAUUUGACAUUUAUGGAUUAAUCAACUACGCUUCUAAACUAGGUUGGACAAACACUCCGAAACCCAAAGCGUCGGAGUGUCGAACAUUCUGACACGCCGACGCGCCUCCAACACAAGUUGAACAUGGUCAAGACACUGGUCAAGGGGCAGGGGCAUUUUUAUAAAUUGAAAAAUAUUUUGAGUCAGUUUUGAAAACAUAAAAACAUUGAAAGAUUUGGGGCAAUUUGGAAAUACAAAAACUAAAGCCUAAAGCCAACCCGUCCUAACCCAACUUCAAUCUCUUAUAUGCGCCUCCUUUCACUUCUCUUCUUCCUCUCUUCGCAACCGAUGCAGCCUCUUCUCUACGGCCUCCACUCCAGUUGCAUUCUAUUUUAGUUGGUUGUUUAAUUUGUUAUUGAGCAUAAAUAUAUAUCUCUUCUUGUUUUUUUUUUUAAAGGGAACAAUUAGUGACAAGUCACGGUUAUACACGUCUUUCGGGAGCCGAAAAGACUCACAUAGUCAUUUCAGCUUCUUCUUGUUUUAAUUAUUAUACUUGUUUUGUUUUAAUUAUUAUACUUGUAUUGUUUUAAUUAUUAUGUUUUGUGUUAUUUUAGUUAUUAUGUAUAAUGAAUGAAUUUGAUAAACACGAUUAUUUUGUUAUAUUAUAAUCCACUAUUAUUUUUAAUAUAUGCAAUAUUUACUAUAAAUUUAGGGGUGUGAUAUCUACACAUCCCUUUUUACUUUUCCCACACAUUUUUUGUUUUCUGUCAUCGGAUGUGAUAAUUGAAGAAAAUCAACGGACAUAAAUUAAUAAGGAGUGUGUGAGAAGUAAAAAGGGGUGUGCCACACACCCCUAAAUUUAUUAUAUUUUAAACAAUGUGUCCAUGUCCUAUUUUUUAAGAUUUGCCAUGUUCCUGUCGCAGUGUCGUUGUAUCCGUGUCCAUAUCCGUGCAACCUUGUAAUAGUGUAGGAUAACUAUUUUGGAGUGGGAAAUGUUUUGCCACUUUAUCCCUUUCAAACUUAAACUUGAAUUUUAACCAUUGCUUGUUAUUGACUAACAUUUUGGGAAUUCCAACUGGAUCAUCAGCUUCUAGACUCUGUAAGCCUCCACCUCCCCAAAGGAAGAAAUGGCAAACAAGUGAGUUCGAGUAUGUAGUGCAGCUACAUCAACACUUGAGCACAACAAACGUUACAUAAGAUCAACCUUUCCACCGUACGUCAGCUACAUCAUGCCUGCCUCUUUUCUUUCUUCAAACAUUGAUUCAUCGUAUCCUUACUUCUUGUGGCCAGUCGACGGGAUUUGGAAAUAUAGCAUGCUUAGUUUGCGUCAAUUUCAAUAGAGAUUCAACACAAUCCAAUCCAUCAUGUUAAAUUCAGAUAAUUUGGACCCCAAAUAGAAUUAUAACUAAAGGAAAUCUGAAGGCAAAGGUAUAGCAGGUUGAUGAAUUGUAUAAGCUCAACUCAAUGUCGAGUGAGUAUUCAUUCACUUCUUUAUAUAGAGUUACAAAAGAUAAGGUUGUUACACUUGAUAAACAUUUGAAUCAGAAAAAUAAAUACAAACAGGUUGAAUCAGAUACAAACUGACACGCCCCGACCCUGAUAUUCCCCGAAUACCAGGACCGACACGUGCUGGCCGACACCCGGGGGUGACGAAAGCCAUUAAUUGAUACAAAAGCUAAGAAUAAGAAAUAAAUACAGGUUAUGAAUUUAAAAACAAUGAAUUAACAAUUUAGGAACGUGUUCAGAGCAUACAACUAAACCUAGUCACUAACAAGAAUUAAGAUAAGAUUAAAUGAACAAAGGAGUGGGUCCUACCCCGAGAGGACUCGAAGAUGCCGCUGCGGAAGUACCUUAAUGCCAGGAUUCUAUGCCUCGUUUCUAAGACCUGAAUGGGGGCGCAAAACAAGGGUGAGUGGACCAAGUUUAUAUACAUACAUAGUACGAAAACAGUUAUGAACAUACUAACCCCCACAGUUUAAUAAUGAAAACUACUAGAAUAAUAAGUGAUAAGCUUUUCAGAAACCUUUAGCAUGCCAUAAAACAAUUCAUAUAUCCAUCUGCAAAUCAAUCUCAGAAAAUCAUAUCAGAAAUUAUCUCAGCAAUCAUGUCAGGAAGCAUAACACAAGUUGUGCUGCUAGUGAGUGCACUGAAUAACAAUACUCCCGGCCCAAUGCCUGCACCUCAGUCUCUGUGCCCGUAGCCAGAGAUAUCUCCCUCCCGGCCCAAUGCCUGUCUCCGUGUCCCUCAGCCUUUCGCUAGGGAUUAUUUCUCCCGGCCCCAAUGCCAACACCAGAUCCUCGCCCCAGGCGGCAUAGUGUUCACUAGGUACGCACAAAACAUAAUUCAUCUCUAAAAUACAACUUCGUAGCAUAAAUUCAUCGAUCCUCUAUACUACGAAGAGGUGUUCGAAAGUCAUUUGAAACACAUUCUUAGCAUCCUAUCGUCAUCGAUCAGAUAGUCUACUAGAAUGAGGGUUCUAUAGAAAAUACAAUAUAAUGAAAAUAAUUCAAAACAUAUAUAUAAUCACGUAUAAUCAAAUCAUCAUGCUUCCUGUAAAGUAUUUCUCAAAUCAAUAAUUCUGCAAGGCAUGCUAUUAAAUUAUGCAUUUCUAUCAAUAAAACAUGCAAUUUUCGAAGGUGGUCCACUCACAGAUACUCCGAAGCAGCAGAAUUGUGUGCAAAAAGAUUAAGGAAGUCUCCACUAGCAACUUCACCUAAGCACGAAAAUGUACAAUUUAAUAAACUACCCAAAAGAUAGAAUUUUAGGAAAUGGAAAUGGGUUUUGGGUUUGGGUAGGUUAGGAACAAGAGGGAGUUUUAGGCUUAAGCCUAAACCCACCCUUAUACACACACGGCACACACACCACACAUUCACACACAUACCUACACCACACAUACUCCCAGAGCUGCACCGCACAACGCACACACUGUACACUUCAUAUAGUACACAAACAUACACAACACACACGUGCACCAUACACCAACAUGCCAAACACACCCACAGACAGCAUGCACAUAUAUAUAUAUAUAUAUAUAUAUACAAAUAUACACACAGAGGCAACAUGCAUAUAUAUAUAUAUAUAGAUACAUACAUAUAAACACACACGCAUGCACAGCAUGCAUAUAUAUAUAUAAGCACACACACGCACAGCAAGCAUACUUACACACACACACACACACGGUUCACGCACACACACUUGCACAACGUACACACUGCACAAACACACACUCACGAACUCGCCGGAGUUCGUCGUCGGAACCGGACAUGCAUGCACAAGGGAUGGUAAGAGUUAGGGCUUGAAUAAGGGGUUCUAAAACUUCACAAAUAUACCUAAGAACUCACCUGGACGCACUGCAGCAGGUUUUGGGAAGAGAUGGACCUCGAACUCGUCGGAGUUCGUCGUCGGAGCUAGAUUAUUAGCACAGAGAAAAACUGAGAUCAAAACCCUUGAGUUUUGUCAUAAACUCAUCAUGCACAACCCAGAAAUUUGAAGAAGGAACACAAUCCUCACCUGGGUUCGCGUGUUAGAGCUUUGAAGCUCUCGGCUUCAAUGGCAGAAAAGUCCACAGUGCUCUGAUGGCGCAUGCAAGGGUAUCGUUGAGUUCGUUAAGUCUCAAGGAUCCCAAAUAUAUGGUUUUGGGGUUUGAUUUGUGAGGGAAGUGAGGUGAAAGCUAGAGAGAAGCUCUCGGAGCUUAGAGAGUGUGAGAAAGAGAGAGAAGAAACCGAAAGAAAGAGAGCACUGAGAUUCUCAGAUGUGUUUCGGGCAGAGAUGAAAGGAAAGAGGGAUCUGAGAGCUGCCACAUGGCAGUUUAAGAUCAAUAGCCUUUCUAGAUCAAGGGUUAGGAUUAAAAGAGAAUAAGGGACUAAAUUGAUAGAUAACAAAUAUGUUCUAGGGGAAAAUAGAAAUAGAAUGAAAAAUGGGGGUGGGGUAUAACACAAACAUAUUUGAGAGAGUUGUGCGGAUAAUGGACUGUGUUGUUAUGAUCCUUUCUGUUGCAGAUUGCAGCGGGAAGGUUGUGGUUGAAUUGGUGGUGCUGACUUGGACCUUUCUUUAGGGUUUGGAGAUUUAUCUGAACUAGGUUUGUCAAUAACCACCUUUUAAAUUUGCUAUAAUUAUAACCAAAAAUUGAUAUAGAAGUUAACAUUAAGGGGGCGUUUGUUGUACCGGACUGUCUUAGACUGGACUAGCUUCAAGGACUAAGCUGGACUGGCUUAGACUAGACUAAGCUGGAUUAACUUAGUGAAGCGUUUGGUGCAGUGUCGGACUAAAAAACAGGAUAAUUAACAAAACUGAAAAAUUAUAUUAUUUUAAAGCAUAUCUAGAAUAUUUUAUAUUAAUUCUUCCUCUCUCUUUUUUUCUUCUAGAAACCCUUUUUCUAGAAUGCUCCAUCUUCUCUGCCUCACCACUCCCCCUUUUUUCUCCAUCCGUCUCAAUCCUCUCUGCCUAUUGAUUGUUUCCUUCAGCCAUCUAUUGCUUUCAUGGAAUCCCGUUUCCAAAAAAAUCAACCAAUGAAACACCUUUCAAAAUCCCAUCUCCUUUCAUGCAAUUCCCCAGUUCUUACUAAUUACCAUUCCAUUUUCUUUUGUUUUCUCUUUCAAUUUUCUAGCCAACCAAACACCUUUCAAAAUCCCUAAUUCCAAAUAAUUGCUCACCUUGUCUGGCGUACCAGAUUCAGAUUAUGGUCCACUGAAAACAAGAGUCAAAAAUUGAAUUCCCACAACAGAACGUGACUGGUGGGGAAAGAAUCAACGGAAGCAGGGUGGUUGGUAAGUGAAAAUUAAGGGUGUUUCUAGGAGAGAGCGAUGUAUGUAUGUGUGCGAUCUGAGAUACCAAAAGACCCAGAUCGUGGAAGACCCCAAAUCACCGAACCCAGAUGAAAAAAAUCCUUAUUUUCGAGGAUUGAGAUCUUGUAAGUUGGAAUGAUGCACAAGGUUUGGAUGAGGAAGAAGAUGAAAAUGGUUGUGGGAGCGAAGAAGAAGAAGCAGGGGCGAAACGAAAGAGGCUGAGCGGAGAUGGUCUUAGCGAGCCCCGUGGUUUGUGGAGGGUCUCGCUAAGAACUUCUAGUGAGGCUUCUAAUCCACGCGAGUCCCCUUUAGUCCCAUUUAACUUAGUCCCAAUACAAACCAAACAUAGGACUGUAGUCCAGUCUAGUCCAGUCCUAGUUAAUGAGGCCAAACAAACGCCCCCUAAAGGUCUUCUGCAAGAACCAACAAGCAAAAUUAAAACGAACAUCGGGUGUCUACAUCUUAGUGACACUUAUAAGCUUCUUGUUGUUAGUAAAGGAAGGCAUUUUUCUGGUGUGGUUGCAGAAAAAUGGAUUGGGAAGGACUCUUCGAAAGUUGGGGAAGAUUUGAAGGUCUUGCUGUCACAGUCUGCUACUCGAGGGCUUGAGCAAUCACCAAGCGCUUUGUAUGAGGGGUUGGAGGAAGAAAGAAAUGCUUCUACAAUCGCUUCAGAUCAAACAAUGGCCAUGAUUACAAAACUGCAAGAGAAGAAGGCAGUCCUGUUGUGCCUUGGCCCGUUCAUUAGUGCGGAAACGAGAUUCAGAUUACAACCACACCUAAAAUCACACCCAGUUAAACAGAAUAAAAUACAAGAAAUAAAGACAACGAGAAAUUUACGAGGUUCGGCAAAAACCUGCCUACGUCCUCAGAGAGAUAUUGCUCUUCACUAUGAGAAAAACAGUACAAGUUACACAUAAGUUAAAUCGACAUAACCCAAUCCCAUAUCCCUUGUACACCCACUCACAGAAUUUUCCCAAGAGCCUCACUCUACCCCAAGAGUUCUUUCACUAGAGACCUUUCACUCUAGCUCUCUUGAUUUUUCUCACCCGUGCCCAUACUUUCCCAUGGGAGAGCCGAAUGCUCUCCCCCUUGGAUGCUCUCUCAUGCCCUCUCAAGAGAGAGCCGAAUGCUCUCUCUCUCUCUCUCCUUCUCCACUUCGGCUCCUUGCAAUUAAAUGGACAGAAAAGUGAGUUAACUUCUCCUUUUUUUCAUAGACACAAUGAUGAUCCAUCAUGCUCCCUUUUCUCAAAACCCAAAACCACUUUCGGCAUGCAAAUGGGAAAUGAAUAAAAAAUGCCAAAACAAAAGGAAUCCCAUGAAACAUCAUCAUUGUCUUCCACUAUUAGCCAAAAUGAGAUAUGGACAUAUUUGGCCACUAUUCCGAAAGCAUAACACACAAAGUCACUUAAUUGUUAACAGCUCAAAAUAUGAGCCAAUCACAACAAUCUCCACCUUGGCGAAUACACCAUGCAAAAAUCCUUGCACCCAUCACCAAAGUCCAUUGGCCUUACGUACCAGCAUGCACACUCUGAAUCCACCUCAUUGGUCCUGUUCCGAUUCAGUCACUGCCAAUGCAUGUGAAGCUGCUGCAAGCUAAAAAUCACAAUUUAGCUUCAGACAGGAUCUCGACACAUCCUCGUCUCCUCCAACAGUUUUUUUUUCCCCUUCUUUAUUGUCUGCAACUUGGAAACUCGUCAGUGCACCCGUUUCCAGCAACAACCCAUCGAGCCAGACAAAAUUCCCCACACUUCUCUUCCUUCAGGACCAUCUCAUCACCUGUGAAUCCCUUAGCUCCACCUGCUGCAAAUCCCUUGCAACACUCGAGACUAAACAUCACCAAGAGAAGUGUUGCUUCGAGUACCUAGAGGGCAUACUCGAAGUCUUCCACCACAAACUUGCUACAACUCGGUCUAGCACCUGUAGCACUGUGGACCCUUGCCUCCGGAACCGGAUCUGAACCUGCUGUCUCUCUCAGAUCCUCUUUCCAAUUUUCUUCCACGAUUCCAACCUUUAAUAACUUAAGGAGUCUUGUGCCCACCAUUAUCCAUGGUCUCCUUUGUGUAUCAUUCCACACCAAAGAAGCUUGCACCUGCUCCAAACUUACUGUAACUUUCCAUGCAGUAAAGUUUCACAAGGUUAUAAGACAAAUCUGAAAGUGAGGUAAGAAGAAAGAGGCCUUUGUCUUCUUCCUCAACAUCAACUUUCGUAGUUGAUCUAAGCAUCCCUGAACACGGCUUCCAUUUCUUCAGGCUUCCAUUACUCUCCAUUACCAAGAGUAAAAUUGCCUCUCCCUUUAAACUGCUCAACUGAAAAUUCCAUGGUGAACAACAAAUCUGGACCUCCAACGAACCAAGCUUCCAACGAGCUCUGAUACCAAUUGUUGUGCCUUGGCCCGUUCAUUAGUGCGGAAACGAGAUUCAGAUUACAACCACACCUAAAAUCACACCCAGUUAAACAGAAUAAAAUACAAGAAAUAAAGACAACGAGAAAUUUACGAGGUUCGGCAAAAACCUGCCUACGUCCUCAGAGAGAUAUUGCUCUUCACUAUGAGAAAAACAGUACAAGUUACACAUAAGUUAAAUCGACAUAACCCAAUCCCAUAUCCCUUGUACACCCACUCACAGAAUUUUCCCAAGAGCCUCACUCUACCCCAAGAGUUCUUUCACUAGAGACCUUUCACUCUAGCUCUCUUGAUUUUUCUCACCCGUGCCCAUACUUUCCCAUGGGAGAGCCGAAUGCUCUCCCCCUUGGAUGCUCUCUCAUGCCCUCUCAAGAGAGAGCCGAAUGCUCUCUCUCUCUCUCUCCUUCUCCACUUCGGCUCCUUGCAAUUAAAUGGACAGAAAAGUGAGUUAACUUCUCCUUUUUUUCAUAGACACAAUGAUGAUCCAUCAUGCUCCCUUUUCUCAAAACCCAAAACCACUUUCGGCAUGCAAAUGGGAAAUGAAUAAAAAAUGCCAAAACAAAAGGAAUCCCAUGAAACAUCAUCAUUGUCUUCCACUAUUAGCCAAAAUGAGAUAUGGACAUAUUUGGCCACUAUUCCGAAAGCAUAACACACAAAGUCACUUAAUUGUUAACAGCUCAAAAUAUGAGCCAAUCACAACAAGUCCUCCAUAUGGAAGCACUCCAGCAACUAAGAAUGAUGGAAGAGCAAGCUGAGUACGAUAAUGAAGCGCUGCAAAAGACAGACAACUUCUUGUCGAGAAGGAGAAGGAAAUACAAGAUUUAGAAGCAGAGCAGAAGGCACUCCAUGCAUACUGAGAGUUUCUUGAACACACGAUUAACCCGAUUCUCAUUUCUCUUCAAUAUUUAGCAUACCCUAGACAGAAUUGCACCGUUACAGUUUGAAGUUUGCUUUCUAAGUAUUCUUCUCUCUAACAUUUGCUGAAAUUGGUAUUCUGUCAAGUUUUCUGUUUUGAUAUCAAUUGUGAAGAAUGAAAUUCCAAAACAUUUUAUCAUACUUGCUUAGGCUAUGUGUUCCUCAACAAGCAUGCAAGCCAAGCUAAGGUAAGCUACCAAUGUUAUGUGAGACCUACUUCAUACAAGACAACGAGAUGACAGCAAGAGGAGAAUGCACGAGAGAAAAACUUGAAACCGAAAACAACUUCAAAUGUUUUUCGAUUUUGAUUUCUAGUUCUCAUGCACUGUACCAUUUUGUCGUAUACAUUUCUUCCACCAUCCUUCCUCCACUCAUCUUCAUACUUCAUUUUUUAUUUUUGUCUUCAAGUAGGCAUUCUACGGCUAAUGUGUUGGAAAAAGUUAUGAAAAUUUGCUAUAUAUUUUAUUAUAAAUUAUUAAAUAAUACACAAUAAAAUCUCUAUAAAUGCAAGAAGAACAAGGAAUGGAAGAACCUUAAGAGAUUGAGGGUAGAAUUUGAUUCUAUAACCUUAAGACAAGAUUGCCCCUCAGUGGUGCCUCAAGGUUUGCGUUGGCAAAUGUCUCUCAGGAUACAAUGAUCUUUCUCUUUGCGGAAGUAGCACUCGAAUCCACAAAGAACAGCGAACCAAAAGUGUUUAAAACUCUCUCUUUGUUGAACACUAAACUACUCUAAUUUCUAUAUGAUUUCUGAAUGCAAAGCAUAUUUAAAAUGCUUGACUUGGUGGUCUAUUUAUAGGCUUUGGCAUGCCCCUUUUCCAAAGGUUGUAUCUGCUUCCAAAAGGCAAAGGACGCAACCCUUAUUCAAGAUUACAUCUGCAACCGAAACACAAGGGUUGCGUUUGAUUUCUCAUAAGACAAAGAUGCAACCUUUUCCAAAGUUGCAUCUGUUUUCAAACUGACAAAGGUUGUGACCUUUGUUCAAACAUGCAUAACCCUUGAAAACUGCCGGUCAAACCCAUCCAUGACUAUUUUAAUUUCCAUUUUAAUUUCCAUUCACUUGAACAUUAAAAUUUAAAUAUUAAUAAUACUAAUAUUUAAAUAUUAAAUUUCUAACAUAAUGAAGAAAAAACUGUAAACAGUAAACUAAAAAAUGCACAUAGAAACCUAAUAGUAAGCCAACAAAAAUGAAUUCAGCCGUACAUUCUAUUAUUCUUGAAUCUUCAACUUGCCAGGGGUGGUACAAUAUAUAUUUGUUGUACGUUUGUUUAUUUCUCUACUCUUUUUUGUUCCACAUGAAAAUAAAUCUACAUGAAAAUUCAGAGGGAAGAGAAAAUAGGAACACCCGGCAAGGAGGUUCCUGCAUCAACAAUAUAAAUGUUGCCAGAGACAUAUUCAGAAGAGUCAUGUACCAAAUAUCGAACUAGCGAUGUCAAUGCUGGAUCUGAAGUGCCAAAUGUUCUUAAAGGGACAAUUUUCAUAGCCACAUUGUGCAGCCAGUCUUUUUGCAUAAGACGCUCCGUAAUUUCCGAUCUGAAAAGUCCAAGUGAUAUUGCAUUCACUCUGAUUUUGUGUACCCCCAGCUCCAUAGCCAUAGUCUGGUUAACAUAACAAGAUUCAGUAUAGUACCAUAGAAGCUUUCACCUACACUACCAAGUGCAGAGAACUACAGAACAUAUUCCUUAGGAGAAUACUCAUAAUCAAAUAUAGAUAAUGACACUUAUAAGAGAAGAAGAGAAGAAGAAAAGAAUAAGCAAAGGUAGUGUCGGUGACAUGACAAAGUUGAGGAUAAAAUCUUAAAAUGGCAACUGAUAAACCAGCAGUUAAAAUGUAAAACUUCGUUUGAAGUUAGACCAUCAAUUCAUAUGUCAUUCCCAGAAAUCCUCCGGUGCAACAAAAAGCAAAAUGUGGUUGAGUGCGAUAACACGUUGGUCAAAACAGUCUGUUGGUUAUACGACAAUAGAGCCGCUCGGACCAUGAGCUUGUGAUAACCACAGCCUUGCGUCAACACACUUUAUUGACGGAUGAUAACAGCACAUGAAGAUGACAAGCAUUUUGGCAAUCAGACUUAGAACUAACGAACUAAAGAGACCAAGAAUCAAAACCGGCUUAUAAUGGGGGUGAUAGAAUUUGGGUCGACAAGCCAAGGACCCCACUCCAACAACACUGAUAUUGUCCCCAACUUGGUAAUUACCACUUGCCCAAUCCAUCAGGUGUGGGAUUUUAUCACAAAAGGUCUCAGUACUAGUUAGAGUAGGGUAAUCAUAUUUAAACUAUUUUCUUUCUUCUUUCCCUCACCUAUGUGGGAUAGCCAACAGGGGGCAUAAGAGAAAAUACACGGUAUAGCCCAUAGGCCCACUAGCAAUAUUCCUCCACUAGACUAAAAAAGAACUAAAAUACUCCUAGGCUGAUUUCGGUCCUAAGUCUAUUUUUCCCAGGAAACUGUUAUUGACACUCCAAAAAAGUCAUCUCGUACAAUUUAUGCCUUAUAUUUCCCAGGAGGCAGGCAUCCCUUCAAGUUCUUAUAUUUCAUUUAUAGACCAAAAGUAACAAAAACAUAAUUCCUUUUCCUUACGCAAUUAAUAUGAUUUUCCCGAUUAGCAUGUUAAAGAUAAUACCUUUGUUAAGGUGUUUACACCAGCCUUUGAACAAUUGUAUGCUGUAGCUCCAGGCGCAAAUCCACGAUUAAGACCAGUAAUGGAAGAUAUAUUGACGAUUGACCCUCCCUGAUCAGCAUCUCGCAUGCGUAUAGCAACAAACUUUGAUACCAACCAGGAACCCGUCAAAUUUGUCCUGAAAACAUUAUUCCAUUCCUCCUCAGACAGUUCCAAUGGAGAACUCACAUUACCUAAGAAACACAGAUGGUAGUAAGCAUUUAUGAUACACCAACACAGACCUAUAGACCAACUAGUUGUGUGUGCCUGUGAGGUCAACAAUUGGUGAUUAGUACGGGACAGGAAUCAGGAUUGGGACUGAGUCUAGUCCAGUCCGAAUCCGAUAGUCCCACCCGCACUCCCUGUAGAGGUCAGAGGUAGAGGGUACAUGAUGAUGUUGUAUACAAUACUUGGGACAGUCGUCCCAUUCAAUAGUCCAGUAUCGUCAUUGUUAAGUUCAUGAACUGAAAGUAAUUUGCAUUACCAAAAAUAUAAUUGUAAAACAAAGGUAUAUUUGUCAAUUCCCCCCUCCCCUGAAGGUUUAGGAAGAAAUUUGAGGACAAUCCGUCAAAUACCUCUAAAACAAAUAACAUGAAAGGCAGAAAGCCAAGCCAAACCAACCUCUAAUACCGGCAUUGUUAACAAGGGCAUCGAUGAGCCCAAACGCGUCCCAAGCCUUGUUCACGGACUUCUCGAUAGCUGAACCAUCGGCGCUGACAUCCAGCUCCACAGCCACAGCCCUCGGGCCUCCUCCAGGCCCAUUAUCAGCAACAGAAGAUGGUGAAGAAGGAGCGGUGAUGGAGAGCUGGUUGAUUUGAACGCACACGGACUGAAGGCGGUCGAUGCGGCGAGCGGAGGCUACGAUUCUGCAGCCGGCUUUAGCCAAGUCUAAGCACAACUCGCGGCCGAGGCCAGAGGAAGCGCCGGUGACCAUGACGACUUUGCCGUGGAGGUGGCCCCAGGGCUCCAGGUGGUCCGACACUCGAUGAGGAUUCUCCAUGUUUGAUAAUCUGUUGUCAACUAUGAGCUAAGAAUUAUAUAGAACAAGGAAGAAGAGACUUCCAUGUGCAUGUGUGAUACUGCUAAAUCUUGACCGUUGGUGGCUUCGAUAUGGACGGUCAUGAUUUGGGGUGAUAUAUUUGCAGUUGCUGGACGAAAGCAUGUUUCGUGAGGAAGUCGGCUUGACUUGACAACACUUCGAUGAUAGGAACGGAAAGAGAUGAUAUAUUUGCAGUUGCUGGACAAAAGCAUGUUUGGUGGGGUAGUCGGCUUGGCUUACCCACUUUGGUGGGGUAGUCGGCUCGGCUUGGCUUACCGGAUAGAGUGAUCCAAAAUUUUGAAUUUUCAUCUGACUGUAAAAAAUUAUUAUUGUUUUUAAAGAAUCAAAACAGGUGAACCGUUAAAAAUUCAAAGGUCCGAAUCACUUGAUCCUGUGAUCUUGGUGGAAGAGAUUUGGAGAGGAUCUCUUUCGAUAGGAACCAACAAACUUGUACUAAACAAAAGGAAGUAAUUUUUAGUAGUACUGUUCGAGAGAUCAAAUUUCUAAAUUAUAUUUUGUAACCUAAAUUAUGUGCAUGUUCAUGAUUGAAUUAUUACUUAAGUAUUGACAAACGUGCAUAUUUCUUAUUAGUGACACAUCAUUUGGUUUGCAAAUUUUUUUUUUUAAAUUUGAUCUCUCUAGCAUUAUCCAAUUUCUAAACACUGUAGUUAGAGAGUUGCUAAUAAAAGUAACUCUAUAAAUUUUCUGCCAUCUCAUGUUUUUACCAUAAUUUGUUAUACUUUCGACAUAGAAAAUAACAUUAAAUUGUGAAGAGGUAGAGAGUCCAGAGAGAGUCUUACUUUGAGAGUCUUCUUAGCAUUUAUCUUUUUAGCUUCUCACACACAUUUCUUCCUUCAUUCUUUAAUUGUUCUAUUAAAUAAAUCAAACAGAAAGAACAAACAUGAUUAAUCAAGGUGCAUAAAAACCUAAAAGAUGUGUGUUUAUCAUUCCCUAAAAAGGUAUCAUAACUAAUUAUAAUAUGAUAGAGUGGCUUAUGUGCAUCCAAGUUUCGUAUUUGGACACCCUUGUCACCCAAUUUACUCUUACAUAUUUUUUAGACAGGCAAAAUAGUUUACCAAACUUUCAAGAAUCUCUUUUUAUGCAAGUUGGAGUUACACGGAAAUAGCUGUUUGAUACACAAUGAAUUAAUUUAUGCAGAAUGCUGUUUAGUUUUUUUUUUUUUUUUUUUUUUUUUCUGGAAUUUAAGAUCAAGCGGGAAGAUGUUCAGGAUUUGAAAAAUACCAAAAAGAUCAAAAAUAGCCCACCUUGUAAAUCUCAAACUUGUAAGCCUCUGUCUUUAGUAUUAUUUAUGUUUAAAUAUUUACCAUUUUAUGUUACUUAGUACUACAAUUUAGUGAUAUUCAUCUUCACUUGUAAGUGAGAGGUUUUAGGUUCGAUUAUUACCAAAAGCAAAUUUGAAUCAUAUUAUUACUACCACAUUAUAAGUUCAGCUCAUUCCCUUAUCCCCUAAUGUAGAUAAUAUCGUUUGUAUAAAAAAUUAUUAACCCUUUUAUUUGCGGCAUUAGCGGCUCCCAUAAUCACUUUAAGGAACUAAAUUAUGGAAACUAAAAUCAUUUUUAGGCAAAAGGAAAAUACAUCUCGAUUACAUUUCUUUCCUUCAUAGACUUUCUACUUGACAAAGUCCUGAGAUAAAACCAAAAAGGAAAAUCAAUCACAACUGAUGCAAUUUAUCAAUAAAAAAUCACAGGAAAAACAGAACCCAAAUUCCACAAUAAGCAAAAGGUAAGGAAAAAAGUGGAUAUAUUGAAGAUUUUCAAAUCCUACAGACACAAAGGUGAGAGAAAAUCCUUCAAAUAGUUGCUUUGUUUCAACAUGACCAUUACUUUAUAUGGUUGGACGCGAUUGGUGGUAAGCUCAUACAAAAUUUGCAGAUUAAACCACAACUACAAUUGAAAAACAACGAUAUGGGAUCACAUUGAUCAUAAAUUAUUAUUUGCAACUCAAAAAAUAAAAAGAGAGAGAGAAAUUAUUAUCUGCAACUUAAAAAUAAAAAGAGAGAUAGAAAAUUGCCAAAAAAACAAAAACCCUCGCCGAAGGGAAGACGAUUGGUGGCAAAGGGGAGUCCAAUUCGCAAUAGAUGCAAAAUUACAGAUACACACACACACAAAACCUUAGACAAUCCCUCUAGCUUAGGGGCAUUCAUAUGUAGAUUAUACAGUUUCCUUCAAUUCAUCUUACAAUGAACUAAUAUUGAACAUGCAAUACCUUAACGUAUCUCCUAAGAGUGAGAGAAGUUGUUUCUAGGUAACGGAGAGGGCCAAUUCGUCGGCGAUCGCCAGGAACUGGGUUGCUGGAAAAUAUGUUUGAAACCCUAAAUAUUUGUUUCUCUGUUUUACAGUAGUCAUGGUUGGGAGGCGUGGUGAGUUGCGCGCGCAAAGGAAGAGGAAGGGAGGAGGAAGAAACGGAGAAACAAAUAUUUGGUAUAUAUAAAUAGUGGCAAAUUUGAAAUAAUAGAAACUAAGAGAGGGAAAAACCAAAACAACACUGUGCUCAUGAACAGUGUUUCAAGGCAAAUGGGUUUUUAGUGUAUAUUGAAUUUGAAUGGAGGAAUUCCAAAUCUAUGGAUUUUUUGAAAAAAUUAAAAGAUUAAAAAUGGUUGUUUCAACUAUUACAAUCAUUAUAUGCGACUAUUUGAACAAGUGACGGAAUAAAACAAGUGAGUUUCAAAUAAUUCCUUGCAUAUUGUUAUUUCAAAUUCACCUAGAGGUCACAAAUCAACUUAUUAGGUUAUUAAUGGGUACCUAUUAAGAGUCAUUUGGUUUAAUUUCACCUUACAUUAUAAUCACCAUUAUCAAUUUUACCUUGAUAUUAUAGUGAUAUCAAAUUAAACAGGUCUUAAUGGGUACCCGUUAACAAUCUAAUGAAUUGAUUAGCAAUCUCUAACUCCACUAAGUAGCUAGAGUUACCAUUACUUACAACUAUAACACAUACAUACUUAUUUAUUAUAUUAAUCUGAAGUUCCAAAUUAAUCAUUUAUCAUGUUCUUUAUACAGCCUACAAAAUUACAUGAAUUAGUAACAUAGUCACAGUACAAAGUUUCUGAAGAUUCUCUUCUGCAAUUUUGUACCUCAGCCUUUCAACUUGUGGGACAUCCUGUUGACUCUUUGUAUAAGAGCAUCCUCAAUUAGGGGCUCUAUAUGGGGCUGGAAAGUGAUGAAUAUAACCUAUUUUAGAGCUUCGAAUAAUCUUUGGGGCUUUAUAAAAGAAUAUCUUCCAAUGAGGGCUAUAUCUUUUGGGCUCUAUACGGGGCUAUAUGCAUUUAUUUAUGUAGUAAUUUGAUUAAGCGAUGAUUUUUUUUUUUUUUUUUUUUUAGUUUUUUCUUAAGGUGACUUUUGGAAGUGCUAUCUUAAAUUUUAUUUUUUUUUUUUUUGUGUGAACCCUUCAACCUAAAAUGUUCAAAUUGUGACAAAGUUAAAUUUCAUCACUUAUGAAUCGUUUGUUGAAUUAAAUUUUCUUAUCUCAAUCUCACCCAUUGAAUGAAGCAAACCCUAGUCAAUGAGACCAAGUAAGCCAGAUUUUUAUGCAUUUCACAACAUAAAGCAUAACAUAGUAUCAAGGCAUGCAUGUGGACACAGUAAAGUAUUCCGUUAUAUUUUGCAGGUGGUUUUGUACUGGUACUCGCGUAUAUGUUCACGAGCAGUAUAUAAAGUCGACAUUAUGAUGAGAUCCCUGGUUGAUCUCUGCGGCUCUGCCGACAUGUUCUUCACAGCUUAGGGUAUUGACAAAGAUAAAAUAUAGUUGUUUUCUUUAUUUUUAUACAUGCACUAGUGUGGUGAAAUUGAACUCAAACACAUCCAAUGCAUAUGAAAUAUUUAUAACCACUUGAGCUACGAAUUUCUUACAGUAUUAUUAUUCUAUAUUGUCAAAAUUUUAGAAGGGCCAGCUUAAUGGUUCAACACCAAUAUUGUUCAAGUUAACCAUUUGCAGCCUAAGAGGUGUAAGAUUUUUUCCUGAAGACCUCGGCGUAUUUAGGAUAAAACUAUUGUAUAUAAUUUGUAAUAUUUUGUCAAAUCUCCAAUGUGAGAUUUCCGCGCUACCUCACGUGGAACCAUAUCUCUAGUCGGCCACAUGUGAAGAGAACUUCAACAUUGGGAAUGGAAAGACAAGCACGUGAAUGUUGAAUAUAAGUCCCACAUCGGAGAAUUAACAAUAUAUGAGCAUAUGAGUUCACUCCUAAAAAUAGAGACGUCUUUGUGAUAAAACUCAAUAGUCGGAAAUAGGUAAUUAAGUUAGGAUAAUAUUGGUGUGGUUAGGAGUAGGUCAAUGACUGGUCUCCUUGAUGAUCAAACAUGGUACCAAAGCAGGUUUGAUUAUGAGUCAUGUGGGUGUCAUGCUUGAGUUAUUGUGAUGAAUGUAACACCAUGCUCCAACACUUAAUCUCGGAUAUGGGAUCGGUUGCACUUGUGGCCCACUAUGUUUUGGUCACAUGGGAGGGGGUGUGUUGAAUAUAAGUCCCAGAUCGGGAGAUUAAGAAAAUAAGGUAUAAUAAGUGUAUGAAUUCACUCUUAAAAACACCGUGGCCUUUUGUGAUAAAUCCAAUACUUAGUAAUAGGUGAUUAAGAUGAGAUAAUAUUGGUGUGGUUAGGGGUUGGCAUGUGGCCCGUUUCUCUAAUUAUUUGAUACUAAAUAUUACGCACUUGAAACAAACCAAUAAUGGGAUCCAAAAAAAGUACAAACGCAAUAAUUGGGCCUAGAAAAAUAGCUCUAAUAUCAUAUUAAAGUUUCAGAGAGAUGAGUAGAAUGACCCUAUAGCAAGAUUGACUCUAACUUAACCACAUGUAGUCCAAUAGAUGUGAGAACUUAUCCUAAAAGACUUUAAUGUAAAAUGAAACCAUUUGUAUAUAAAUCAUAAUAUGUUUUGUCAAACCUCCAAUGCGUAAUUUCCAACAUAUAGUCCGACUAUUAUACAUCAAAGAUUUCCACCAUGUAACUAAGAAGAAAAAUAAUGCAUCAGCUAUUAAUUGGAAGACGUACCACAAGUUAAUACCAUAAUAUAAAUUUAAGUACAUGUGUUAGAAAGUUAAUGGAUUCAUUUAGGAUAACAUUAUAUAAUUGAUAUUGUAUUUCUAGAUAGUAGGAUUUUCUUAUUGUACAAGAAAUACUCAUGUAUAUAUUUUCAUCGUAUCAAUGAGAAUUAUUCAUUCAAGCUUAAAUAAAUUUUCUAUAUGUUAUACAGAGUAGGUUGCGAAAUUCCAAGUUUAUCUUCUUUUUUUUUCGCUUAUUUGUCGUGUUCCUUUAACAUGGGACCAAAGAUGCAGAUUUCAAAUUGCAGCUAUGGUUGUCUAUUCCGAUCACAGCCACAAUCUAGUUUGGCAGCUCUCACUGUACUGAUUAUUUAGGGCAUGUUUGGCAUGCCGGAUAACACACCAGAUAGUACUAUUUAAUAUUAUCCGGUGUUUGGUGCCAUUCGUAUUAAAUUAGCACCGGAUUAUUUUUGCGGUCCGACCUAUUUUAUACGACGUACGCCGGAUAACUUAUACACUCCAAAUCGUCGGUAUUAAUUAGUCAGGUCGCUGAAAACAAAAUCAAGCUGGCUCUUUUUCUAUCUCUCUUGCUAGUUUUAAAUUGUGAAACUCAGUGCCAUAAAUGUUCUUCAAUCUCCUUUUGAGGAAGUAAAUGAACAUGAUAAUCUUUGAUGAAUUGAGUUUUUAAUCCGGUACUGCACCAAAUACCCGAUUAAAUAGUCAAUACGCUCAACUAAAUAGUCAGUACUAUUCGAUGACAAAUUAUCUUAUCCGACUGAAAUAGUCAGUACAGUCCGAUCUACCAAACGAGGCCUUAUAUUGGAUAUGAUAAAUAGUUACCGGAUAGUACUGACUAAAUUAGUCAGGUGUUUGGUGCAGUAUCGGACUAAUGACCAUAUUAUUUAUACUGUGUUUGGUACUGAACCAGAUAAGAAAAGGGAAGAAAAAAAAAUUGACAAAUCUUUAUUCGUUUGUUGAACUUUUCGAGCUGGGUUUAUGGAACUCCUCAAUCUAGGGGUAGAUUCAAGCAUGCAAAACUCGAAUGUUUUUGUUGGGACUCUCCUAAGUUGAAUAUAUUGAGAUAAUGCUUUGAAAGAAUAUAUGCAAAGUUGCAGAUACACACACACACACACACACAAAAAACCUUAGACAAUCCCUCCAGCUUAAGGGCAUUCAUAUGCAGAUUAUACAGUUUCCUUCAAAUAUAUAUGAAUUAAUCAACCUUCUUCUCUCUUAUGAAUGCUUAUUCUACUUAUCAUUGAUAUAUAUAAGUUCAGGCAUUCUCCUCAUUAUGUCCUCAAAUGUGGAUUGGUUGAUUUUCAAUUCAACUGAUGCAAAAAGUACUAUAUAUGCUUUGAGUUUAUCAACGUAAAGAUGUAAAUAAUACUACAUACAUCAAACAGGUACGAUGUAUGCACUACGAAUCAUACAUUUAUUAAGUAGAUGAUUUGUCCUAAAAGAAUCACAACCUCAAACAACUAAAGUUUAGAGAACAAACUCUUGAGUAUCAGAGUACUUGACUCAUCUCACUCUCUACAUAAAACAUUAAAAAAACCAAAUGCCAAUUAUUAAAAUGGAAAACUGAAGUACCUGGCAAAGUUUUUCUUCUUAUACAAACAUUCAAGAUGGUAAACAAUAUUUUGAACACCCACUCUAAAUAUGACAAAUAUUGGCAACCCUCAACCUUGUAACCUGAAUCAAGCUGGUUUCAAAUAAACCAAUGGAAAACCAAAAUAUCAAUGUUUAGGAGUAACCUUAUUUGAAAUACCAUUAAAAAAAAGAGUAUACUUUUAGGCAAAUAUUGUUCAAAAACCGAAAUAUAAUUCAUGAUACCUGCCAAAAGGAAAAUACCUCUCGAUUACAUUUCUUUCCUUCAUAGACUUUCUCCUUGGUAAAGUCCUGAGAUAAAACCAAAAAGGAAAAUCAGUCCCAACUGAUGCAAUUUAUCAAUAAAAAAUCAUCGGAAAAACAAAACCCUACAGACACAAAGUGGAUUUAUUGAAGAUCUUGAAAUCCUACAGACACAAAGGUGAGAGAAAAUCCUUCAGAUAGUUGCUUUGUUUCAACAUGACCAUUACCUUAUAUGGCUGGAGACGAUUGGUGGUAAGCUCACACAAAAUUUGCAGAUUAAACCACAACUACAAAUGAAAAACAACGAUAUGGGAUCACAUUGAUCAUAAAUUAUUAUCUGCAACUCAAAAAAUUAACAGAGAGAAAUUAUUAUCUGCAACUUAAAAGUAAAAAGAGAGAUAGAAACUUGCUAGAAAAACGAAAACCCUCACCGAAGGGAAGACGAUUGGUGGCAAAGGGGAGGUCCGAUUCGCAAUAGAUGCAAAAUUACAGAUAUAUACACACACAUAAAACCUUUGACAAUCCCUCUAGCUUAAGGGACAUUCAUAUGCAGAUUAUACAGUUUCCUUCAAUUCAUCUUAAAAUGAACUAAUAUUAAACAUGCAAUACCUUAACAUAUCUCCUAAGAGUGAGAGAAGUUGUUUCCAGGUAACGGAGAAGGCCAAUUCGUCGGCGAUCGGCAGGAAUUGGGUCGCUGGAAAAUAUGUCUGAAACCCUAACUAUUGGUUACACGAAAACAAUGACAAAAUUGGUGAAAGCUUGACUAAGAAGAGUGAGAGGGAUCAGUUGGUAGUGGUUCGGAGGAGUGUAGUGGUUGUUUUACAGUAGUCGUGGUUGGGAGGCGUGGUGAGUCGCGUGCGAAAAGAAAGAGGAAGGCAGGAGGAAGAAACGAAGAAACAAAUAUUGAGUAAAUUGUGGCAAUGGUCCCUCAAUUUUAAUCAAAUUGGAGCAAUGGUCCCUCAACUAAAAAUCCAUUACCAUUGAUCCCUCCACUUAUCAAAAUGUAUAGUUAUAGUCAUUUUCAUCAAUUUCAUCAAAAUUUUGUCAAAAUAGGUUAUAUUGGAAUAACCAUUUAUAUAAUUAAGGUCCUUCAACUUAUCAAAGUGUGUAAUUAUGGUCAUUUUCGUCAAUUACGUCAAAAAUUUUGUCAAAACGAGUUAUGUUGGAAUGACCAUUGCUACAAUUGGGUUAAAGUUAAGGGACCAUUUCUCCAGUUGAAUUAAAGUUGAGGGACCAAUGGUAAUGCAUUUUUAGGGACCAAUGGUAAUGCAUUUUUAGUUGAAGGACCAUAGCUGCACAUUUUGAUGAGUUGAGGGACCAAUGGUAAUGAAUUUUUAGUUAAGGGACCAUUGCUCCAAUUGAGUUAAAGUUAAGAGACCAUAGCUACAAUUUACUCACAAAUAUUUGGUAUAUAUAAUGUAACAUCCCACAUCGCCCAUGGGAGUGGAUCAUGUAAGCCUUAUAUGUAUAUUCUCAUCUCUACCUAGCACGAGGCCUUUUGGGAGCUCAUUGGCUUCGGGUUCCAUCAGAACUCCGAAAUUAAGCGAGUUCGAGCGAGAGCAUUCCCAGGAUGGGUGACCCACUAGGAAGUUCUCAUAUGAAUUCCCAGAAACAAAACCAUGAGGGCGUGGUCGGGGCCUAAAGCGGACAAUAUCGUGCUAAGGUGGAGUCGAGCCCGAGAUGUGGUGGAUGCCCGGGUCGAGAUGUGACAAUUUAAAUGUAAUACCUUGAAAAUUUUAAAUAUAUGAAUAUGUGAAAAGAAUUGAGAAUUUAUAUUAAUUCAUAAAAUUUUAAUUUUAAAUUAAACGAGUUACGAGGUUUAAAGUUUGGACAUUAAUUAUUUAAAAUACGUAGACCUUUCGAGGUCAAAAUUUAUAUUUUUGAAUAGAGCUUGAUCUUACGAAUGCAUAGGCGCAAACUGUUCGUGAAAUGGAGUUAUAACGAAGAAGUUAUAAACGAAUAAAGUCAAGGAUGAAAUGGUCAUUUGACCAUAAUCUGGAUCUCUCCAGAUAUGUCUGGUGAAGCCACGUGGAGAGCAGGGAGAGGGAGAAAUGGGCACUGCCCAAUCAGAAAAGUGGAAGGGAGGGAAAAGAGAGGGGGAGAGAUGGAAGGGAGGGAACCGGGUUUCCUCAACCCGCGUGACCUAACCUGUUUUCCCCAUUUCUUUGGUGAUUUUCGUUGGUUUUCCGACGAAUCAUGUUCAUUAUAUCUUGGAAAAUCAUCCUAUAACCUUCCCUUUACCCAAUCCACUCCAAAAAUGGAGAGAAAAGGGUAUGAAAACCGUGAAAUUUGCACGAUGGGUGCGAGGUGCGCCUGAGAUCCUUGGCGGCGAUCCGCCAUUUUCUAAAGCCAACUCCGACCACCACCACUAGCAAUGGACUCCUUGUGAACCCAUGAACAUGUCUCCAAGUCUUGGAUGGGGCGGUGGAGCAUCGGAGGACAUAGAUCAAGGUCACCCAAAUUCUAGGGUUUCGAACGGGUUUUAGUGGAAUUGAGGUGUUUUCCGGAUGAAUUGGACUUUGGCCCAUGUAUGAAAGUUGUUCCUCUCAUUGAACUCUACCUGCCUGUAAAAUUUGGGAAUUUUUAAAAAUGGUGAAAUUUUCCGGCGAGUUGGGACGGCCGACCGCCACCCGCGGUGGUGCGUGCGGCGGCGCGUGGCCAAUGGGCCAAUGCUGCCUCUUUCAUGAAAAUUUUGAUGUUUUGAAUCCAUAAUUGAUAGCCUUUUGAUUCAAUUCGAUUGUGGAAGUUAAAAUGGAAUUAGGCCGAUACCGGAAUAUUUUUGGGAAUAAAAAUGGAAGGGAAUUGUGAACUAUGAAUGGCUUGAUCCCUGUUUAGUGUACGUAAGCAGUCUAAUGAGACGUUAGAUGCAGCCAUAAAAUAAGUUAGAUUAAAUAACUCGAGAAAUAAUUUUUAGAAUGGGAAGUGUUUUAUAAAAGGAAAUACUGACAAAGUGAGAAUAAAUUUGUACGUUUGGUGUUUAAAUUUUUAAUUAUGAAUCAUGGUUGUAAACAAGACAAAUAAUUAAAGGAUUACGAUAGGUGGUAGUUAAAUAUUUGAGAGAAAUCCUUGGUGGUGAUUUUGUACUAAAGAAAGGAAUUUAGUAAAAACAUAUUUGAGUUUUUACCUUAUGGUUAUUAAAUUAAAGGUGGGUUUUGAGUUUAAUGUAAGGAUUAGUGAAUUGAAUAUAGAAUCAAUAAAUAAUUAACGGUAGUCAACUAAACAUGAUUUUUAGGUUGGGCCUGUCACCAAUAAUAUUCCCGAAAAUAACAAAUAUUUCAGGGCAGGGCGUUACAUAUAAACAGUGGCAAACUUGAAAUAACAGAAACUAAGGGAGGGUAAAACCGGAACAACAUUGUGCUUAUGAACAGUGUUUCAAGGCAAAAUGGGUUUUAGUAUAUAUUUAAUUUGAAUGGAGGAAUUCCAAAUCUAUGGAUUUUUUGAUAAAAUUAAAAGGUUAAAUUGGUUGUUUCAACUAUUACAAUCAUUAUAUGGGACUAUUUGAACAAGUGAAGGAAGAAAACAAGUGAGUUUCAAAUAAUUCCUUGCAUAUUGUUAUUUCAAAUUCACCUAGAGGUCACAAAUCAACUGAUGUGAUGCUACUAUAUAUAUAUAUAUAUAUCCAAUGUCAACAACGCAUGUGAUUUUUUUUAUUCCUAUGGCCAAAAGCAUUCUUUCGACCACUUCGGCCAAAAGCAUUCCUUCAGCCAAUUCGGCCAAAAGAAAACGGAUAGAUACUCGUUGGCCCCCUUAUUUUCUUAUGCAUCAUCGGCUCAAACAGCCAGAUGGAUAAGAACAUAUAAAAACUGAAAUCUAAAAUACGGGAAUAAAAAUGGCCGAUCCAUGAGAAGGAGGAGGCCAACGAUACUUUAUCCCAAGUCAAGAUCUUUUUAUAUCAAAGUUUUUAAUCGGAUUUUGCUCCAGGCCGAAUAAAGAAUCAUCUCCAAAUACUUUUGACUUGGCGAAAUAUUUUUAUUUUUUGCCACCGAAUGUGUUGAACAAUUAUUAUGCCCCCCCCAGGCAUAAUUUCGGCUUUUAAUUCAAAUAACUUGGCCAAAUGAGAUUUCUCCAUAUCAGCUUUAUCACCAAUAAUCAUAUCGAUUGGCGUGGUUUUUUUGGCUAGGCCUAUGUCUCGGCCUUGUUCAUCAUUGGAGCAUUCAUCUGACGAAUCAUUUUCUAAGUUGAUUUGUGGUUCAGAAACUUGAAAUUUUUCUUCUAGGCCUACCACAGUUUCAAUCUCGACUUAAAAAACAGGUGGCCUAGGUUCUCCUUCUGCUGUUUCGGCAAUUUCCUGAGGCUGAAUUUUGAUUGUGGCAGGAGCAAAAAAUUGGCCCCCCCCCCCGGCCUUUGGACCUAACCAUUUUUCAAAUGGAAUUGAUCUGUAAUAAAAAACGUAAGGGAAACUUUCUUCAUCUAGCCAAGCAUUAAAUCGAGCCCUGUCUUCGUUUACCCAUUGCUCUUGUAGGGUAACAGGAGCUUUUAUUUUCAACAUGUAGGUGAAUGAUUUUUUCCUGGUUCUCACGCCACAAAGAACUUUUACCGCUUCCCAUGAUUUUUUAUCCUUCUCAAGGCAUUUUCUAUUCUCCUGAAGGCGUUUUGUACCCUCUUCACUAUUUCUUUUCAAUUGCGCAAGAAGCUCGUGCAAUCAGCUAAAUGGAGCCGGAUUGGAAUCUUGAUCUAUCAUAUGAACUUCCUCGUUUUAGCACUGGGUCCUACCAGGCGUGCCAAAAUGUUGACCCUAAAAACUACCAAGCCUACGUGGCGCGCAUGCCGAGUAACUAAUAAGCUAACUAUGUCCUUCGGUUAUGUGCGGGGCGUGUCAACUCGACGGCUGAGCUCGGUCGGUAAGUAAAAUAUGUGGAUGCGGUGUUGGGCACGUUGCUAACUUCUUGAUCUUGCGACUACGGCCGAGGAAGGAACACAUAUCAGCUUUUGGGUUCUCGAGCCUGAAGACAAAGCUGCUAGUUCUGCGAAGUUCACGAAUCGUCGGCGCCGAGCUCGGUCUCAGUUAUAUUAGUCGUGAAAAUGUAACUACACCGAACCGGUACUAGAUUAUACAGACAUAAAUACUUGAAAGAGAUAAAUGUCUUGAUGGUGAAUGUAGUUCGGCCGUUGGCGUGCCGAACUCUAAAAUGUACAUGUGAGUAUCCAAUCAUAAAACAACUCGGCGUUCAAUGUGCCGAGCCUUGGUAAACUGUAACACCUCACCUCGCCAAAAAGGCUAAUGAGAUUACAUCUGCCAAUAAAGACCCGAAAGUCUUUCUCGACUGAGACUUGGAUAGAUAACCAGUCGACCUCGACGCAGUGCUGUUUAUCUAAACUGAAGGUGUUUCGUGGUCAGCUGAUUCUACGGCGAUAGUGUUGUUUAUCCAAACUAAAGGUAUCACCGGUUGCCUUCACAGUGCUGUUUAUCCAAACUGAAAAUGUGUCGGCAGAAAAAGAAAAUAAAAAUCUCAAGGUUGUUUAGAGAGUUUGCGCAUGGUAAUUUGUGUGUUGAAUUUGAGGGGGUCUUUCCGUUGUUUGUAGCCUUGUAUUUAUAGGGACGAGUAUGCGCUGGUUGAUAAGUUGGUAAAGACUACCAUGUUAUUAGAACUCUUCCAUUAAUUUGAGCCUCAGAUAAGCCUUACUCCCCCCAAAACUCUGAACUUAGCCAAAAAUACAACCAAAUCCGAUCCUUGUGUUUAGUCUUAUCAGUUAUCACAUCGAAUCCCCAAAUAAUCCGCAUGCUUGUAGAUGAACAAAUAAAUAGCCACCAAUUAUUAUAUAUAUAUAUAGUUAGCCCAGUCCACACGGCAUGCAGACUAUAUGGCCUAAUCCCAUCAUCAAUUCUUAUGGCCUUGUACUCAAUCUGACAACACCAUCAUCAUGCAUUAAAAACCUAGUCUACCUAGGUUUCUCAUCUCAUCCUCACAUCAUCACCAAAAGCCAUCACCUCCAUUGUUGUGCAUGCAUUCAGAUCAAAUGAAUUUCAAAAUCAUUUUAAGCCUCCAAGUGUUGUCAGACAUCCCAAAUCAAUUCUAACUGUAUUGCUUUAUUUGAGAUAUGAAUCGCAUCCUAUUUAUCUGGUUUACAAAGAUGUCAAGAAGAUAAUUAUUACGAUAAAAUCCAUAAUAUUGCCCUUUAGCAAAAAUAUCUCCAUUUUUCCAUCUGAAGGUUGAAAACCAUGCCCACUCAACGACCUCAAUUACUCAGGCCGAUGGUGUAAAAUCGGGUCCAAACAAUUUCACAUCAUAAAGCAUAACAUUGUAUCAAGGCAUGCAUGUGGACACAGAUAAGUAUUCCAUUAUAUUUUGCAGGUGGUUUUGUACUGGUCAUCGCAUAUAUGUUCACAAGCAGUAUAUAAAGUCGACAUUAUGAUGAGAUCCCUGGUUGAUCUCUGCGGCUCUGCCGACAUCUUCUUCACAGCUUAGGGUAUUGACAAGGAUAAAAUAUAGUUGUUUUUCUUUAUUUUUAUACAAGCGCUAGUGUGGUGAAAUUGAACUCAACAACAAUGUUCACUUAGACUCCAAAUCGAGUGAUGCUACAACUAUAGAGCAGAUAAACGUAACACACUAUGAAGAUCCGGGGUGUGUCAUCCAAUGCAUAUGAAAUAUUUUUAACCAAUUGAACUACAAAUUUCUUCCAGUAUUAUUAUUAUAUAUUGUCAAAAUUUUAGAAAGGCGAGCUUAAUGGUUCAACACCAAUAUUGUUCCCAAGUUAACCAUUUGUAGCCUAAGAGGUAUAAGAUUUUUUUCCUUAAGACCUCGGCGUAUUUAGGAUAAAACUAUUGUAUAUAAUUUGUAAUAUUUUGUCAAAUCUCCAAUGUGGGAUUUCCGCGCUACCUCACAUGGAACCAUAUCUCUUGUCGGCCACAUGUGAAGAGAACUUCAACAUUAGGAAUGGAAAGACAAGCACGUGAAUGUUGAAUAUAAGUCCCACAUCGGAGAAUUAACAAUAUAUAAGUAUAUGAGUUCACUCCUAAAAAUAGAGACGUCUUUGUGAUAAAACUCAACAGCUAGUAAUAGGUGAUUAAGUUAGGAUAAUAUUGGUGUGGUUAGGGGUGGCAUGUGGCCCAUUUCUCUAAUUAUUUGACAAUGAAUAUUACGCACUCAAAACAAACCAAUAAUGGGAUCCAAAAAUAGUACAAACCCAAUAUUUGGGCCUAGAAAAAUAGCUCUGAUAUCAUAUUAAAGUUUUAGAGAGAUAAGUAGAAUGACCCUACAACAAUAUUUACUCUAACUUAAUCACAUGUAGUCCAAUAGAUGUGAGAUCUUAUCCUAAAGGACUUUAAUGUAAAAUGGAACCAUUUGUAUAUAAAUCAGAAUAUGUUUUGUCAAAACUCCAAUGCGUGAUUUCCAACAUAUAGUCCGACUAUUAUACAUCAAAGAUUUCCACCAUGUAACUAAGAAGAAAAAUAAUGCAUCAGCUAUUGAUUGGAAGACGUACCACAAGUUAAUACCAUAAUAUACUAAAAAUUUUAAGUACAUAUGCUAGAAAGUUAAUGGAUUCAUUUAGGACAAUAUUAUAUAAUUGAUAUUGUAUUUCUAGAUAGUAGGAUUUUCUUAUUGUACAAGAAAUACUCAUGUAUAUAUUUUCUUCGUAUCAAUGAGAAUUAUUCAUUCAAGCUUAAAUAAAUUUUCUAUAUGGUAUAUAGAGCAGGUUGCGAAAUUCCAAGUUUAUCUUCUUUUUUUUCUCUUUUGUCGUGUUCCCUUAACAUGGAACCAAAGAUGCAGAUUUCAAAUUGCAGCUAUGGCUAUCUAUUCCGAUCACAGCCACGACCUCAUUUGGCAGCUCGGAUUUGACUGACUAUUUUUGUCGAAUAGGAUAAAUAGUCACUAGAUAGUACUGACUAAAUUAGUCAGGUGUUUGGUGCAGUAUCGAACUAAUGACUGUAUUAUUUAUACUCUGUUUGGUACUUAAUCGGAUAAGAAAAGGGAAGAAAAAUAAAUUGACAAAUCUUUGCUUGUUUGUUGAACUUUUCUCAUAUUUAUAACUAUUCAAAACCACACAAAUUUUCAAAUUACAAAGAAAAGUAGUAAAUUCCAUACAUCAAAUUCAAAAUAUUUUCCAAUAACAUAAAUUAGAAGGUUCACUAAACACAACUAUAGUCGUUACGUUAUAUAGAUUAAUCCAACCAUAUAUCCAAGUUCACAAAAUAUACAAAUGCAAGUUGGUUUCAGUAAGAAACAAAUUGUCCAAAUAGCCAAAAUAUAUGCAUGCUGCUGCUUUGCUUUUAGUAAGAAGCAAUUUGUCCAAGUCCCCAAAAUAUAUACAUGCUGCAUCUUUUAACAAAAGAUAUGCAUGACUUUUAACAAAAUAUAUUGUUGUUGUUUUCCAAGUAACCAAAACAUAUAUCACCUGCAUAUAUGAAUAGAUAACUAAAGACCAUGUGCAGGAAGACCUGUAAACGGGUCGGGUUUAUCGGGUUUAGAUCGAGUUCAAUCCGACCCGUUAAGUUAACGGAUCAUCCGAAACCGACCCGUUAGCUUAACGGGGUCACCAGAACCCGACCCGUUAAGCUAACGGAUCAUCCGUUUCACCCGUUAUCAUCCGUUAACAAUUAUUAUUAUUAUUAUUUGCAUAGAGUUUAUUUUUUGUUGUUAAGACUUUAUUGAAAUUACUAAAACAUCUUCAACUAACGGGUGCUAACGGGUCUAACGGGUUGACCUAAAGUGACCCGUUAUUUAACGGGUUCACCCGCUAGCGACCCAACCUAUUAAGCAUCCAUCCAAAUACUAAUAUUAACGGGUCGGAUCGGAUCAGGUUAACGGGUCGGAUCCAAAAUGCCAAGUCAGUGCAGGUAUCCAUUUCACCCAUUAUAUGACUCACAAAAGCUCAUGUUUCAAUAAUGAUAACUGUUUGGAGGAAAAAGACAAGGGAUUUGUUCAAGGAAAAGGAGCAAAUACCAGCACUGCAUGAGGUAGGGGGUCCUUCUGCAAAUCCUUGAGCUCCUUCAAGAUGCGUUUAGAUGCCAUGACAACACCUACAAACACACACAACCUGCAAAUCCUUGCGCUUCUUCAAGAAUAAGAAUAGAACGAGAGGGAAUCCUACUCUAACUUUUUGUUCUGCAAAUUUAUUUGAUGCCCAAUCAAAAAAUUCCAUUCAUACUAAGUAGGGUUGACUGUACGAUGAGCCUUAUCUCAAAUACCCUAAUACAAAAUCAAAUCUCAAAAAUAAACAGAUAAAUUCCAACAUAUUCGUCAUCCCUUGAUUCUCACGUCGGUCGAUUUUUAUUUUGUUUCUACUCCAUAGCACCAACAGAAGCAGAAAUUCUGCUACCUCCCUACUGCCUUUUUCUCCGUUGCUGUGAGUGCCUUCUUCUCCUUCGCCGCUGCAGACUCCAUAGCAGGAGGAGCAACUUCUUCGUCACGACCUGCAAUCCGGUUCACUGUAUCGGACCCCUCGGUGCCUUCAAAUUUAGUCGCCAUCGUAUUUGGUUGAUCGGGUUCAACGUUACUAAGAGAGAGAGAAGAGAAGGGAUUGAGGAAUUCGUGAGUGUUAUUCUUCAUUGCUUGUGUCUUUAUUUAUAGAGAAAGAAACUUGUUCUUCAAGGAAUAAAACUUGUACGAGGAAACGUCUUUUUGAUCUCAUCAGAUUUACACAACACUGCUAAUGAAAUUAGGGCAAGACAAGGAAAACCUACGCCAAAUUAGAUCCAAUGCAAUCAAAUCCUUAACUAAAUCAAAUAUCUAACAAUACUUUUCUUUAUAUUUUUCAUUACCACUAGCACAACUGAUAUUGUCCGAAUUUAACGACCUAUUACUAGGUAUUAUUUUUAUCACAACAAGAUCUCGAUGAUAUUAGAGGUGAAAACUCUCAUAUUAUAAUUUAUGUAUUAUUUUAUAACACGUAAGGACCGAUGUGGAAUCCUAGAUCGCUAUGGCUUUGGAAAUUUGUAUUCAUUAACUAAUAAUGCAUGUAUAACAACGGUAUGUACGUCUUGAAAAGGAGCUUUAGAUCAUACUUUACAGGCACUCAGUAAAUCAAAAGCUAGUACUAGAAUAAAUUGGUAGGUAAUUGUUUAGUUAGGGCUAAGGUCAGCUGCCUAAACCCUAGCUCCUCUUUAGGAUUUAGAGCAAUUUAUUUUCAAAUAACUAAAAUCGGUUUUAGCAAUCACAGCAUCGAGAGCGCUUGAAGUGCUUUAUAUGUUUCUUUCAGAAAACACUUCCAAGGAUCGUAGAGUCCAUGAAUGAGUCAAUUGUAGGUAGCUAGCAUCACGCUCGGGGCUUCUGAAAAUUUACAUUCUCUUAGUAACUUGAAUUUAAAACCAAAGAGCGAUUCGUGAACCGUUUUCAGUUACCUUACUCUUUUCUCUUUCCAUUUCUUGUACUCGUACGGUGUUUCAAUACAUUUUAUGACGUGCUAUACAAUUGCUACAAUGCUACAUUUAUCAAAGAUAAUGUGGUUCCACCCCUUAAUUAUCAAGGGCUGUACUAUUCUAUACGAAAACUAGUCGGUCUGACCUGUAUGCGAAAAGACAUGACAAGAUUCUCAGUAAUUGACACUAACCAAGAAUGUUAUGCAUCUUCAAGGCCAGCAAAUAGGGGUCUCUACGCCGGUCUACUGAGCUACGCCAGCUAAAGAAGUGUCAUCUUUAACUAUUUGGUCGACGGGAUUUUCCAUAGCCCAUACCGCUGCAUCUUUAUAUCCAAGCUCAAAGAGCCGGUCAA
rnacentral:lncRNA from 1 species